rnacentral:lncRNA from 1 species
CAGGAUUAUCAGCCUUAAAUCUGACGGUUGCCCAUCCAUUCUUUGGUACACCAAUGGUGUUUACUUCAGGUGGAUCAACCAAAUUGUAGGUCUUAGGGGCCUGAUUAGGGUCGAAAUUCCCAGAACCAAUUCCAACCAAAUAGAAGUUGAAACCAUGAAGAUGCAUCGGAUGGUUCUCAGCGGCAAUCAUGUUGGUCCCUUGAUAGAUUAUCUCAACUUCUUCACCAUAUUUAAUCAUCCUCACCUUCGUUCCAAAGUAAGGAUAUAUUGUGUCGUUUCGCACGUGUCCCGUGAAGUUGAAAAUAUAAGGUUUGUGUGGGAAAUUAGCUGAGUAAACUCCCUUAAUUGACCUGUACAAAGGCAAUAAGGUCAUUUAAGUUAGAUAUUUUUAAUUAAAAAACAAAAAACAAAGUUCUAGUUUUGCAAAACAAGAACAAGUAAUAAGACGUGGAUUAGAGAAGCCAGAGCCCCUCUUGCAUUUGAGUCCAGCGAGUAUAUUAAUUUAAACUAUUAUUUGUAUUUAAAAACGCACGCUUUUGGCUCAGUUACCAUUUUACUCUUCUACGCGACUAUUCAUUUCCUUUCAGUGAAGUGUUUAAUUGGGAAACGUUAUCUACAUAGAAAACUCUCAUUAACGUAUACAAUAAUUUGACAUUAACCAAUUAAUUUGAGCAACUAAUUCAAAUUACGUUACGUACCCGUGAUAGGCUUGCAGUAUAUCAAUCGAUGGAGUCACAAAACUGAUGUUGUUUAAGCUUGCAGCAAGUGCAUUGUUAUCUGGGCCAUCACAAGAAGAAUUGGGACAAAUUCUUUCAUUUACGGAAACAGAGAUGAAGAGCGUGUGUGUGAUGUUUAACGGGACACAAAUGGGGUAGUCUUUGCUUGCCAAGGCCCUUACUUGCGUAGUGAAGUUUGAGGCAGCCGUUCCGUCGGCCGGAUUGGGAAAAGUCGGAGUGGGAAUGGUUGAGGGGGUGGUGCUGCCGUUAUAUUGAAGAAUGGCAGAGGUGGUGCUGUUGUUGAAUGCAACAUCCCCAUCAACAAAAGGAGCGGAAGCUACGUGAUAGGAGCUGGGAGACUGGUUUGCAACUACCAAAAUGUCCAUGGUUUGGCCUGGAGUUAUCACGAGGUAGGAGGUGGUUAUAGGUUUAAGGUAUGCAGCAUCUUGAGCUACCACUGUGAGGUUGUGGUUGGCAAUGGCGAAGAACAUUUCUUCGUUCAACACCGCGUUGAUUAAGCGGAGAAGAUACGUAUUGCCAUAAUCAACCACCCAACGGUAUGUUGUUGCUGCAACAGGAAAUCAAUCAGUUGUUAGCAAAUAAAUGAUGUCAAAGUAUGUUAGUUGUUAGAAAUAAACAGUGUUCAUAGUGAAUCAAAUAUGAAUAAAUCAAACACUAUAGUAGAGUAAUGUUUGAAUGAAAUAAUAAUGUCUUUAGUAAAAUAAUUGUAGUUGAUAUAAUCUUCCACAAACAAUAUUUUAUUUGAGAGUAACUUUUGAAGUCUCCUACGAAUUUUAUUUCGUAGAUCCAAACAUGAGAGAGAAAACUCCGAACGGUCUAUAUGUGCCUAAUUGCUAAACUAUAGUCAAAUAUAAUACUCCCUUCAUAACUCAGGGUGACCCACCAUUAUCCCAACUGAGAUUUUGAGUCUCACUUUACAACUAACCAUCAAGUCGGUUAAAAGUUAAAUUAAAAAUGUUGACAUGAUUUUCUCAACAACAAAAAAAUGUUGACAUGACAUGGGCGUACUUAUGAAACGUCUAACACAUGAGUGCCAUGUGUGCCAAAAAUAAAAUAAAAUAUUUCAUUUUAAAAAAGUUUAAUUUAAGACCCAGCCCUAGCCCCACCGACUUCCCUCACCGCUACCCUGUUACCAGCUCAAAUGGGCCUCCGCCCCCACUGCGAUACCCAAAGCAAUCCCUCCAACUGAUAACAUCCCCAAAGCAAUAUUAAAAUCUUUGCUCAGGGUUGCACCUGUACCAUCAAAAUGAGGGGGACUUAUUGUCCUACUUAACUGGUUUAAUACACGUCGGUGUUAUAUUUUAAUUUUUAUUAAACGGGUUUCAAAUCUGAAAAAUCUCACAUCGAGAAAAAAAAUACCACUAAAUAGCUAUUUUCAACUUGCUUACUACAUUUGGCCUACACCACAAGUCAAUAAAGUAUACCGCUUUGCAUGAUACUCCAUAGACACCUAGAAGUUUCUUCAUUUACGCGGGAAUGUUACCAUCCUCCUUUAUGUCAACCCCACUGAGAAAAACACUCAAUUGCUUUUCUCGCGUCCACAUAUAAUAACAAAAGAUAAUCAAAUGAGAUUAGGUUUGGAUAUUUGAUUAUAAUUACCAUUGGAACACGCAUUAUACAAAUCUCCCGGCUCUCCGUUGAUUGUGAAGGCAUCUGAAACGUUUGGAUCGGCACCUGUUGCGAGAGCAUUUUCAAUAAUUUCAUUCACGUCUCCUUUGUACCAGGAUCCUGCCAGCGAACCAGAUGACAAUGGAAAAUAAUUAUUGAGAUUCGAUGAUGUAACACCUUUUGUUUUCAUGUCUGUGGUUGUGGCAUGGACAGCAGUCCUUGUAAAUGGUUAAUAACUGAUGCAUAGAAAUUUUUAUUAAAAUAAAAGUACCUAGAGCCAGUGUUUCUUCUCCAUCUGGUUUUGUAAAAGGAUAAGUGGUGUUGAGAGCUGGUAGAAUAAUGAUGGCACCAUAGACUGUGGCACGUGUCCAAUCGCUAUGAGCAUGCCACCAUAAUGUUCCUUCUUCAAUGGAGAAGAUAACCUCAUAAGUGAAGUUUGACCCUGCUUGAAUAGGGCACUGUGUUAUGUUCUCUGGUCCAUCAUACCAUGGAUUUCGUGGUUGCUUCACUCCAUGCCUGUAAAUAUUAAACAAGAUUAAAAAGUUUGUCUGCUAGCUUGAUUUUCCUUUUCUUCUUAAGGUGGAAAACUAAUUGAAGCAGUCAAAAUAAAAUCGAAGGUAUUAUUUUUGUGUUUAUUAAAGAAAAAGACUAAAGACUAAGCAUGCCCGUUCAAACACUAAGAUUUGCAUGACUUCUAGAUUGCUGGUUUUAUGUUCGAAUCCUUAAAGCACAGUAUAUGUGAAAACCCUCCACCCUCUCUAGUUUAGACUAUCAUUUACAUUUUUUUUUUUUUUAAACACACACACAUAAGAAAUACCCAACGUUAAGGAAAAGAGUUGCUUACAAGACAUACAUAUAUUAGACAAGGAAAAAGAGUUCCCUACCCCACUCCCUUCCUCUAGCCUUUUAUUUUUCUAAUCUUUAUAAAGUUAUUCACACUUUCACUUUCUCUCUCUAAAAGACUAGGACCAGGUCACAGUCAUGAUCUUUCUUCCUGUAAGUAAGCUAUUGGAAUUGGCCAGAGAGCCCAUCAUAAGAUGUAGAAGAGAAUAUUCCAAGUGAAGGCUAAUUUUCCACCAAUAAGCUUAAUUAUCCAUCCAGCUUAUCUUUAAACAAUAGUUAAAAGCAGUUUUGGACUAUUGGUCAAUGCCAAAAAUAAAAAUAAAAAAUCUAGAGCUAAGCUAAUGAGAUUGGUAGUUUUUACCAAUGAAGGGUGACACCGUAUGAGCCUUGGUUGUGGACAUUCACAAAAGCAGUGUCUCCCUUCCGGACGGUGAUGGUCGGCCCCGGCAAAGUCCCAUUCACAGUUAAGAUGGUCUUUGUUUCGCAAAGCCUUGUAAAAUUCAAUUCUGUCAGCUGCAAAACAAAACAAAGCAACGGAUGAUGAUGAACAUUCGAAGGCUGUAAAAAUGGUGUUAGUGUAAUGCAGGAAGCACUUACAACAAAAUCAUAAUAAUGGGUAUUUCCAUUAGCCUUGCAAAGACCCAAGAACAUAAACCCUACACAGGCUAAGACCCAACUCAUUUUCUUAAACUCCAUUUCCAGGUCUUGGUUUUUCCUAGUGUGUUCUUCAGGUUGCCCUUGAAGUGUUGUGCGGUUUUCGGUCUCAGGUAAAGACCUAUUUAUAGACAGACUUCAUGGCAAGUUGCUUCUAUUAUUAGUAGCCAAAUUACGCAAAGUUAAAAAAAUAAAAUAAACAACUUAAAUAAGUUCAGUGCACGACAAAAAUAAGUUGGUCCAGUGCACGACAAAAAUAAGUUCAGACACUAGUACCGUGUAUUAGAUAAACAACUUCAUGAUCAUUACUGAACAGGAGAACGUCGACUUUUUCCUUAAGUUGUUCAUAUAUCCUGUCAUCAACUGGGUUUUUGUCGGUAAGUAUUGUUCUGUGCCUCGAUUACCAGUAAGAAUAAUAAAGUAACGUCAAACUAGACUGACUAGAUUUUUAUUUUAUUUUUUGGAAAAUCAGAUAUACUACAAGUUUAUCCUCUCUUGUUUUUCCAACUAACGUCCCAGGUUUUAUUGUCGGUUUGAUGAAUAAAGUUCCCCAUAACGUUGGGGGUACUCUAAAAACUUAGUUUAUCUUUAUACCAUAAAAGCAACAACUUCCUUUACUUGUAUCCCAGAGUUUUGAUCCAUUUUGUAUUCUACACACAUCUUACGGGUUUGGAAAAGUUACAUAUUAGGUCAUCUCUAAGUAAGGGCUAUAUCCUCAAAUCUAGUUUAAAAUUUCUAAAACUAAUCUCUAAAAGUGUGCUCAAAGGGGUAUAAAAAAGAAGAGGGCUACACAAAGGGCUAAUUCCUAACCCGGGUUAAAUACUUGGAUGGGGCUCAGCUGACGUCACCUAGUCGUUAGGUGACAUCAGCUAGUUUAUUUUUUAAAUCCGAAAAAAAAAUGAUUUUUUUUUCACUUUCAUACUUUUACAUAAUUUCUCACAAUCUCUUCAUUUUUUUACAAACUAUCCUUCAUCUUUUUCUAUUUAAAUUAAUUUUUAAGUUGGUUUUAGAACAAGAAAAAAUAUAAUCAUAAAUCUAUAGGGCUAAUCACGUGGAUGUCAAAAAUCAUAUCCCAAAGAAUUUUUCUCUUCUAAAAUGUAUUUUAAAUAGAAUAUAAAUAGUAGUUAAAUUAAAUUAACUCAUACACUAAAAAUUAUUAAAAUAUUAAAUUUAGUCAUUUGCUGUUGGAGACGGUUAAAAUAGAGCCAGUCACUAUUCUUUAUAAAAUUAUUUUUUACAAGGUUAAAUAUUGACACGUGAUUAAAAAAAUGUUAUUAUAGUAACACUGAUGACAAGUGAUUAAAAAAAGCCUUACUAAACACGGAAAAACACUAAAUAUUCAAAUUCCUUGACAAGUCGACUCCUAUAUUUGCUUUGAAAUAUUCCAUGCUUCUAUGUUCUAGCAGCAACCUUUUUUUUUCCAUGAAGCUCAAUUUUACAAGGGAAACUUAUUUAAUAUUAUCCUAAAACCAAACAAAAGACUCCAAACUAGACAAAUCAAGCAAACCUCGCAAGUUGAAAGGGUUUAAGGUGGCUUCAGAAGAAACAUGUUAGGAAUCCGUUAGACCUUAUAAGUAGUGUAGCAUACUCAUUAAGAACCAUAAUAAGAUGUCUCAGACUCUUAAUUAAUGUCUAAAAAUCCAAAUUUGAUUUGCUUUCUCUAUGAAAUUAUGUAAAAGAUACAUGAUGUUUGUUUAAAUCAAUUGACAAUACUUAAGGAGGAACUCCUUCUUGUUGGCAUGACUUGUGACUUUCCUUGCACCCCAACGAUUCCCAUAUUAAUUGUAAUUGAUUUCCCUUUUAUUUGUAAUUUUCUACUGUAAAUAGAAUUAGGAGUUAUUACUUGGCCUUCAAAAUUUUCUUGUACUAUAAAUAUGACCUCCAACAAGGAGAAGAAUACAUAGAAAAUUCUCACAAACAAUAUUUUCUCAUAGGUUUUCAUAUUUGAGCACGGUAUCAGAGCCCAACUCACAAUUGGAAGCCCAAACGCAGUUGGAUAGCCCAAAGAGUAUUUCACAUCUCUUCGUCACAUACGCGCCAUGCAGAAGUUGGGCGACAUUUGUGGGAGCAUAUAUUUUAGCGACCAAUGAGUGGGUGACACGUGGAAAAGGAAAAUUCCCUAGGUCAAUUAAUUACCCUAAUUAAAUCUUAUUUAAUUAGGAAAAUUAUAAUUGAUUUAAGAUGAGAAUAUCUCCCUAAAUCAAGGAUGAGAUUUCCACCGAAUCUCCUUGAUUAAUUCCAAUCUCCUAUUUUUGAGUAAGAAUAAACCUAAUUAAAUAAGGAUUAUUCUUCAAACUCUAGCUAACAAGGAGCACUAUAAAUACAUGGCUACAUCACACAUAUGAGGUAAUCUGAUUUUGACACGAGAAAUCUCUCCCUCUCUCACGCCAUUCUCUCUCUCUCUCUCUCUCUCUCUCUCUCUCUCUCUCUCUCUCUCUCUCUCUCUCUCUCUCGGCUCCGGCCACCUAGUUCUCUCACCGAGAGAGAACUCCGACCACUUUAGCUAUUGUCAUCUUCUUCAAGGUCCAAUCAAACUAACUUAGGUAUCGGAGGGUCUUUGGCCAACACCUCCCGGGUGUGGUCUAUUUAUGACAGGAACCACCCCGAAUUCCUCGUGACGAAGCCUGUGAUUUUUCCGACAUCCAACUGAUGUCGGGCCUACUUACAAAUUUCAAACAUCCUCUUCCCCUAAAAUAAAGGAAAAGAGGGCCGAGACUUCUACCGAAAUUUUAGCAGAGUCUCCCCUGAAAAAUGAACUUUACCAAAUUUUCCAAUCUAAGACUUCUACCGAAAUAAAGAUAUACACACCUCACACCAUCAUCAUGUACCAGGGGAAAAAUAUCAAAUCCGGGAAUCGUUUGACUAGACCACAUAGAGGAAUCCUCAACAACCAUGUGGCCAGCGACGAGCCGUCCAACAGGGGAACUAGGCUCCAAGCACACACAACAGAAUCCUCAAUACUCGUGUGCCUAUGACAAGUCCUACGCACACAGACUACCCUACUAAGGGUCUACAAAACACCCCGUCAAAGGUGCCUGUGAAAGGACCUACCCCGAAUUUUUCAAAACCCGAGGCGAACCCUUUGAAAUUUCCGACAUCAUCCCGAUGCCAGGCCCACUUAGGCUGCCUACGUACCCUCCUUGAGGGAUCAAGCCACACGUAGUUCUUCCCUAAAACCCAAUUCUACACUUAGGCGAUACCUUAUUUCAUUUCUCUGUAUUUCACAUAAUCUCCCCAUACGCCGGUACAACCAACGCCACGUAUGGGGUCUGUCAACACGCCGGAUAACCUACGCCACGUGCGACCAUGCCAUACUAUCAUAAUAUCUCCCCAUACGCUGGUACAACCAACGCCACGUAUGGGGUCUGUCUCAACGCCGGAUAACCUACGCCACGCGAAACCUGCACAUCAUAUCACAUAACUCCCCAUACGCCGGUACAACCAACGCCACGUGGGACCUCAACAUCAUAUCACAAAUCUCCUCAUACGCCGGUACAACCAACGUCACGUAUGGGGUCUGUCGACACGCCGGAUAACCUAGGCCACGUGAGACCAUGCCAUACUAUCAUAAUAUCUCCCCAUACGCCGGUACAACCAACGCCACGUAUGGGGUCUGUCUCAACGCCGGAUAACCUACGCCACGCGAGACCUGCACAUCAUAUCACAUAACUCCCCAUACGCCAGUACAACCAACGCCAUUUAUGGGGCCUGUCCCAACGCCGGAUAACCUACGCCACGUGGGACCUCAACAUCAUAUCACAAAUAUCCCCAUACGCCGGUACAACCAACGCCACGUAUGGGGUCUGUCGACACGCUGGAUAACCUACGCCACGUGCGACCAUGCCAUACUAUCAUAAUAUCUCCCCAUACGCCGGUACAACCAACGCCACGUAUGGGGUCUGUCUCAACGCCGGAUAACCUACGCCACGCGAGAGCUGCACAUCAUAUCACAUAACUCCCCAUACGCCGGUACAACUAACGCCACGUAUGGGGCCUGUCCCAACGCCGGAUAACCUACGCCACGUGGGACCUCAACAUCAUAUCACAAAUAUCCUCAUACGCCGGUACAACCAACGCCACGUAUAGGGUCUGUCGACACGCCGGAUAACCUACGCCACGUGCGACUAUGCCAUACUAUCAUAAUAUCUCCCCAUACGCCGGUACAACCAACGCCACGUAUGGGGUCUGUCUCAACGCCGGAUAACCUACGCCACGUGAGACCUAAAUUUCACUUGGUGGUACUUGUAGUAUAACCAAAAUCCGGGGAGGUACCUAAGGUAGUGCGUACAGCACUCCAAACUGACAUUCUAGACUCUUUUGUACCGUUGUACAAACAUAUAUAAUUAUAUAUAAUUAUUAUAAUAUUGUGUAACCCUCCGCAAUAGUCUAGCUCCCGAUAAUCCACCCUGGAAGGGUGAGAUUACUCUGGGAAACUCGCGGUCAACCAAGGGUCAAACUACCCUAACCCUGGUCAAACGGACCUGCGGAGCCUACGACCUCCGAUUUACGAUCCGAAAGUCCCUAUGGGUUUUACAAGGUAUAGGACACUCGGCCUGCAAGUUUGGUUCAGAUCGGACGGUCGGAUCGCUCACGAUCGCACGAUCUGACGGUUAAUAUAAAAUAUAAACUUUAAAUUAUUAUUCGGAACAUCUGGGGCUUCGAUUCACAAUCCGUGAAUUCCUACACUAUCCUAGAAAUACCUAGAUUAACAUAUAUUAAAUUUGGGACCAUCCAACGGUCCCAACCUAUCGAACCCGGAUAACCACAAUAUGCGAUCGUCCGUUCGAUAGUCAAACGACGUCCGAAUUGAGAUCCGCGAAAUCCUACACACUCGUGACAACCUAAGGAUCUCAUCGAGACACAGUGCCACUUUUCUACAGUGCCCACGCGCCGCUGCACGUGCCGGUAGCGCGUGGGUGCCCAAAGCGAUAAAGCUUCACCGGAAAAAUCUCAACACCACGGCUCCAAACUCCUACCCUAGGUAUAACACCCUAUUUGGAGCCACUUUUGUUCUUGGGCCUACCCCAAAAACUAACCGGAAGUGGCCAGAAUCGCGAUCCCAAAACCGGCCGAAUUUCAAUUCGAAAAUCGAAUUGGCUACGGUAAGAAUCAAUCCAAUCCUACCCAACAGGCAGCUAGAUCAUGCAGAAGGGAUGAAUUUCCAUACCUUGAUCGCCAGAAAUGGCGGCCGGAGGAGGGAGAUCGGAGCCGGCGAAGUUCGGGCGACAACCGGGCGAAAAUCUCCAUUUUCUAGCGGCUGGAGCGGCGGCCGAUGUCGGGGGAGGGCUGGGUCGUGACGCCGAGGCUGAGCCGGUCCUUUUGGCACCGGUCCCGUCCGCAGCCGCGGCCGGUGGCCGGAGAUACGAGGAGAGAGAGAGAGAGACCGACGGGAGAGAGAGAGAGUUCACGGGAGGGAGAGAGAGAGAGAGAGAGAGAGAGAGAGAGAGAGAGAGAGAGAGAGAGAAAAAAAAAUCUGAGUUUUUAUAAAAAAUUUCAUUUCGAAAUAUUUGCGAUUGUGCCAUUGGGUUUCUUUUGACCAUAUCUCUCUCAUUACAACUCCGAUUCGAGCCUACUGCGUGUCUAUGAACUCGUCUCAGUACGACCUAUCCAAAAAUACUAGUCAUUACCCCAAACUCUCUCCGGUUAAAAAUAUGACUAAAAUGCCCUUAUCUCAAGGGUAAAUUUAUAAUUUUCCUUAAAUAAUUAAAUAAUUUAAAUAAGGGCUAAAUUUGGGGUCGGGGUGUUACAGCCUGGGUUCCGACAUAUCCAAGUAUCCAUGUCUGAGUAUUCAUAUCCAAGUUUCCAAGUACCGGGAAGGGGAAACUAUCCAACUGGGGAUCGUUUGGUUCAACUACACGGAGGAAUCCUCAACAAUCAUGUGGCCAGGAACAAGUCGUCCAACUGGGAGAUUGGACUCAUCAACACGAACAAUAGAAUUCUCAAUACUCGUGUACCUGUGAUAAGUCCUACGCACGUAGACUACCUCACUAAGGGUCUACGAAACACCCCGUCAAGGGUACCUGGGUUCCGAUCAUAUCCAAACCAUAACCACCGUUUCCAAGUAUCCAUUAUCCAUCAAUUCCAAUAUUAGUAUCCAAGGGGAGUACAUGAGAUGGUGUGUCAUCUCCAAGAUCCAAAAUCCACUUUCAUAAACUAAUAAAUAAUAAAGAUAAUACUCUCCAAAUCCAAUUUUCAAAACAAAUCGUUUCUAUAUAAUAAAUAUAUAUAUAUAAUACCCAUUCUGCCUUUUUGAAAACCAUAUUAAAAUCAUAAUUAAGAAAACCAUCGAAACUAAAUAAGCUCAUUCGAUUUAAUUAAUAUUCAAAUCACUAUUCAUAUAUUUAGGAAAUACACCACCUCUAAAAAUCCCACAAGACAAUAUAAUAAAAUCCAACACCAUAUUUAAAUUUCCCAAAACCAUAGCCCAUCAAUAUAUACAUACUACUUCCAACAUUUUCAAAGAUAUUGCAAUUCAAAGUCCGAUAACCACAUAAACUGAUGCACCAAAACCAAAAUUCAUAAUAUACCCAAAGUCACCAUAACCCUUUAUAAAUAAUAUUAAUAGCACUACUAAUAAUAGUAAUAAUAAUACGCAUUCCCAAAAUUUCCAUAAUCACGUAUUCCAUCCUAAAAAUUCACUAGUUUAAAUUAGAUCACCCAUAACUUUCAACAUCCGUUCUCAACAGAAUUUCCACACACAAAUAACACACCACUCAGCAAACCAGAAUGCGUAACCCUUAUUAUUCACUUUCCAAGACACCUUUUUUAAAACCCGCAUCGAUAUCCAAUGUACCCAUAACCCAAAUACAUAGACAUAUAUUUGAGUGUAAACAUAUAAUCAACAUUUAAUUUGUUCACCCGUUUCGUGUCACUACUACAAAAAGUGAAAAAGACGACCAGAAAACAACGACGGUCUAAGUGAAAACCGUCGUGGUUUUUAAAAAGACGACGGUUCUAAAAACACCGUCGUGUAAUACAACCUUAGACAACUAAAAAUGGAGAUUCAAAUGGCUGUUCAAAAACAACGACGUACCUAAUAAAAAAACCGACGUCUAUUUGAAACAGAUUUCCGCAGUGUAAAAUCAAAGCCAACAAAGAACGGCAGAAGUUAUGAAUCGACCGACGUAGAAAGUAAAGACGACGAUUUCAAUAAAAGCCGCCGUUUUUACUCAUAAAAUAACACGACGAAAUUUUCGUAUAAGACGCCGUAUAAUUACAAACAAAUCGACGGCUUUAAAAUACAAAAUGUCGCCGUAUUAAAUUAAUUUACAACGAUGGAAAAUAUAAAUAUAUCGACGUCAUUCUCGUAUAGUUCUACGACGUUAUCUUUAAAUCGUACUAUAAAAUUUAACGUCGUAUUUAUUCAUUUUAUACGUCGUACCUUUAAUUUAAACCGUCGUCUUAAUAAGAAUUUUUGUUAACAAUUUUUUCCUUUAUUUUCUUAUCCUACGUCGGUAGAUCUACUUAAUGACAAGAAUUGAAAUCUGUCAUCCAAAAAAGAAACUUUACAUAUUCCAGAACAUUAAUUUCCUUCAUUUUAAAUUUCCUCCGGAAAAAAAAACUCUAUUUAUAACGCACUGUAAUUGAAAAAUAAACUGAAAGGUCACGGGAAAAAAAUUUCUAUUCAUAAUUUAACAAUUCAAAUCCACGUCGGUUAUAUUAAACCUAACGACGUUAAAUGAAAAGAUUCCACGUCGCAAAACAAAUAUUGCGUCGUGUUAGUUUAUGGUUUCUUUAAUAGUUUCAGUUUCUUUAACAGUUUGGUCCUUUAUCUUUCUGCAGGACUUGUAUAGUUCAAAGCAUUGACUUGUAUAGUUCAGAGUAUAGUUCAAAGCACUGAUUCGAUUGCUCAUGCUUUAUCGCAUUCAUGAAGCCAUUUCUAUUCUUUAUCGCAGUCUUGAAACCCAUCUUCUUUUUCUGAAGCUCUACGGAUAAAGGAAGAGGCUAUCACAAAUCUGACGGAUCUUCUUAGCCAAGAAAAUCAAGCAGAGGAUCAGGCACAUCUGAUCUUCAGAUUUCCCUGAGAAGCGAACUUUCCUUCGACAGCGAGUGGAGGGCAGGCUUGCAUCUCUUUUGAUGGAAAGCAAGGAGUAUUCAGAAGCACUAAGUGUCCUAUCAGGCUUGAUCAAGGAAGUGAGAAGGCUAGUUGACAAGCUUCUUCUUGUGGACAUAGAUUUGAUGCGAGUAAGCUCAAUUUCUCUUUGAGAAAGACAUCCAAAUUACUGUCUUUGAGAUGUGAGAGACAGUGUCUCUGAGAGAGGAAGAACUUGGAACCCUAAAUGUAAACCGAAAAUGAAUGAAAGCGACAAAUUUAUAGAAUAAAUUUUUAAAACCAACGGCGGUCCUUACAAAAAAACCGCCGUUUAAAUUUUAAAAUCAACGUCGGUAUGACCGACGUAUAUUACAUAAAUCCACGUCGGUACAUUAAUAAAACCGACGUGUUAAAUGAUCUACCAUGACGCGAGUUAUUACUUAUGUACUUUAAUUUUUGAGUUUACUACGACGGUACCUACAACACUACUGUCGUACUUAUUUACCACGUCCGAAGUUAAACGUACUGUCGUAUUUUGUAAUUUAUACGUCGUAGUUAUAUGUAACCGCCGUAUUAUUUUUUGAAAUGGUUUUAUAUGUAAGCAACUUUUCGUGUACCUGACUUACACAUGCAAUGUUUCCAAACCCGAUUAAAAAUUUCAAUCUCCCAGAGAAAACUUUUAGACUUUUUUCCUUGUCAGAGCACUUUCAGAGUAUCUCAUCGUCUUCCUCUCGUCUUCUUCGUCGUCUCUGAACUUAAACAUCGAUCGUCUUCCUCUUGCUUUCAUUGCACGCAAAAGGUAAGCUUUCAUUUUCACUAUUUUGGUUGCUGUUUUGCAUGCUCAUACGUUUUUUGUUUGAAAAAUAUUUUUACCUUUUUUCUGGCCAAAAUCAUUUUACUUCUUUCCAAGUUCGAUAAAAUAUACACACAAAGAGGGAAAGUUUCCAACUUUGAAGACAACUACCUCAACUAAAUAAGACGACGGUAGCUUCUUAUUUACGUGGUUAAAUAUGUAGACCACGACGGUUCGUCAGUCGUUCUAGCGUCGUCUGAAAAUUGACAAAGUUGUUUUUAAAAUUAUAUUCUUUUUUUUAUUUGCUUGUUUAAUUGCAGGUUUGAUUUCUCUGAACAAUGGUUUUUGUUUUUCCCUAAUUUGAUAAAAUAUAAAGAAAAAGAAAUUAGGGUUGGUAUCUAAUAUAGACGACAAUAUCUUAUUGUUUUACGUCGUGUGAAUGUUAAUACCACGACGUCAUAUUAAAAUACCGUCGUCUAUAUAAGAUUCCAAAACUUUCUUUCUUGACCUUGUAUUUUAUCAAAUUAGAAAACAAAAACCAUGGUUCAGAAAAAUCAAAUCUGCAAUCAAACAUUCACAGAGAAAGAAAGAAGGGUUUUGGAUCCUUAUAUAGACGACGGUAUAUUAAUACUGACGUCGUGUGAACAUCAAUACCACGACGUUAUAUAAAUAUUCCGUCGUUUAUAGUUAAUUAUUACGUCAUUUGUAGUUAAUUAUUUCGUCGUUGUUUAAUUACCUUGGUUUUAAACAUUUAUUACGUCUGAUAUUAUUUCAUUGCGUCGUUUAAAAUCAUAUCAUACGUCGUCUUUUAUUAAUAACCGUCGUUUGUGUUCUUAAUCUUUUCUUGAAAUAUUUUCACUUGCAGUUUUGUCUGUAAAAAUGGUUUCUCACCAAGACCAAAGUAAGGAUUCUGGCUCCAAGAAAAAUGGAGGUAAGGAGCAAGUACCUCCUCAAGAGAAGUCUUCGAAGAUAAUGAAGUCUUCGAAGAAGAUGAAGUUUGCUUCAUCAUCUGCUGAUACAGAACCAACCAGCGCGACAACAAUCUCUGAUGAUUCAAAGGCUGGUCGAGGUAUGAGCACAAUGCCUCGUGUUGUGAAGAGAAAACUUCAGAAACUGAGGCCAAUUGUUGAGUACAAUAAAAGGGGGAAAGGAAUUGGCCAAGCACACAGUGAGAUGCAGUCCUAUAUUGGUGUGUUGGCACGCUCCAGAGUUCCACUUGUGGACUUGAAAUGGGCUCAAAUCCCCAAGGAUAUAAAGGAGCAGAUUUGGGAAGCAGUUGACAUUGCUUUUGUAGUAGGUCAAGGGGGCAAGAACUUUGUCUUAACUUCUGCUGCCAAGAAAUGGAAGGAUUUCAAGUCUACACUAACGAGGCAUUAUAUCCUUCCAUACACCAAUGACAGGGAGAGAUUAAGCCAACCCCCUGAAACAUAUAAAUUCAUAGAGAAAGCACAAUGGGAUGCCUUUGUAGCUUCAAGGUUAUCCAAAGAUUUUGAGUCUGUGCAUUCUCAACAUGCACAGAUUAGGGAGAAACUCGAGUACAAUCAUCGAUUGUCUCGAAAAGGAUAUGCUGGUUUGGAGGAUCAAUUAGAGGAAACCAUGCCUGGGGUAGAAAUUGAUCGAUCUACCUUAUGGAAGAGAGCUAGACAGGACAAACAUGGUAACAUCCAUGAUCCAAAGGUGGCAGAGAAAGCAAAAUUAAUUGUAAGCCUACUCACUCUGUUUUAAAUUUUUAUUAAACUGUGAAUAAUUCUUAUUACGUCUUAUGUUAUAUUUUGCGUCGUGUGAAUGAUAUUACCACGUCGACAUUUUUUAAAACACGUCGUUAAAGGUCUAAAUUGGAAUCACAACUCUGUUUUCUGUAAUUAUAGCAUAAGAUGUCGGUGGUUCAAUUUCGCGUCGUCUGUAUUAAAUUACUACGUCAAAAUGUUUUAAACAACGUCGUUAAAGGUGUGAAUAUCAUCCUGUAAAUAAAGCAUAAGACGUCGGUGGUUUAUUCAUUCCGUCGUUUUAAAAACUAACCACGUCGGUUUAAAAACUACCGUCGUGAUAAAUUAUAAUAACGUCGAUUUAUAUGUUAUUGCGUCGUGUGAAAUUAUAUAAUACGUCGUUUGUAUAUAAAUAACCGUCGUGUGUUUUUGUUCUUACUUUUUUAUAUAUCUUUGUUUUAGGAUGAUUUGCAAAAACAAGUCUCGGAAGGCAAAGUCACCGUCUCUGGCAGCAAUGAUGUGCUGACUAUGGCUUUGGGCCCCGAGCAUCCAGGCAGAGUCAGAGGAGUAGGUGCUGGGAUCUCACCAAAGCAAUAUUUCAAUUUACCCAAACCACAGAGAGUGAGCUUUGACGACCGUUUGAAGGACAGUUUAAGAGUUCUCCUUCAAGAAGAGACUAAAAAGAUGGAGGCUAAGGCAAGGGAAGAGGCUUUAAGGAUGGAGGCUAGAACGAAACAAUUGGUAGAGGCUGAGAGGGAGCAUUUCCUGAGUCAGCUUUCCCAAUUAAUUCCCAAUUUUGAUCCAAGCAUGCUUAAACCCAAAAUUAGCCAAAGUCCCAAAAAUCCAAUGUCUGACAAAGCAAGCUGCUCUGGAGGUUAUGUGAGAUCCCAGCAUUUUGAGGAUGAUACUGCCAAAAAUGGCAAACAUCAGGAAGAAAAGGUAACAAAUCUGAACUUUGAAUUCUCUGUUUUUUUAAAAACCAUUAGACGUCGUUAUUAUUAAUAAAACCGUCGUUUGAAAUACAUACCACGACGAUUUUAAAAAUAAACCGUCGUUUGUAUUUCAAUACCACGUCGUAUUUAGUUUACUUGUUUUACACGCCAUUAAACGUCGUUAUUUUUAAAACUUUGUGGUUUUUAGACGACGGAGGUAAUCAUUCCCGACGUCAUAGAUGAAGAGAAUAAAGAAGAAAAACAAGAUGAAAAGGAGAAAGAAGAUGACGACCAGGUAUGUUCACAUAACUUUGCCUUUUUUAUUUGUUUUUCAAAAUUCCAGACGUCGAUAUUUUUCUUUAAACCGUCGUUUGUUUACAACUUAGACGGCGGAAUUGUUUUCUAAGACGUAAUAAAUAAUUUACCACGACGGUUAUUUCACCGUCGUUUAAAUUCUUUUCAGACGACGUUUUAUUCUUUAAACCGUCGUUUUUAUUGAAUUACCACGUCAUUUUUUUUAUUUCUUUAAACAGGUUAUUAAAGUUGUUGAUUAUUCAAAUAUGGAGGCGCCAUCUUCUUUAAAAACCCUUUGUCGUUAUGUGGAAACGACACUCGUGCCUCAGGAUAAGACACUGCACUUUACAAUUGAUAAGGAGGUGUUUGGUCUAGAGCGCGAUACCUUCCUCCUGCCUGAAGAUAUUACACAAUUUGCAGGCAUGAAAGAAAUAGGAGCCACUGUCAUUGCUGUAUAUAUGAGGUUUGUCAUUCUAAAAUAAUACGUCGUUGGUUUAUUUAUUGCGUCGUCUUAACCGACUAACCACGUCGUUAGUAUGUACCGUCGUGAUAAAUAUAUUAUAACGUCGUUGUCUAUUUCAGUACGUCGUGUGAAAUUUUAUAAUACGUCGUUUUGUUAUACAUAACCGUCGUGUGUUUUUUUUGUAUAUGAGGUUUGUCAUUCUAAAAUAAUACGUCGUUGGUUUAUUUAUUGCGUCGUCUUAAAUAACUAACCACGUCGUUAGUAUGUACCGUCGUGAUAAAUAUAUUAUAACGUCGUUCUCUAUUUCAGUACGUCGUGUGAAAUUUUAUAAUACGUCGUUUUGUUAUACAUAACCGUCGUGUGUUUUUUUGUGCUGACUUGUUUAUAUUAAUUUAUAUAUUUAGGUACUUACACGAUGUUUUGAAAGGAGCUAAUAUGUGUAUCAUGGUUGGCUUUAUCGACCCUGCUACAGUUAGUGCCAGCUCUGGCACAAUAGCUGACAGAUCACGCCUACUGGCAGCUUGACUUCAGAGGACUGACGGUGAACAGAUUUUCCUGAUGCCUUACAAUCCAGGGUUAGUCUCCUUAACAGGAUUUUGUUUUUAUGAUUUUCAAUAAAUGACAGCGUAUAAACUAACCACGUCGGUGUUUUAUUUUAUUGAGUCGUUUGAAACGACUAACCACGUCGGUAGUUAUUUAUCGUCGUGAUAAAUAUAUAAUGUCGUCGAUUGCUAUUUUAUUUUGUCGUGUGAAAUAUUAUAAUACGUCGUUUUUGUAAAUAACCGUCGUUUUUAUAUUAAUUUUGUGCAGCCGUCAUUGGAUCUUGUUGAUUGUAAGAGCAAAGAGGGAAACAGUCUAUUUUCUGGAUCCUCUGCCAGGAAAUCGUGUGGUCGAUGAAGAGGCCAAAAACAUCGUGAACAGUGCUAUAAAAAUUUAUAAUUCCCACAUAGGCAGAUCAGGCCGUAAGGCAGUCAUUUGGAAAACUCUGUCAGGCACACCAAAGCAACCCAGCAAUGUCGAAUGCGGGUAUUACGUGAUGCGCUUCAUGAAGGACAUCAUCAUGGAUCCUUCCUUGGGGUUUGAGAAGAAGGUAAGAAGAAAUAACCUUCAAACAUUUUACGUCGUUUUUUGUAUUAUCAACGACGGUCAUGUAAAAUUACCGUCGUUGAAUAGAUAUACUACGUCGGUUAUGGUUGUCUGUGAUUGAAUUUUCUUUUAUUUAUAAACCCUAAUAGUCAUUGUUUAUGCAGUAUGCGAAAGGAAAACAGGAAGAGCCAUACCCCCAAGAAGCAAUUGAUGAAGUCCGGAAUGAAUGGGCAGAGUUUGUUUGCCUUCACCUGGAAUAGGGGAAUUAUUGAACACUUGAUAUUUAUGUAUAAUGUACAAAUUUUGUCUAUAAUAUAUAAUGUAAAAAUUUGUUGAGGUUUUCUUAAAUUAAAAAAAAAAAACAAACAUACAAAAUGCGUAACCGACGUGUAAUACUUGUCCAACGACGUAAUAAAGUCAAAAGCCGUUGUUUUUUGUGGUUUCGUUUUAAACAAAUCCGACGUAAAAGGAUAUUUAGACGACGUUCUUUGAACAAUGGAGUCGUUUAUGGUUUACAACGUCUUCAAUUUCUUAAAGGUUCAGGGUAGUACUUUGUAACGACAGCGGUUAAGUCGUGGAAUAUAUAUUUUACGUCGGAUAGUUAAAUAUCCGCCAUGGUUUCUCAUUUAAACGACGUCAUUUUAACAACUUAGUCGUCUAUUACAAUUUACAACGUCUACAAUUUAUUAACACCGACGUGGUUUGUUGUUGUGAUAAGAAUAUUUUAUUAUUUUUAUAUCAAAAUAUUCAAAAUAAAUUUAAAAUAAAUCAGAAAAAUGCAAAGUCAACUCCUAUGAAGUCAUUGAUAUAUUAUCUUCCCCCUAAACCUUGAAAAAAUUCAUUUUGAAUAACAAAAAUUUAAAAUGAACAUCCAAAACAAAAUUGUUUUGAUGAGUCAUAAAAUCACUUCUAGUUUUAUGGUUUAGGGUUUAGAGUCUAGGGUUUAGAGAUUAGGGUUGUUAUUUAUUGGGGUUUAUUUUUAAAGUAUAAUUUUUGGGUAGUCUAGGGUAUAUAUUAGGCUGUAAAACCAUAAACCCUUUUAUAAACUUAAUUUUUAAAAUUAUAUAAUUUAGUUUUAAGGGUUUAGGGUAUUAAUUGUUAACGACGGUGGUUGAGUCGUGGAAUACAUAUGUUACGUCGUGCAGUAAAUUAUCCGACAUGGUUUCUACUUUAAACGACGUUAUUUUAAUAUGUAAGUCGUCUAUUAUAAUUUACAACGUUUUCAAUUUCUUAACCCCGACGUGGUUUUUCAGUCGUCUUUAUAUCAAAAUAUUCAAAAUUAAUUUAAAAUUAAUUCGAAAAAUGAACGUCAAAAUAAACGGCGUUACGUUCGGUGUUUUCGUCGUGGAAUAUUACAUUUACGUCGGUUUUUGUAGAACUUUCGCCAUGGUUUUUCUUUCGACGUUUAAAAGAGCGCGCGCUCUAAAAAUAUUCGCGCGCCCUAAAUUUUUUUAUAUUUGGCUCUUAUUCUUAUACUUCUAACACUGAACCCUAAAAUUUUCAGAUUUCGCGCAACAUAACAUUCGCUCUCUCACUUCUGCUCUAAUUAAAAGUUGCACUCUCCAGGCUCCGUCGAAUCUGUGAGCUCGUCCAACCUGUAAGUACAAACCCUAUCUUCCCCUUGUAAAUUCAUUGAAUGAUAUUAUGUUGUUUUGUUAAAGGGUUUUAGGUAUAUGCUUUGCGAUCUGUUAAUAAUGUGCUUAUAGGUAUGGGUUCAUGGAUUUUCUGUUUAAUGGGUUCAUGGAUUUUCUGUUUAAUGGGUUCAUGGAUUACAUUAUCUGUUAUGUUGAAUUGGGAAUGGAUUUAAUUUUGUCGGAUCUUUUAAUCACCCUAUGUUAUGUUGAAUUGGGAAUGGAUUUAUUGUUUUCAUGCUUGGUUUCAUGUAUAUGUUGGUUUCUUGCUUGGUUUCAUAUAUAUGUUGUGUUCUUAAUGGGUUUUGGGUUCUUGAAAAUAAACUGAGACACGACGCCUUUUUAGGCAUACGACGACGAUUACACGACGGUUUAUGAAAAAACCGUCGUUGUAUUACUUAUACACGACGGUUUUUUCAUAAACCGUCGUUUGUAUUACUUAUAUUAGACGACGUCUGUUGAAUAUCCGUCGUCUAUAUAUGCCAAAUACGUCUGUUUUUGUUUAAAACCCGUCGUCUCUGUUGUGUAUUACUUGCUAUUAGAUCUUUGUAUAAUCUGCUAUAGUGAUGGUCAUUGCCUGUAUUUUCACUUUAUUAUAGAUAAUAGGUUAUAGUGUCGGAGAUGGAUAAGUCAUGGAUGCACUCGGAUAGAAGAUCGAAGGCAUAUGAGUUUGGGGUGGAAGCAUUUUUGAACUUUGCUGUAGAAAAUCUUCUAACUACAACACAUAUUCGUUGUCCAUGUGUUAAAUGUGUUAAUUUGAAGUUGUUUGGGGUUGGAAUUAUAAGGGAUCACUUAUACUUUAAUGGAAUUGACCAAAGCUAUAAGAAUUGGACAUUUCACAGAGAACCUUGGGAAGCAACUACUAAUUCUAGUAGAAAUGUUGAAGAAGAUGAUGGCCAUAGUAGGUACAGUUUUGUGUCUGAAGAAAUUGAUAUGGAUGAUAAUGAUUUUGGUUCCGAUCCGUAUGAGUUUGCCAAUGUGAUUGGGGAUGGAGAUCAACCAGUAUACCCUGGUUGUAGAAAGUACACGAAGUUAUCGGCAUUAGUGAAGUUGUAUAAUUUGAAGGCAAAAUAUGGGAGGAGUGAUGUCUGUUUUACAGAAUUAUUGAUACUUCAAGGCGAUUUGCUUCCAGAAGGAAAUACAAUACCAACCUCUAUGUAUGAGGCUAAAAAGACUUUGUGUGCAUUGGGGCUGAGUUAUGAGAAAAUGCACGCAUGCCCCAAUGAUUGCAUCUUGUAUAGGAAGGAGUAUGAGGAUUCAACUAAUUGUCCUACUUGUGGUAUCUCAAGGUGGAAGGAAGGCAAAGAUUCAAUCUUGAAAGAGGGUGUGCCAGCGAAGGUGGUGUGGUAUUUUCCUCCAAUUCCAAGGUUUAAAAGGAUGUUUCAAUCACAUGAGACAGCUAAGAGUUUGACUUGGCAUGCUGCUAGAAAAUCAAUUGACGGUCAGAUGUCUCAUCCGGCGGAUUCCCCGUCUUGGAAACUUCUUGAUGAUAAAUGGCCUGAGUUUGGUAAUGAGCCGAGAAACUUGAGAUUGGCUCUUUCAUCUGAUGGAUUCAAUCCCCACAGUUCUCUAAGUAGCAGAUAUAGUUGUUGGCCGGUUAUCUUAGUUACAUAUAAUCUCCCUCCAUGGCUGUGCAUGAAACGAAAGUUCAUGAUGUUAACCUUAUUGAUUUCCGGUCCUAAACAACCCGGAAAUGAUAUAGACGUCUACUUGGAGCCUUUGAUUGAUGAUUUAAAAUCUUUGUGGGAUGGGAUUAGAGGAGUGUAUGAUGCACAUAAUGGAGAAUACUUUACACUCAGAGCUGCAUUAAUGUGGACAAUUAAUGAUUUCCCCGCCUAUGGAAACUUAUCUGGUUGUGUUGUUAAAGGAUAUAAAGCUUGUCCAAUAUGCGGCGAUGAUACACCUAGUCACAGGUUGAAAAAUGGCCACAAAAUUUGUUACAUUGGGCAUAGAAAAUGGUUACCAAUCAAUCAUCCAUAUAGGAGGCAACGUGCAGCUUUUAAUGGGAAACCUGAAUAUGGCAUACCUCCCGAGCCAUUAACCGGAGAAGAAGUGCUGCAUAUGGUUGAAAAUGGUGACAGAGUUUGUUGGAAGAAGAAAUCAAUAUUCUUUGAUUUCGAGUAUUGGAAAUACCUUCCUGUGAGGCAUGCCCUAGAUGUUAUGCACAUUGAGAAGAAUGUUUGUGAUAGUAUCAUUGGUACAUUGCGGAGAUCACUAGAAAAAAUAAAGAUGGGAUUGCUGCUCGAUUAGAUUUAUUGAACAUGGGGGUCAAAACUGAUUUGCAACCCGAGUAUGGAGAAAGACGUACUCGUUUGCCUCCUGGGCCUUGGAAUUUGUCAAGAGCAGAGAAGAGAGAGGUUUGCAAUUCUUUUUAUGAUAUGAAGGUCCCUGAAGGUUAUUCUUCAAAUAUUAAAAAUCUUGUAUCUUUACAAGAUUCAAGACUUCUUGGCCUUAAAUCACAUGAUUGUCAUACCUUAAUGCAACAAUUGCUCCCUGUGGCAAUUCGUUCUGUUUUGGAGAAGCCUGCAAGGUAUGCAAUAACUCGUUUGUGCUUCUUCUUCAAUGCUAUAUGUGCAAAGACUGUUGAUGUUUCCAAGCUAGAUAAGUUGGAAGAAGAUGUAGUAGUUACUCUGUGUUUGCUUGAGAAGUACUUUCCCCCUUCAUUCUUUGAAUAUCAUGGUUCAUCUAGUAGUANNNNNNNNNNNNNNNNNNNNNNNNNNNNNNNNNNNNNNNNNNNNNNNNNNNNNNNNNNNNNNNNNNNNNNNNNNNNNNNNNNNNNNNNNNNNNNNNNNNNUCAUCUAGUAGUACAUCUGUCAGAGAGUUCGUCUAUGUGGGCCAGUAUAUUUUAGGUGGAUGUAUCCGUUUGAAAGAUAUAUGAAAGUGCUGAAGGGGUAUGUUCAGAAUCGUACUCGUCCCGAAGGUUGCAUUGCUGAGCGGUAUAUAGCUGAAGAAGCGGUAGAGUGUUGUACUCAGCAUUUAUCUGAUGUUAGUACAGUUGGAGUGCCUUCAAGCCAAAAGAUGGGAGUUUCAAAGCCAUUAUCAGGUUGCACAGUGAGCGUAGUUGAUCAGGACCUGUUGAAUCAAGCACAUCUAUAUGUCUUGGAGAAUACGGAGGAAGUCCUACCUUAUAUCGAGUACGUAUGAGCUUUAUUCUUUAAGUUUCCAUUUUAAAUUAUUUCUUAUGUUUAUCUUCUAUAUUUAGGACCGUAAUGCUUGAAUUUUUCGUGUCAUGUAGGCAACAUAUGAUCCACAUCAAGACUGCUUAUCCAAAAUUUAGAAAGAGAACAAAGUGGCUGCAGGAUAAGCACAAUAGCACUUUCAUUCAAUGGCUACGCUUCAAGGUAUAUGUUGUUGAAUAACAUAUUUCUCUUUUAAUUUUCUUCUUAUUUAUAUGUUAGAUUGAAUUAAGAUAUGAUUAAUUUGCAGGUUCAAAGUGAACUUGAGGAAGACAAUCAUGGCGUAUCAGAAAAUUUAAGGUGGCUAGCAGCUGGUCCAAACAUGUCAGUGCCAUUAUAUAGGAGCUAUCUUAUUAAAGGUAUUAAAUUCAAUAUCAAGGCACAAGAUGAUGUGCGGACAACUCAAAAUAGUGGAGUUUAUUUACUUGCACAUACCAUGCAAGUUGCUAGUGCCAAGGAUAAAAACCCAAUUCUCUCAAAUAUGGGUUUCUAUGGUGUCAUUCAAGAAAUUUGGGACCUUGACUACCAAAAGUUUACAAUCCCAGUCUUUAGGUGUGAUUGGAUAGAUAGUUCUGGUCUUGUAGUCGACGAACUUGGAUUUACCCUUGUAGAUUUGAGUAAAAUUGGACAUAGGAAUGACCAAUUUGUUUUGGCUUCUCAAGUCAAACAAAUAUUUUUUGUUGACGACCCGAUGCAUCGUGGUUGGUCGGUAGUGUUAUCAAUGCCUAAUAGAGAAUAUAAUGAUGUUAUUGGUGAUGAAGUCUUAGGUGAUGUGAUAAUUGAGUGUGAGCCAUUUACUAGAGGGAUGCCAAAUGUUGACACAUUUGAUGAACUGGUGGGUGAGUUAGGCGGUCAAAAUAUUCGAGAUGGGUGUGAAGAUAUAUGGAUUGAAUGAUGCUUAUGUAAUUGGCAGUGUAUGACAUUAAUUUUGUAAUAUAUUGUAAUGUGAUUUCUUCACUUUCUACGUUCAAAUAAAACACGACGUUAUUGUGAACCAGUUAUUCAGCAUAUUUACCGACGUCUUAAAGCAACGUAACAAUGAAGAACCACGACGCUAUUGUGAAGCAAUUAUUCAGGAUAUCACGUCGGGGAAGGAUUAAGAACCGCCAUGUAAUUCAAAAUAACACGACUCCAAUCCCAUAAUACCGACGUCUAAAAAAUGAGAUAUAUAAUCUGAACGUUAAAAAAUUCGACGUCAUCAUACAUUUUCCACGUCGCAAGUUCUUUUAUAAACGAAGAGGAACGAAAUGAAUUCCGACGGAAAUUCAUUAUAACCGUCGUCUAAUAACAAUUAAACGACGUUAUUUGUAAUACGGCUCUCAUCAUAAUCUACGCCGUCUAUAUGUUCUGUAAUACGGCUCUCAUUUAUUUAGAACCGACGUUGUUUAGAAGUUCAACGUCGUCUAUAUUAUUAAGUGCGUCGUGAGUAAUGAAUACAUAUAAAUACAACGUCGACUAUAUAAAUGCCACCGACGUUGUUUCGCAUUUCAACGUCAACUAUAUAAAUACAUACGUCGUAAAUAAUGACACUGACAACUAUUUCCACGUCAUCUUUUUUAGAAAAAUCGAAGUGGAACAUUUAUUUCACGACGGUUCUUUGUAAAUAAGAGACGUAGUAGAUUUCAAUAACGUCGUCUUCUCAUGUAUUUAAAGACGUCAUAUUUUUUCUUGUCGUGUAAAUUGUAUUUAACGGCGUAGUAUUUUAGUUGUCGUCGUUGUAUGUAUAUCUUGCAGCCUUGUUCUUUUAAUAUGUGUCAUAUUUUUCCUUUUUAACGACGGUGAUUUGUUUGAGUUGGUCGUCUAUUCUCAUCCUCGACUAUUUUCUAUAACUUUAGCAGACUAAACACGUCUGUUUUUAUUUUUCCUGACGUUGUUUUAUUUAACAACGUCUAAGAUUUAUCGUCGUUGUUUGUUUCUGAAAAUAGGACGUAUAAAUUUUGUAAUACGACUCUCAUAUAUUUGUAACCGACGUUGUAUUGUUUUUCAACGUCUACUCUAUAAAUACAUACGUCGUAAAUAAUGACACUGACAACUAUUUCCACGUCAUCUUUUAUCGAAAAAUGAAGUGAAAAAUUAAUUUUACGACGGCUGUUUUUAUAUAUGCGACGUAGUAGGUAUCAAUAACGUCGUCUUCUAAUGUAUUUAAAGACGUCAUAUUUUUAUUGUCGUGAAAAUGAUAUUUAACGGCGUCGUAUUUUUAUUUUCGUCGUUGUAUGUCUAUCUUGCGGCCUUGUUCUCUUAAUAUGUGUCAUAUUUUUCCUUUUUAACGACGGUUUUUUUAGAGAGUUGGCCGUCUAUUCUCAUCCUCGACUGCUUUUUUAGAUCUUUUUGCAUUACAAAGACGUCGUUUUGUAUUUGUUGAUGACGUUGUAUAUUUUAACAACGACGGUGAUUUAGCGUCGUGGUUUAUGAGGGAAAAGAUGACGGUGGAUUCCACGACCAUUGAAAAACCGAAUACACGACUGUGAUUUACCGUCGUCUUUUUGCUUUUUUGUAGUAGUGUGUUUGUUCUCGUGAUGGUAGGCUGAAGUUCCUCAUUGCCUUGAAAACUAUUGCUUGGUCAAAAAGUUAACUUUUCUUUAGUGUGCGAGUGUGCCACUGCUAGUAAUGAAAAAUCCUAACAGACUUCGAAAAUAGAUAACUUGCGCCCCAAGUUACUGAUUUCUAAACAAGUGAAUGUGAAUUUGGGUGAGGAAUAUCUCCCAAGUAAGUUCUUUUCUUGCCUCAGACUGGUGAGCACUUCACAAUUUUCACAGUACAAUAUUGGUAGUUCUGGCCAGAAUAAAUGAUGAGAAAAUGAACUGUUUUUUAGGCAGAACUGCCUUUUACAAAACUCAAAAGGGAAAAACCAACUCUAGAAAGACAAAAAGAAUGCUGGACUUCCAUUUCUGCAUGGAUAGAUGCUUCUGAUCCGAGCUGGACUUGGUAUGUCUGUGCUGAACUGGACUGUCAGCAACUUUAAUUGUCAAGUUUCAGCUGUAAAUCGAUACCAACGUUCGAGUUUGGCAUAGCUUUAAUCUAUUUCAAGUCCUAUGAGACUGUUUGAACGGUCAGAAUUGCAGCAUCUUCAGUCUGAAGGGGUAGAAGUCACUGGAUUAAAGGAUUACUGAAUUGGAACUACACUGUGAUGCCUGUUUUGCUUUAUCAGGGCUCUCCAUAAAUUUGUUGAGGUUUUCAUAUUUGUAAAAACCCAGGCUCUGCUUGUUUUGGCUUUUGCUGCACCAAAUUUGCAACGAAAGAAAUCUCGUUUUUUAGACUUUUCUCUAAGUCUGAAACUAAUUUGUAGCUUGCUUCUUUCUUGUGGCUCAAUGAGCUUUUGGUUGCUUCAGUGUUUUGAAGGUUUUUGAGAUCAAGGGAUCAUUUUGAGUUUUUGCUGUUGAUUGAUUUUUUUGGUUGUUUGAUUGAUUGUCUUUGUUCUGUUCACCCUUUCUUAUAUUUAUAAGAAAUGUUUUGGAGUAGGAUUUCUAAUUCUUUUAAUAGUGGGUGGUAAAAUUUCUCAAAAGAUCUCUCAUUUUUAAAUGCAAAGAAAAAUGGGUUCUAUCAAUUUCUGGCAGAUAAGCCCUCAAUAGUUAGUUCCUAAGGCAGUCACUUCCCUAUUUUUCUUGAAAGAAAACCUAACCCUUCUUCCAAUUUAACUGCUCCUUGUAAGAAUUCAAACUGUGAUGGUUAGUUUUGAUCUUCCAGAUGAACAACUCCAUGCACCCUACUUAUCUCUUUUAGAAAAUAUAGCCUGCUUAUCUCUUGGAAAUGGCACCUGUUUUGGUGCAGAACUUCUCUAUAAUAUAUAAAAUUCUGACCUUCUUCUUUUGGCUGAGCAAAUAUAGAGAAGUCCUUCUGUAACACCUGCCCUUAUUAAUUUCCUAUCAACCUCUCUGUAAUAGUUGAAAAUUUUGACUUUUCAACGUUAGUUAGUCACGUGGGUUUGUUUAGGAAAGAUCUUUUGAUUUUGUCAACCUUCUAAGGGUAGAUUUUUUAGAUGGUAAAGAAAGGUUGGGCUAGUCUCUUUUUAGUGGAUAAGAAAGCCCCAAAUAUUUCCGUCUUAUGGCCCUUUUUUUGAAAAAGAGAUGGGCCCAGUGUGCUAGAAAUUGGCCCAAUCUUAAAAGACUCUGAUGGCUGCCCAUUAUUUUGACAUGGGGUUUUUUGAUUUGGGCUAUUGAUUCCAAUUUUGAACAAAAAGCCCAAAUUGCUUGGAUCCUGGGUUUUGUCUUCCUGGGCUUCCAUCGCUGAGCUGGGCGUGCAUAUUUUGGCCCAACAUAAUUAGAUCAUUACAGACACCAAACCUCUCUAUCCAGCCAUGAGUGAAUUAUAAUAAUAAUCAUCAAAAUAAAGCGAUAAUAAUAAUAUUAAUGAUAACAACAAUGAUAAUAAUAAUAAUAAUAAUAACAACACUAACAAAAGUAAUCCAUGGAAAUACCAUAAUCAUAUCUUCCAAACGCGUACCCUCAAACUAAGAGCUACGUAAAUAAAUCCCUGAUGUGUUCAAGCUAAUGCAUAGAAAUCUCUUUCUUUCUAGUUUAUCAUAGAAUUUUAGUGAGCCUCUCACCACCUACUUUCCGUUCCAUCUUAUUCACAUUUUGCUUAAACACAUUGUUUGUCCAUAUAUACUCGACUUUGCCUAGCAUAUCAAAAGGCACAAAUACAUCUUGCAUCAAGGGACUUUAAAUUCUUUCUUUCUAGUUUAGUAAUGAAGAUUUGGGGAUUCGAACUUGAAAUCUAUUCCAAAAGACGAGACGGUCUCAAAGACCCGCGGUCAAUGGUUUGGUCAAACUUUACUAUUUUUGGUCAACUGGGCUUGCGGGGCCCAUGGCCUCCGAUUUCAAUUCUAAAGUUCCUAGAGGUCCAACAAAGUCUACUGAACACAUCCUGAAAGUUUGGUCUCGAUCGAGGAGUCGGAUUGCUCGCGAUCACACGAACAAACGGUCACCAUUUUACAUAAUCUUUGAACCAUUGAUUCAGAGUAUCCGGGACCCCGAUUCUCAAUCCGUUCAUUCCUACACAAUCCUAGAGGUACCUAGAUCAACAUAUUUGGAAAUGGAGUCAAUUCAACAGUCCGAAUGUAUCGAACCCGGAUAAGGCCUAAUAUGCGUAAAUCCGAUCGACCGUCAAACGAUAACCAAAUUCAAAUCCGAGCAUGCCAUCAUGCUCGGGACGACACGGGGAACAUUUUAGGACCAAAUGAGCCACCCAAACAUGGCCCACAAGCCACCACACGAACCGACAACGCGUGGGAGUCUUGAGAAAAUUCUAGAGACCUAAAAAUUCUCGAAACACCCAACAAUACAUAUACCUACGUGAUCAGGACAAUGAGUAGAGUAACUUUUGCUCUUGGUUUAGUUUGUAUAAUAAUGUUUUGGAGCAACUUUUGUUCUUGGGCCGCGGUUAAAAAGUGGCCAGAACUUACUGGAAUUUCGAACCGAAUACCGACUGAAACUUUGAAUCGUAAAACGAGUUGCAAAACUUCAAAAUCUAUCCUAACCAACCCAACCAUCAGCUAAAUCACGUUGAAAGCAUGAGAAAGCAUACUUAGAUAGACAAAAAUGGAGGCAGAAAUUGUUGAAAAGUUUGACGAAAUUUAGGCAUGUUUUUCGCCAUUUCGGGCAACGAUGAUUGUCAGUUGCGGCGGAGGAAGGAUGAGGUGGGAAGAGGAAGCUGAGCCAGUCGUUUUGGUACCGGUCUUGUGGCCAACGGUGGUCGAACGUGAAAACUACCGGCCAAAAUGUGGCUAGCUGGAGCUUGGUGGCGAGGAGAGAUGAGAGGAAGAGAGAGAGAGAGAGAGAGAGAGAGAGAGAGAGAGAGAGAGAGAGAAGAAAAAAUCUGGGUGAGAGAGAAAAGAAAAAAUCUUGGUUUGUAAAAUUUCAACUUCGAGUUAUUUACGAUUGUGUCCAAAAUAACCCUACCCCCAAGGGUAAAAUUGUAAUUUUGCAAUUAAUUAAACUAAAUCAUUUAUAUAUAUUAAAUAAAUGGUUUAAAGUUGGGUCAGGAUGUUACAAUUUACUCCAACUUUUUUCGUAGAGAUCGAGGGAGAAGAAAGAGAAGGAAGUUCGAUGGUCAAAGAAUCUAUGUGUAAAUAUUCCCUGUGUGAAAUUUUGCUCAAACAUUAAUGUUGCAAUUCGUCUUUGAAUAAAAAUUUUCAUUCUUUAGCAUGUAUAUAUGUGUAUAUAUAUAUAUAUAUAUAUAUUGUACAAGCAAUAUAUCAUAUUUGGAGAGAGGGAAUUGAAGCAUAAGUCUCAGAAGCAGGGUAAUUAUAUUCUUAACCACUUUAGUGGAGUAUGGAUUUAUAUAGUUGUGUUGUGUGUUGGGCAUAAUAGAUAGAUCAUGUCAUCAUCCAUGCAUUCUUUCCUGGUGUGUCCCAUGUUUUCAAGAACAUACAUAUUUUGUUUCACGUUUCAAAUUUAAAACAAGCUCUUUUUAAGGACUUAACUACUAAAAAAAUUGAAAUAGAAGACGGAGAAAAACCGUUGUCUUUUUUCUUUGAAAAUCAUUGUUAAAUUGACCGUUAUUUUUUGAAUGUUAAAUUACAACAGUGAUCCAUUGUUGUCUAUUAAUUAUAAAAACGACGCUUUUACUAUAAACUGUCGUUUAUUAAAGGUAAAGCUAACGGUUUUGUUAAACGAACCGUCAUCUAUUAAUUGUAAACACAAUGGUGUGUUUGAAAGAAUCGUCGUUUAUUAUAUCUAAAGAUGAUGGUUUUUAACCAACAUCCUAACUCUAAAGACGACGGUUGUGUUGAAAAACCCAUCGUGUAUUAUCUAAAUUUAAAAAUAAAAUAAAACAUAAAGAUUUUCAACUAAAAUGAGGUCGGCUUGACAGCUUUCGGUUUUAGUAUAAUAAAUAUUCAAUAUCUUCUUAGGGUCUCCCUUUCUUAUACAAUUUCCAUGUACAAAGCAUGAUCAUGCGAAUUGUGAGGCUAAUUAGGCUGAAAACGCUUUGACAAAUUUCAAUCGGUAUAAUUAAUUUGGAUUAAUUUGUUCUGUAGUGAGCGUCUUUAAUUUUCUUGAAACUAUAAAUAUAUAUAUAUAUAUAUAUAUAUAUAUUGGGGUGACAUGCUCCUUAUUAUCUUCCAACCAAAAAUAAAAUAAGAUAAAAUAGGAUAAAUUACAGUAAACCCCCCAACCUAUAGGGUCAUUUACGAGUCCAUACCCGAUUUUGGGGACAUUUAUGGGUACAUAAUGUCGCGGAAAACCUACAGAUUGCCCUAUCCAUUAGCGAGUCCGUCAGGAAAUCCGUUAUCUGCCUACGUGGCAAACACUACUACAUUUUACCCUUUGCGCGACGAAUAACAAAACGUCGCGCAAAGUCCCAUUUAGUCGCACUAACUUCAGCGCGACAAAAAAUUCGUCGCGCAUAUUCCGUCGCGCGAAGAUCGUGAAGAAAGCCUUUGCGCGACGAGGUAAAACCAUUCGUCGCGCAAACAUGUGCGACGAGUAAACCAUCGUUGCACCAACGGUAUGGAGACGAAACAACUGUUCGUCGCAUAAAAUUUGCGCGACGAACAAGUAUUCGGCAUACGUAUAUUUGCGCGACGACAAGACUAGCGCGACGAAAAACCAUUCGUCGCGCAAAACUUGUUUGGGAGACGUAGAUGUUCGCCGCAGAACCAUUCGCGCGAUGAGAAAGUUUUCGUCGCUCAUAUAUUUGCGCGACGAAAUUUCUGUCGUCGCGCAGACGAUAUGCGCGACGAACACAUUCGUCGCGCAAAACUUGUUUGCGAGACGCAUGUAUUCGUCGCGCAAGAAUUAAAAGUAAUUAAAAAGUUAAAUUUUUAUUUUUUGUGUGGGUUUGCGCGACGAAACAUUUGCCGUCGCGCAAAAAUAAUAUUACAUUUUUUUAUUUUUUUUAUUUUUUAUUUUAAAUAAAAUUGGUUUUUUUUUUAUUGAUUAAACAAUGAAAUUGCAAUAAAAAUAAAUUAGAAUAAAAUUCUUUUAUAAAAUAAGAUAAAUGUAUUACAAACAUAUAAAUGUUUAUGAUGAAAAUAAAUACACUAAUCAAAUAAUGAAUCAAAAUCAACCGUGUCGUCGCCAGUAUGCUGCUCGGAGGUCUGGGCAUUCACCGGGGCAGUGGUCUGAUGGGGCUGCGCGGGAUGGACGGGCUCGGAGGUCGGCGCAUCAAAAUGCGGGACUGGAAUGCCGGACUGUGCGAGGGACUGCAGAAUGACCGACAUCUGGCUCUGAAGAGUGGCCACCUGUGCUGUCAAAGCAGUGACCUGACUGUUUGACUGCGCCGAUGAACGAGGUCUAGGCUCCCUCCUCCGGGCAUUCCCCAUCCCUCGACAAUAUGUCCCCGGCCUCCUCCCGAGAGUCUGAUCCAACGUCUCCGUCAAGAUCUGAAAUCCAGCAUCCUGUGGAGGAGCCACAGACUCGAUCGGGGUCUCGGGAGGAAGCUGGGAGGCGGACUCCUGAAGAACCAACUGGCUCCUCUCCACCAUCGUCGUCUGUUGAACAUAACAUAAAAUAUAAAUUAAAACAUGCAUAUAAAUUGAAUGCGUAACAUAAGAAUUAAAAUUAAAUAAUACUUACAUGAAGGGACUCGGCCAACUCAUUCCCGGGUCGAACAUAAACGUCACCAAAGACGUCGAUCUCUGGGAACUUGGACCCCUCCUAAAUUGAACAAGAGAAGAAAAAUAUUAGUAUGAAAAAAAUAAAUUAAUAAAAAUGACAUUAAAAAUGAAAUAUAAAUUUUGUGAUUAUUACCCGACGCCGUGCAUCCAUCCUAUACGAAAAGGGUCUGGAGCCGGAAUGGUGGAGAAGGGUCUUCUUCUUCCUAUUACCCUUAUUCACUUGGGCUUUAUUCUGUUAUACAAAAAAUGAAACAUAUUAGUUAAAAUAUAAAAAAUUAAAUAAUAAUGAAAUAAAAAAAUAAAAUAAACAUUAAUAAGUAAUAAGUAAUAAUUAAACAAAUAUAAUUAAAAAAAAUACCGCAAAUUCGGGCGCUUGAAAAUGAGCGCAGAGCCACUCCCAACUAUCCUCCCGCCCCUCAAGCUCCUUCGGGCAACCCUCAUGAAGAGCGACUUGCGGAUCAUCAUAGGCCUGAAAAUGGUGGUGCAAGUCGCUCUUCCACUGCUUGUACCUCUCAGCGAAGAGUCUGUUGAGGUACGUCAACGACUCUUCGUCGAGAUCCUCCAAGUUAUAGUUCGUCUGUAAUCAAUUAAUUAGAUACGUUAAGUAAUAGAAAUAUACACAAUUUUAAAGAAAAAUAUUGAAAAUGUAAGGUACAUACCGACAACUGGCCGCGAACCUCCGCCUUGAUCUCGUCAAGCAUGACCCUCCAAGACUUCCAUUGCAUCGGGCAAUGGGUUCGCACGACGUGGCCAAUGUCGUGGGCCAAGGAGCUAUGCAACUCUGCCGUCGGUGCAGCCCGAUGGCGCUAGUCGUACCCGAUGCUGAUACGACUGUUGGUCACCCGAGUGACCUUCGCCGUCUUCAGCUGACGACACGGUCCUCGGGUGUUCUUCUUCGCUGCAAAGCAAAAGGUAUUAAUGUUAAAUAAAAAAACAUUGUUAAAUUUCAAUAUAAAAUUAACAAUACAAAAGUGUAGUUAUACCUGACUGUGAUCCCGAGGCACCAGUACCGUCGGUCGAUGUCGUGUCGAUGGAGUCGGUGGGCCGGUGCCGCCGCCUAGCACUAGCUGGCUGCGCCACGGAUGACGCAGAUGACGCAGGCGCCUGGGGCGACUGGGACGCCCCGGGACCAACCACCACGUGGUCCAUCAAAGCUGGAGCAGUGGCAGCAGAUGCCGACUGAGCCGGGGGAUCCGAACUCGGUGCAGUCGUCAUCGUCCUACCACGUCUAAUCAAGUCUGACAUCUACACAUUUAAUUUCAUUCAGAAUUUAAACUAAUUAAUUAAAAGCAUAGCAUGACCUAGGGUUUGGAAUUUCGGAGUAUCCGGGACUCCGAUCAACGAUCGGUCGAAUCCUAAACGACCCUAGAAACACAAACGUACAACUACAUGAGUUUCAGUUCGAUCCAACGGUCCGAACAUAUCAAACCUGGAAAUCGCACAAUAGGCGAAAUCCGAUCAAGACUCAAACGGCAACCAAAUUCAAACCGGCCAAAACCUAGGGUUUUAAUUCCUAUUUCCUAUAGCGAAAAUUCACAAAAUCCUAACCAACCAUCAGCUAACCAGUAACAUAUCCAUCCAGCCAAUCAAUCAUAACAAACAUACAGAAAUCAUAACACAAAUACAAAAUCAAAAUCAAAAUCAAAACUGACAGAAAUCAUCAUAACACAAAUACAAAAAUAAAAACUGAAUUAACACAUACUUCAAUGGACACAGAGUCGAUAGAGGCUUACAGUGGCGCAGAGAAAACAGACGCGGGAGUGGCCCAGAGAAAAGAGAAGCGGCAGUGGCUACGGUGGUGAAGGCAGGGAGGCUACGGUUGCGAGGGCGACGGCAAGGAGGCUACGGUGGCGACGGCGACGGCAAGGACGCCACGGAACGAGCGGAGGUGGCUGAGGUGACGGCGGAGAGAGAGGACAUAAUUCAUUGCGCAAAAUCGUUUUAAUGAACCUUGCGCGAUGACAAUUCCGUCGCGCAAAACAGCAUUAAUGAAUCUUGCGCGACAACCUAAUUUAUUCGUCGCGCAAAGUUUUUGUUCACCGCCAAAAUUUUGGGAUUUAGGGUUUAGGGCGAGGCGGAAAUUGAAGGGUCUGCGCCUUUUGCGCGACGAAGUAAAUGAGCGUCGCGCAAAGGAUGAUAUUGCGCGACGGAAACAUUAUAUUCGUCGCGCAAAACACAUUCUCGGCGCCUGAUAUUGCGCGACGGAAACAUUAUAUUCGUCGCGCAAAACACAUUCUCGGCGCCUAAAAAUUGAGAUUUAGGGUUUAGCGGGAGAGGUAUCUGUCUUUUGCGCGACGAAACAAGUAACCGUCGCGCAAUAUUACCUUUGCGCGACGACUAUGUAUUCGUCGCGCAAAACACGUCUGGCUGCAAAAAUUUUGGGGUUUAGGGUUUGGCUGGAGCUGAAGGGCCAUUGCCUUUUGCGCGACGAAGACGUGUUAUUCGUCGCGCAAGUUCAAGAUUGUGAUUCGGUUGAAAUUUUCGCUAAGUGUUCAGAGGGUUGAGGGAUUGCGCGACGAAUAAACUAUGUAUUGCGCGACGUUUUUGUUUUAUUCGUCGCGCUAGUGUAGAAUUUCAUUGGGUUAAAAUUUUCACUAAGUGUUGAAAGGGGAUGGAGGGGUGGACUUUGUGUCCCAGAUUGCGCGACGAACGAAACCAUAUCCGUCGCGCAAUCAUAAUAUCUUUCACUUUGCGCGACGAUAUUAUGUGUUUCGUCGCGCAAAACCUAAACCCUAAAAUGUAAACCCUAAACCCUGAGCCCUAAGCCCUAAACCCUAAACCCUAAAAUAGUUUCAAUGAUCCAACCGGCAAACUUAUUUUUUUUUUCUUGGAGAUCGUAUACGCCAAAAAUCAAAACGACCAAACAUUCAGAUAUCAGAAAACGGGACAAAAUAUUUCGACGGUUAUAAAUGAAAAGUCAUGAUUUAACGGUUAUUUUAAUACCGAUUCCAAUCAUUUUUUAUAGCAACAUUUGUUGACCCUAUAUGAAUACAAUGACUGAAUUUGAUCUUCAAUUUCAGAUUUUUACACUAGGGGAUACCACAUAAACGUUAAGUUACAUUUUGACAAAUGUAUGAACAAAUUUUUGAUUUUUGGUGAAUAUAUGAUUUUGAUAGCACACGCAGUCUACAAAACUAGUUUCAGUCAUCCAGCCGUCAAACUUGUUUUUUGACAAUUCGAGAUCUUGGACAGCAAAAAUCGGCCAAAAAAAACAUUCAGAGAUUAAGUAACGGGGUAAAACUUUUCGACGGUUCGAAAUAAAAAGUGAUGAUUGAACGGUUAUUUGAACUCCGAUGUUGAUGAUUUUUUGCACCAACAGUCCUACACUCCAUAUGAAUACAAUGAACUACUUCGAUCGCCAAUUUCAAGUAUAUAUGUGUGUAUAUAUUAUACUAUAACGUUACGUAAUAUAUAUUUGCGCGACGAAGUCACUCUUAUCGUCGCGCAAAAGUACCAUACGCGACGCACAUAUUUUCGUCGCAACACUAGCUUUAUUCGUCGCGCAAAAUUUACGCGACGCAUUUUUAUGCGUCGCGUAUGGUGUUUUUGCGCGACGAUAAUGAUACUCCGUCGCGCAAGGAUUUGGCGCCAUAACUCCACCUUUAAUUCAAAUUGUGUAUGCUUUGUAUUUUUUGGAAAGGUUUUGUAUUCAUCAUUUUUUAUGCUUUGUAUUUUUUGGAAAGGCUUUGUAUUUCUUCAUCAAAACCAAGCUAAAUUGAUAAUUAAGAUUUGAAUCGACCGAAUUUAUCGGUUUGACUAGAUUGAUGCCACUAAUCAUGAACCAAAGUCAAGAAAAAUAAGUGGCACACAGCUAAUAUUGGAGAAAUAACUUAAAUUUUCUGUUUAAACAUGAAGAAAUAACUAUAUCUCAAAAGAUAAAAAUAAUAAUUGAAGAGGCCUUAAGGCAUGAAUAAAUAAAUAAAUAAAUAAAAACCAAUCAACAAGCAUGGGGUCGUAAUAAGUACUGACGAAAGUAUUGACUACAGUAUUGACAUUCCAAUGAAGUUUGUGAUGAAAUAUGGAGAAUGAAUACACAACUACAUAUGGACGACUGCAUAUAUUCAAAGAUUUGUAUUACACAAAAUGAAUACACUAACAUAAUAAAUUUACAAAUAAAUUCAUUAUUCAUCAUUUGAACUAUAAUAACUUUCGUUAUCGUCGCUAUCAUCACUCUCGGUCUCCCAAUCUUCUUCCUCCUCCUCCUCUAUAACUGCAUCAUCGGCGUUGCUAGGGCCCACUGCAACAUCGUAUCGGGGAAGAUCACCGAGGUCAAUUGUAAUUGACUGAAUCGGUAUUUCGACUGAAGACACUCCUUCUAUUUGAAACGGUUCUUGUAUAACAUUUGUAUCUCGAAGUGUUUCCGCAUCAUUUUCCAUUGAAGAUUCUAAACGUUGGUCAGCCACAUUGUCGACGGCGUUGUCACUUGGGUCUAGUUCUGGUAUAUCAUACACGUUCCUAUGAUCCAUCUUCUGCACAACUUUCCACCCGUUCCCGGCUUUAGGGUCAUCUAGAUACACAAUUUGGGACGCCAUGUGUGCCAAAAUGUACGGGUCGUCAUCAUACCAAGUUCUGUUAAUGUUCACAGACAGUACUCCAUGGUCGAUUUUAACACUUCCCGCCCUAUUUGGGUUGGUAUCGAACCAUCGACACUUAAACAUGAUGACUUGGUAUCGAUCUUUGUAAAGCAAUUGCACGACAGUUGUCAGUUUGCCGUAGAAAUCAAUGUCCGUACUUUCGCCUCCACCUGGGACAUGGACACCGCUAUUUUGCAUACACAACUUGUCAUCUCGUGCGGCCCCCAAAAAUUUGACGCAGUUAACAUUACAACCCGAGAACAAUUCAGCGCGAAUUGGGCCGAACGCCAAGUUAUAUAACUCAUCACUGUAAGUGGGGGAAUUCGAUGAUUUCAAUUUAUUCACCUAAUAGUAUACAAAACCAUUUACAUGUUAGUCAGACAAAAUUAAAUACUACAAUUUAUAUCUGUCAAUUAUAAAACACUUAUAACUUACAGAAUCCAAAAACCAUUGUGGAAAUAAUUCACGGUGUUUCCGGGCAACCAAAUGUGAUGGAUGUUCUCGCUUCAUCAUCUGUUCAUGCUCAUCUAAGUAGGCCAUUAUCUCAUCACAAUUGUUCAGUACGAACCAAUGCGCUACCUCCAUGUCAUUUCUAGAAAACGACUCUCCUCGUCCAGGAUCUCCAAAUGGUCGUGCGCUUUGGGCAAAAACAGAAAGUUUUUCAUUUCUCAUACCUCCGUCAUUAUUGCGUUGAGGACGAUUGAAAACCGUCUCCACAUCUUUUAAAUACAUUCCACAGAAAGUAAGCGACUCAUAUUGAACCCAAGCCUCUAUAAUUGAUCCUUCGGGCUUUGCCCUGUUGCGUACACUUUUUUUCAGCUCUCCGAGAAGCCUGCCAAAAUAAAACGAUAUGAUACAAAUUAGCAAAUUGUCGAUAAUGAUGCAUACACAAAUUAUAAAGAUUAUAUACCUUUCUAUUGGAUACAUCCAGCGAUAGUUGACAGGACCAGCAAGCAAUGCCUCUUCUGGCAAGUGAACCAUCACGUGUAUCAUACUUGUAAAGAAAGCUGGCGGAAAUAUCAUCUCAAACUUGCAUAGGACUUGGACAAUGUCAUGGCGCAACUGAAACAUGUCUGUCCUUCGCAAUGUUUUUGCCGUCAGUUGGGAAAAAAAUCUGGAUAACAAGAUGAUUGGCUUCACCACAUCUUCCGGCAGUAGGUGUCGAAUACCCAUAGGAAGUAGGCGUUGCAUAAACACAUGGCAGUCAUGGCUCUUAAGUCCAGUAAAUUUACCCCCAUCGACAUUCACGCAACGUGCGAUAUUAGAAGCAUACCCAUCGGGAAAUUUGACAGACGAUACAAACUUUAGAAACUCUUUUUUGUCAUUCGGUUUCAUAGAAAAGAAUGCAAGAUCCCUUCUAGCUUUAUCACUGUAUUUCUUCAUCCAUAAACCCCUUCGUAUGCCCAUUCUUUCCAAAUCAAGACGAGCUUUGAUCGUGUCCUUCGUCUUCCCCUCGAUAUCUAGAAUCGUGCCCACCAAUGUGUCGAAUACAUUUUUCUCAACAUGCAUCACAUCUAGAUUGUGCCUCAAUUUCAGUUUCGACCAAUAUGGGAGCUCAAAAAACAUAGGCUUGUGCGUCCAGUUCAAAUGUGUAGAAGGUCUGGUCCGACUAACUGUUUUUCCGAACGGAGCAAAAUCCAAACGGUUCAACUGUUCCAAGAUCUCAUCACCGGACCAUUCUCUAGGUCUGAGGCGACGCUCUGUGUUCCCGUCGAACUCUUUAUCUUUUUCCCGCCAUUCGUGGUCCCAUGGCAACCAUCUCCGAUGACCAAGGUAACAAACUUUUCCUGCGUGCCAACCAGAAGUUACAUCUUCCUUGCAUACAGGACAUGCCAUAUAACCCUUUGUGCUCCACCCAGAAACCAUUGCAUAUGCUGGGAAAUCAUUCACAGUCCACAUAACUGCUGCCCGCAAAGUGAACAUCCUCCCAGUUGAUUUAUCGUAUGUGCGAACACCGUUUGUCCAUAAAUCCUUCAGCUCAUCAACCAGAGGCCUUAAGUACACAUCAAUUGACCUGCCAGGAUCCUCAGUUAUCAAAACAGUCAUCAUCAUGUAUUCUUUUUUCAUGCAUUUCCAAGGCGGCAAAUUAUAUGGGAAUGCGAAAAUCGGCCAAGUGCUGUGGUGUUGGUUUAGAACCCCAUACGGAUUGAAUCCAUCAGUGGCAAGUCCCAAUCUAACAUUUCGGGGAUCAGCAGCAAACUCGGGGAACGUUCGAUCGAACUCUUUCCAUGCCUCCCCAUCAGCAGGAUGCCGCAUCACAUCAUCGUCUACCCAUUUUUCCUUAUGCCAUCUCAUGUCUGUGGCAGUAUGCGUCGACAUAUACAAUCUCUGCAACCUAGGUUUAAGGGGCAGAUAACGCAUCACUUUUUGUGGUAUCUUAGUCGUUCUAUUCUGGGAUGUCAUUUUGAACCUCGACUCAUUGCAUAUAGGGCAUGUAUCCAACGUUUCAUGCUCUUUGUAGAAUAACAUGCAAUUGUUUUUGCAAACGUGGAUUUUUUCAUAACCCAAUCCAAGACCAUGCAACACCUUCUGCGCAUGUUUAUGGUCUUUCGACAAACAAUUGUCCGUCGGAAGCAUUCUCUUGAAAACCCCCAAAAAGUAAUCAAAACACAAGUUCGACAUACGAUACUUUAUUUUUCCGUGCAUUAGCUCCACAAUGGCAGUGAGAACGGAAAAGCUCUCGCACCCCGGGUAUAACUCUUGGUUGGCAUUUUUUAACAGUUUUUCAUACUGUUCAAACUCCGCACUGUCUAUUGGUGUAGGCACGUCAUCUUCCCCUUCCUGAUUGAUGUUGGUCGAUGCGAAUGGAAAAGCAUCCUGUAUAAUACCCAUGACUUGAUCAUUAGGAUCCACAAUAGGUUCAACAUUGUCCACUCUCGGGGCAUUUGAAGAAGAAGCAUGGUCUACUUGUUCGCCGUGAAGGUUCCAAAUGCUAUAUGUUUCAAUCAUUCCAUUCCUUACUAAAUGAAAUCCAACAUUUUCAAUUGUCUCCCACAACGUGUUGUUACACCUCCUACAAGGACAACGGAUUCUAGUUGCACCCGGGUUGUGUCUACGUGCAAACUCAAUAAAAUCCUCGAUUCCAUCCAAGUAUUCGUCUGCGCAUCUAUUCGGGUUCUGUAUCCACCUUCUGCUCAUAAUUCCUGAAACCACAAUCACGACACAACAAUCACAACAACUUCAUACGAAGUUAUAAUGUCACCUUAUGCCUCCGGUAAGGGCCCUAUCCCAUUCGGGAAUGCAUAGUCCUGUCACGUAACCUACGGCUACAUGAGAUUAGAUUUCGACGUGGAUUAAUUUCGGCAGCAUCUCGACACAGUUCUUGAAGUGGGCAUAGGUAUAAAUACCUACGUACCACCCGAAGAACGUACCGAGAUGACACCGAAAUCUCCACAAUCGAAACCUAAUCCUGUAGCCGAAGAUUAUGUGACAACACUAUGCAUUACCAAACUGUCCAAAUAAUGGGACAAUUCAAGAAUUAAUUGGACCUCAGUCAUGCAUUACGCAUCCAUGCACGAAAUCCAACUAAUCUCGAACGGGAAACUACGUGUUACUAAAUAUAAAAAUAAAAGUACGAAGUUAAUUUCAAUUAACUUCGUACAUCACAACACAUUGUGCUAUGUCACGCACAAUUUCACAACAUUAUACACAUAUAACUUCACAAAAAAAUUACAAACAUAACAAACAAACUUUUACAAUAACAUACCUUCUAAAUCGUUCUCCACCAAUCACCAAUCACAAAUAUCCCUAACGAUAACAAAAUUAAUAGCGUUACUAAGAAUUUACAUUAAUACAUUUAAACUAACGACAAAAAAUACAUACCCAAUGAACGUACUGAAUUCACAGCAGAGCAAUGGCAGGGAGAGUGAGAGAGAGGCAGAAUGCAGUGGGAGAGUGAGAGAGAGGCAGAAUGCAGAAACUGCAUUCUGCCUCUGCAAUGGCAGAUACUAAAAUGAAGAAGAAGGACUUUGCGCGACGAACAACCCAAUCCGUCGCGCAAACUGCCGUCGCGAAAACCCACUUUUCCGUCGCACAAAAAAAAAUUUCCGUCGCGCAAUUACCUGCCGACAUCAGGUUUUUUGCGCGACGAAUAAAAUUAUCCGUCGCGCAAAUAACAUUAUUCGUCGCGCAAGAUUUAUAUUACGUCGCGCAAAUAACAUUUAUUUCGUCGCGCAAGAAAGCAACGGCAUUACACUUUACGCGACGAAGGUAAUUCCGUCGCGCAAAAACAGUUUUUUCCACUCUGCAUUUUGCCGCCAAAAUUAAGUAACCCUCGUUUUCUUACGCGACGGUACUUAUUUCCGUCGCGCUAAGGCGUCUUUUGCGACGAAAAAGUUCGUCGCGCAAAGGUUUUUACAGCAACAAAAAUUAGACAAUUUUCUGUCCAUCUUUACGCGACGAAAUAUUUUUAUUGUCGCGCAAUAUUGUCAUGCGCGACGAUUUUUAUCGUCGCGCAAGAUUCUGGGACCAAAAAUAAAAACUGGGUUUUUUUCCCCGACCUUUGCUCGACGAAAUUAGUUGUGGUCGCGCAUAGAUUGUUUGCGCGACGACGAUAUUUCGUCGCGCUAGAGUUCUGCUCUUUGCGCUACGGUAUUUUUUUUUCGUCGCAAUAGUGAUUUUUGCGCGACGAAGAUAUUUCGUCGCGCUAGAGUUCUGCUCUUUGCGCUACGGUAUUUUUUUUUCGUCGCAAUAGUGAUUUUUGCGCGACGAAAAUAUGUUCGUCGCGCAAACAGUAAAUCGUAGUAGUGAAAUGUGGAUUCCAUUUUUUAAUUGACGUGGACUUACAGGUGGACAAAUAAAUAAUAAAAAAUUAUAUACAUGUUAAAAAUAAAUUUAAAAUAAUAUUAAAAUCAUUAAAAAUGAAAAAAAAAUAGAAAAAGGUAAAAAGACGCAAACAGCCCCAUUCCAUCCCCCCCUUCCAGCCCAACCUCCAACCCACCCUCCCCAAACCCUCCGAUUUGAACGCAUUCGAUUUGAAAGAACAAGCUCAAGCCGUUUGAACGCCCAAUUCUGUUUGAAAGAACACCCAGUUUUGUUUAAACGCGUUCGAUUUGAAAUCGUUCUCGGCCAGACUGGACCUAUCCGGGCUGUUCAAAGACCAUUCGUACGGCUCUGCGAAGGACAACGAGCGUUUCGUGUUGGAGGAGAUGAUGAAGAAGGUGGAGAAGGAGAAGACGAUGCCCUCCUCCUUCCUCUGCCGCUUCUUCGUCCUCGUUGCUUGCCCAGUUAAUUGACUGAACAUCGGUAAUCCCAAACAACAGGCCGUUUUCUGCAACCAGCCUAGGUUGCUGGGGAGGGAAGUCCAUUCCUUGAAUUAUACUAAACGAAUUCGGAUUCUGAUAUUAUUCUCAGCCAAGCAUUUUCUAUUUCAUAGGCACUGACGUUUGGGAUGCGAAAUUUGACUGGCCUCGAUGCCGUGAGGCUGAUCGAAAUUUGGGAUGUGAAAUUUGAAGUUGAACUCAACUAUGGUUUGGGGACGGCGACGACCACGACAUUGUUUUGGGGAAAAUGAUCAGAUCUGUGGCAUGAAGGAGGUGUUAAGGCUGGGAUGGGUGGCCUGAGUAAGCUUGGGUGGUGGUUUGGGUGGCUGUGGGCUAGGAGGGGAGGAGAUCGGGAGAGAGAGAGAGAGAGAGAGAGAAUCUUGGUAGGGUUAUUGUAUUUUAUUUUUUUAUUUUUAUUUUAGCCCCACGAGAAUUGUUUGUGCCAAUCCAUGCAAGGGUGAGUACCAUUGAAGGUACGCAGCUGGAGUCGGGGGUCGAUCUUGCGACCUUUGACUCCAUGGACAAAGUUGAUAAGAUCAAAAGGUGACACCCCAAAUGUUCCUUGUUGCUUCAGAUUGCUGUAUCGAAUGAGAAGAGCUCGUGGCAUUCAUUUGGGACCAAAUUUGGAUGUUGCCUGAGGAGGUCGCACCACUCCUCAGACACGCACACAAACUAGGGUUAAGAGUGGUGGGAAGUUCGUUCCACGUGGGAUCGAAAGCAUCUAAAUCUACCGCAGAGCGAUAGCUGCAGCUAGAGCUGCAUUUGAUGUGGCUGAUGAGCUCAAAAUUCCCAAAAUGCAUGUCCUUGAUAUUGGUGGUGGGUUCAAAGCAAAUCAACUGUUUGAUGAAAUAGCCGAGACCAUAAAUGUUGCCAUCAAAUAAUACUACUUUUAUGAUCAUCAGUCAGAUUCUGAUCUGAAGGUGAUGGCUGAGCCAGGAAGGUUCUUUGCUGAAACUGCAUUCACAAUGGUUGCAAAUGUGAUGGGGAAGAGAGUGAGGGGAGAGCAAAGAGAGUAUUGGAUUAGUGAUGGAAUUUAUGGGUCAUUUAAUCUUCCAGCAUAUGACAAAUCCUCUAUGCAAAUCUCACCCCUACAAAUUCUAAGUCCUCACCAAAAUCAAGUGACAUAUUCAUCAACAGUUUUUGGGCCGACUUGUGAUUCAUUGGACAUAGUUGUUGCUGACUGCAAACUGCCUGAAUUAAAGCUGAAUGAUUAUCUUGUGUUCCACAACAUGGGCGCCUACACAACUUCUGCUGGAACCAACUUCAAUGGCUUCUGCAUUUCUGCUAUUCCUACGUACGUGGCAUUUACAAGUGCUAAUAAUUAAACUAGAUUUUGUUGGGGUUCGUAUGGCUGAUGCUAUUUUACUGUAAUUUCUUCUUUUAUUCUCUAUUAAAAGAGAAAAAACUGUUAGAAGUGGGGAAUGGAAAAUAAGUUUUUUUGACUAGUUUCAAAAACAAAAAUUAAAGUAUUGUGUGAUCUCUCUCAUUUUUUUACUUUAAAUCUUGUUUGACUGUUUUGUGUGAUCAAAAAAUUAUUAUAUUAUGGGUAGAUGACAUGGUUUAUAUUUCCCAUUUUUAGUAUAAAUAAAUAUUUACUAAUAUUAUAAUACGUGGAUAACUUGUAUUACGUGUCUGUAUUUUAGUAUCAUCCUAUAUACUCAGGGCUCGUUUGGUACAUCAUACUGUAUUGACUAAUUUAUGUCAAAUAGUAUUAGUUUGUUUCAGAGAGUAUUGACUGUUUAUCUAUAAUAUUAUAAGUCGUUUUAGUUCUGUUUUGGAUCAAUAAUCUAACUAAAUUAUACUGUAUUUGGUACUUCGUAGGAUAACAUCGGAUCAUACUAUUUUUUUUAAUUCUUUGAUAACUUGACAGUCGCGGGGAUGAUGAAUUGAUAAUGUAACCAAUAAAAGACGACAAUAGAUAUCCAGCUAACAGUCUACAACUCAACAAAAGUGAGCAAUCAAGAGCACAUGUUUAACAAGAAAGAACUUGUAACCAAUAAAUCAGUAACACCAAGGGCAUCUGAGGGCUGGAAAACUCAAUCUUGGUACUACAAAUUUCAAGUUUCCAAUCUCACAAUGGAAUUUCAAAUAGUAUUGUGCUUUAUAAGAGAUAUAGGUGCAACAAAUUGUACUAGUAGAGAGAUAUGCAACAGUUCGCAUUAUAUUUGUAACACUUGAAAGAAAAAAGACAAUUAAAAAAAAACGAAACAUGGGAAAACAAGAAUCAAUAACACGUACAAAUUAAUAAUUCCAACUCAAAUGGAUAUCAGCAGAGAAGUUUUUUUGCAACUAAUCCCAGUGUUCCAUGCUUCUUAAAUUAAACAUUUGAUUUAUAAAAAAAUGUCAAAAAGGAAAAACUUAUGACCUAAUUUCCACAAAAAUUGAAUAAAACAUGAAAUAUAUCACUAUAAGAAAAUUGAGUAUUUACUGCGUGCUAUUUAUGGUAUGCAUUUUAUGCACGCUGUAAAUGUGUUUUUCCAUCCUCUUUUUCCGGCGUGCAUUCAUAGCGCAACUUAAAUGAAUUUUUUCUGUCCUUUUUUACGGCGUGCUUUUACAAUGCGCCGUGAUUUUUAGGCAAUAAUGGCGUGCUUUUGAUGACUCUAUUAAUGGCGUGCAAAAUAUGCACACCGUGAAAUCUAAUCCUAUUAAUGGCAUACAAAAUAUGCAUGCCGUGAAUACAAAACUAAUUCUUGUUUUAAAGUCAAGGAUGGAUCCCAAAAUGGUAAAGCCCACUACCUAAUUGAUUGAAGAGAAAUGAUGAAGCUUGUCUGCCAUCAUCGCUUGAGAGCCAACCACAUAUCCAUGGGAGGCAAUAACACUACCAGAUUUUGUUGCCUAUAAAAUAAGGCUUCAUCCUCACUUGUAAUUGAUAGAACAAAAGUCUUAAUGAAAAUAUCAUAUUUCUAUGCUCUCUAUCUCAAUUUUCUCUACAAUUCCUCUAGAUUUAUAACACGUCAUCAGCACGAAUAUCUCUAAAAUACCAACUAGGAUAUUCGAUCAAAACACUCUGCUUCAUUGCUUUUCUUUAUCGGGUUUGAUUGAGUUGCUCAUGCUCUUCUGUGUAUCGAUAUAGCUUAUGUGAAACUUUGUUAUCACUGUCUCAGCUCUUUACUCUCUCUCUCUCUCUCUCUCUCUCUCUCUCUCUCUCUCUCUCUCUCUCUCUCUCUCACUCUAUAUAGCUUCAAAACACAAACCCAACAAAACAAGUUCUUGAGGAAGAUCAGACCAGUCAGCAAGAAUUAUUUUUCCUUGUUUUGUGCCACAAUUCCACCAGUGCUUCAGUCUUCAUCUCUGGGGAUGGAUCAGAAACCUGAAUCGAGCAAAGUAUGCGUUACUGGGGCAUUUGGCUUUCAGGCAUCAUGGCUUAUAUUAAACGACUUCUGGCUAUCAUGUAACUGGAACUGUUAGAGGCUAAAGGAGAGAAAAGAUCAGACGCACAAAACAUGAUAAGAUAAUCUCUGCCUUUUUAUCUUCUCCUUUAAUUUUAUUAAUAUUAUUAAUACCCUACAAGAACAGCACCCACCAAAUGAUGAGCUUCCCAUCCUAUUUUCAAUUAUUAUUAUUCUUCUAUAUUAUUUAAUAUUAAUAUUAGUGCAUGUGCUGGUGGCAGGUCAAAUGAAAAGGCAGUGGCAAGUGUGAUAUUGAUCACUUUCUUUGCUUGCCUGAUUAUAUAUUUGAUAUAACAUGCUAUAUAGCUCACAUAUUAGUAUAUCAAUAUAUUAUAUACAUUAACAAUUACUUAUAUACUAUAUAUAUAUAUAUAUAUUAAUUCUAUGAAUGGUUUCACCUCCUAUAUUUUUUUAGUGGUGGUUUUAUCCUCACAUUUAUUUACUGUAUGGUGUAGGUUCAUUACCCAUACAAUUUAUUUACUGUAUGGUGUAGGUUUAUUACCCAUACAACAGUAUUUAUUUAAAAGUGUAGUGCGGGUUUAUCGUCCACACAACUGCCUUUAAUUUUAUUUAAGAGUAUGUAGCAGAAUUAAUGCUCAUACAAGCACAUUUACUUUAUUAUUGUAUGGUGUGGAAUUAACCCCCAUACAACAAGCAAUUUACUUUUAUUUAAAGUAUGGUGUAGGAUUAACGUCCAUACAUGAGGCAAUUUAAUUUAUGAAUUUAUUUUACCGCACAUUUAAUUUUAUUUAAGGUAUGGUGCAGGAUUAACGUGCAUACAACAAGCAAUUUAAUUGAUGAAUUUAUUUUACCGCACAUUUACAUUUAUUUAAAGUAUGGUGCUAGUUUAUCGUCCAUACCAGCAAUUUAUUUACAAGCAAUUUAUUUUAUGAAUUAAUUGUGCGGUGUGAUGAGUUUUUAUAGUAUACAGAUUAGGACCAGAAGUUCUUUGAUCCUCAUCAGACAAUUACAUCAGGACUUGAAGAUCCUUGAUGAUGAUAAUGAUAUGAGAGUUGGCAGUCUCUCUGGUACUAUACUUGUAAAGAAGAGAUCGGACUUGAAGAUCCUUGAUCCUUGACAUGUAAAUAAGGACCUAGAGUUUCUUGACGAUGUAACAGUAUCGUAUUGGUUAAAAGUAUCGUACACAUGAAUAAUAACUGUACUGGCAAAUGUACUGUACACAUGAACAUACACAAAAUUCAUGACUUGAUGAAUAAUACCGCAUACAUGAAUAGUGACGUAUGCAUAAAUAUUAACCAUUUUGGGUAAACCGUCACUAUAUACAAAAGGGAAUAUGCAGUUCCUUAAAGUCAUGGAUGAGCAAUUAAAUGAGAUGCCAGAAGUUCCUAAAAAUAUGGACAAUUAUGUAAGGGCUUGAAGUCCCGAAAUAUGUACAGAAAAUUGUAAAAAUGUCAAUACCAUGAGAAUAUGUGAUUUUGGCCCGAAGUUCAAAAUCUAAGAGUAUUGAAUGCCCAUACUAUGAGAAUAUGUGAUUUGGCAUAAAGUUCAAAAUCUGACAAUAUUGAGAACUUGAAGUUCCUAUAGUUAAAUGGACAACCCUUGAGGUAUUAUUACAAAUUGUGGUGCGCCACAUAUUUCUUUGGCAUAAGAAAAUGAUGAAUUUAAUAAAGUUCGAUUAUGUUAUAAUCGACAUCUCAAGGAAGAAAUAUAUUUUGUGAAUUCCAGUCAUUAAAAAUACACCGUGAAAUAGAUAAUAUCAGGAUAAACCUCAAAUGAUGAAUUGAGGCUCCCCACAUAUUUUGUUGUAUUUGGGCCGGAAGACAGUGGAUCCAAAUAUGUGAGAGAUCCCGAACCUGAAGUUUUGGGUAUAUAGUAGUUAAUGCUCUUCACUACUAUAUUGCGAUAUUAUCAUGAUUUUUACUCAAUUCAUAUUUCAUGUCCAUUUGAAAAGGACGAAUAAAUUCUGAGGCUGUCUUUAGCCCGGGCCAGAAGUUUCGGGCUCACAUGCAUUGAAAUAUGUAAUUUGAGAGAUUUGAUGUGGUUCUUCAAACCUAUAUGGCAGAAGGUUCCAAACUGUCGUUUUGAAAAGACGUAAAAACUACAGGUGCAAGUUUAAGAAUUUGCAUAAUUAUUAUAACAGGAAAUGAGCAUAUAACAGAUGGAUUUUUUCCACGGGCAAUGAAGGUGCAGGCUCUGUAAAAUUUAUAAAAUUACAUUAUAUUUUGGAAGCCUUUGAAGGAAGAGGACGGCGCCUCUUUAAGCUUAGCCAUGAACCUCUUGUGGUCUCCCAAAAUCUUUUCAUUGGAAACCUGCAGCAUGUCUAGCCUUCUCAGAGUAUCAAUAGAGUACAAACCCACCAAUUUCAACAAGGCAUUAUUUUCUUCUCUAAGUUUCUCAACCUCCUGUUGAGACUCAUGAAGCAUUCUCUGAAGAGACGAAUUUUCAGUAGUCAGCUCCUGAACCUCGUUUUCUUUAGCACGCAAACAAUCAGUCAUGUUAGAAAUAGAAGCAACACUCUGACUGCUAAAAGUCAUUGAGUAAUCAAUAGCCUCUUCAUCAGACCUCACUAAUAACAGCAUUUCAUCCAUUGGAAUGAGGAAAUUCCUAGCCACUAUGACAAUAGUCGCAUCAUUCAUCAUCACAGAAUCAUUAACCGUGAGAUGACGAUUUUGAGAUACAAAGGAUGGACGCCAGACUUUGGCAUCACGAGUUGUGUUGGGAGUAACAUUUAAAUCAAUAUGGUUUGGGUAAGAAGAAGAGAGCCAUUUUUAGGAAAGUUUUAAGAGAAGCUGAAUUUUCAGAAAAUGAAAGGAAGUUGAGUUGAAACGUUCUCCAAUCAGGUCUUGCAGAGGCAAUAUCUAUUAGAGAAUAUAUGGUAACAAUUUCUAGGAUCCCAAUAUUCUCUCGGGUCCCCAUAUUCUCUUUCCCAUAUUCUACAACCUCACGCAGCCUCCAUUAAUGUAUGUCGGCACUUUCGGCAUUCUCAAGUAUUAUUUUCGUCAAAGCCGAUCUUGCUUUGUGGAUUUCACGGAUCUAAUUUUUCAAAAGCACAUCGAGAACCCCGCGAAUUUUUGUGGUUAAUUCGAGAUUCACCGGACCUAACUAUUCCGCUCAUUUAUGUGUAAAUGUGAUACUAACGAAAUUUUCUUUGCAGAAGACAUCCAGUUUUCUCCAUAUCUAGUGAUGCAAAAUCCACUUGUUUUUCCUAUCAGUGAGCACUCGAUGUGCUUGAGAAGCGAGACUAUCUCUAAUCAUCCAUUCAGGAACCGAGACUAUCCCUGAUCACGUUUCAGUUAGAUCAGGGAAUUGUAAGGACGACCACAUACUCUAAUCUCCUGAGAUUCUUCUAGACUAGGAGAAAUGAGAGUUUGUUGUCUGCUCCCACCAACUUCCUUCCUUGAUUGCUUACCUUAUCCUGCAAUUAAUAUCACAAUUUUUUUGCAUUUUUUCUCUUUUUAUAACUCUCUGUUCAUAAGGGAUUUUAUUUCUUUAGAACGAACAUCCAAAGAAAGAAUCCAUGAAGUGAUCCUAACUCUGAGGGUUGUUUGCUUUUUACAGAGAGAAGAAUUGUGAUUUUUGCUCUUGCAGGAUAUAACUAGAUCAUCAAGCGCUACAUUUUAUUUACUGGGCCGAUACGAGCUUGAAUGACACUUGAGAAAAGUUUCUCCCACCUAAGGAUGAGUUUUUUAAAAAAAAAAAAAUUUAUAGAGAUUCUAGAGCGUAUCGUAAUGGGGCCAAAAGGUUUGUUGAUACGGUUCAAGCUAAUAAUGGGGAUCCAGAAAAAAAUUCAAUGCCCUUGCAAUUGUCGUUUAAACUUACAACAUCACCAUCAUGGUAUAGUUUAUGGGCACUUGGUCAUGAAUGGAAUGGACCCUACGUAUACUAGGUGGAUAUUAAUUUCAUGGGGAAGAACCAAGUUCAUCAGUACAAGAUGAAUAUAGGAAAAUGCCAGAGACAUAUUUCAUGUAUAGAGAUGCAUUCCUUCAAGAUGAUGAUGCUGUUGAACCUACACAAGAUAGAGAAGAGCUGAAUUUUAAAAAUUUAGUGGAUGACGCAGAACUUCCCUUGUACACAGGUUGUUCUUACACAAAGAUGUCUGCAAUUGUUGUCUUAUACAAGUAUAAGGCUAGGCAUAGUCUAACUGAUAUAGCUUUUGACGGGCUUCUUCAUCUUCUUCACGGUUUUCUACCACGUGAUAACAGACUUCCAAAUUCUUUGUAUGCUACCAAAAAAUUACUCAAUGAUUUUGAUCUAGGAUAUGAGAAGAUACAUGAUUGUGUGCAAGAUUGCUGUUUAUUUAGAAAAGAUUUAAAGGAUGGAGACAUGUCCAAAGGUGGUUCUUCACGGUGGAAAAUUAAUGAGCGUACCAAAAAUAUUCAACAAUGAGUCCCUACAAAGAUCUUGCGUUACUUUCCAAUCAUACCAAGAUUUAGGAGAAUGUUUAAGUCACCAGAAAAGGUAGAACAAUUAACAUGGUAUUACACUAAUAAAAGUCAUGACGGCAAGAUGCGACAUCCAAUAGACACAUUGGCAUGGAAUAGGAUUGAUAAUAAGUGGCCUUCUUUUGCUUCAGAUCCACGUAAUCUUAGACUCGGCCUUUCAUCCGAUGGAUUUAAUCCUUUCGGUGAUCUUAGUUCUAAAUAUAGUUAUUGGCCCGCGAUUUUGGUUGCAUAUAAUCUCCCCCCAUCUCUAUGCAUGUCCAAGGAGAAUUUAAUGUUGAUAUUACUCAUCCCAGGGCCAAGGCAACCUGGAAACGGUAUAAAUGUAUAUUUGGAACCACUUGUAGAAGAUUUGAAAGAGUUAUGGAUCAAUGGUGUAAGUGUUUAUGAUGCUUUCAACAAGUCCACAUUCAAUCUAAAAGCUAUAUUGAUGUGGACAAUAAACGACUUUCUAGCUUAUGGGAAUUUGUUCGGAUAUUCCACGAAGGGUGAGAAAGCUUGUCCAAUGUGCGGGGUUGACACAUGUUCAAAGUGGAUGACUCAUAAUAGAAAGUGUGUAUACAUGAAUCAUAGAAGGUUUCUUGCACACAACCAUCCAUUUUGGGGAAAAGCAGGUUGGUUUGAUGGAACUAUGGAAUGUGGGCGAAAGACUAGAACAUUAACCGGUUCAUAAGUUCUUCAAGUAGUGAAGAAUUUCAAUAAUGAUUGCGGAAAAGCAAAGAAAAAGAUCAACAAAAAAAGGAAGAGAGAGACAGAUAAAGAUUCUAUAUGGCCUUGGAAAAAGAAAUCAGUUUUCUUUGAGUUGCCCUAUUGGGAGGUUUGUCAUUUUACCUCUGAUUUUUAUUCAAUUUUAUUAGGACUUUAUACUUUCUUUGUGUUUCUUUGGAAGGCUUAUUGCUAAAGUUGAUAUAUCAUUUCUUUGUGAUGUAGGCAUUAUUAAUACGUCACAAUUUAGACGUAAUGCACAUCGAGAAAAAUGUUUGUGACAGCAUUGUUGGCACUCUCUUAAAUAUGAAGGGAAAAACAAAGGACAACUUGAAAUCUCGUAAGGAUUUGAAAUAUAUGGGAAUCCGAAAAAAUCUGCAUCCAGAUGAUGAUGGGGCUAGUUGUAAAGCGAGAGCAUGUCACGGUAUUGUAUAGCUGAGCCUUCACACAUCCAUAUUAUAAUUUAUUUUCUCAUUUCCAUCCAAAGUAAUGUGUAUGUUUUUUUUUUCUUUUUGGUAGCAAAAGUUCAGUCUUGAUGAUUGCCACAAGAAAUAUACUUUUCGAAAGUUACGCGAACUUUGGAGGGACCAUCAAUCCAAUUUAGUGAAAAUGGUGAUGAAGCAAGCUGAAGUGGUUGGCCUACCACACGCUGCUUCUCUCCCCAAACCGGACAAUGCAAAAACUACGGACGAAUGACUCUUAUUUCUCAAAGAACGAACUAGUCAAGAAACUAGAGUAAGUGUGUAUUUACUUUUUCAUCUUUAUUGUGUCUUAAUCUUUGGUGUUGGCUGCCAUUGAUGAUGUUGUAGAUAUUGAUUGAGUGUUUCACAAAUUUGAUUUGAGUGAUACAUCUUAUAUUUGGAUAUUUACCUAUGUUUGUUGGGUCAAAUUGAUUUAUAUUUUAGCGUUAAUUUGUUAUGUUCUCUCUUUGUGUAAGAAAAGUGUCAAAAGUUCAAGGAAAUAUGAGGGCAACACAAAAUUUAGGGCAUAGAACGAGCCGUAAAAGCUUUGCCUGCAUAGAGGAUGAACUGGUAAAAAUGAUAUUAGUUUGAUCUCAAUUUGUAGUGUGAGUAUUGAUUUUUUUUUUUCUUUUUGCAGCAACAGAAAAGUGAGAUACCUGAUGCAAUUUCAAGGACUGAUGUUUGGAUCUAUGGAUACAAAAAGAGAGAAGAAUAAGGAUGAUGACGUUGAGGAUCCAGAUUUAGUGGUAAAAACUGUUUGCUGCAUAUUUUUAGUUUUUUUCCUAUGAUUGAUAUUUAAGUUUUUAUUUUUGUGGUGGUAAAUUUUAGAAAGAAGUGAAAACGUACAAAAAAGAACAAGGACAACAAAAAUGUUCUAUUAAAGAUGAUGCUGUAGCAAAAGUACUUGGUCCUGAUCCACGAGGACGAAUAAGAGGAAUGGGGUUUGGGGCAACCGUUUCAAAGAUUGAAGGUCAAGUUCGUGUUCGUGAUCAAUUCAAUUUAUUGGAAAAUGAGGUUAUAGAAUUGAAAAAUCAAAUGACAGAUCUUCAUACUCGAAUAGCAACAGGGGAGAUUAACAUUGUAAGUCUUAUUCAUAUAACAAAUAUUCUUAGUUGAAUACCAAAUGUUUUGAGUUAUAAAUUUGUUAUUCAAUUAAUGUCUUCCUUAAUGUAAUAGGAGAAGGAAAACUUAAGUGUCCAACAUUUUGCUAAUGAGUGUACAAAGCAAACAAAAGGUAAAUAAUAAUGUUCAAAAUUCUGCUAAUGAGAUGGCACAAAGCAAACAAAAGGAAAAUCCAGCUGAGAAUGCAAAGUGUAAACAGUUAAAUUGGAUUGGGACAAGUGAAGUUGUUGGAAUUUGGGAAAUUGCAUCAACUGAUCCCAAUUCAUUAGUCCAUCAUGUGCCUCUUGGUCACGAGUGCUGGAAAGUUUGGGUGAACGAUUUAAUGGAUGAUAAUAUGGCCUUGUAUCGACCAACACGUGAGUUCUUUCUUCUUCGUGAAGCAUUAGGAACUACGAUUGCAUGGCCGAUCAAGUACAUCAAAUUGUGUUAGCGUUGCAUCUUUGAGGUAAAUUCCUUCUUUCACAUGUAGAUGGUAUAGUUCUCAUUGUAUAAUAAUCAAGUCAUGACUGUGCAUAAUCAAUGUUAAAAGAGCAUAAUAUAUAUCAUUGUAUAUAUAUAUAUAGAGUUUUUUUCUAAUGCGGACGUCUGCAUUAUGUUAAAGUCCAGUCGUCUCUUUUGCAACUUCUUUUUGCAAGUGAAUUUGGUUCUUAGUGGAACCCACUUGGCUUGAGGAACCAUACUGGCUUAGUGGAACCUGUUCAUCACUGACAUGGCUCUAUAAUAAAACAAAAAAAGAAGCCAGCUUACAGUAGCAACCAAUGUUAUUGCUUAUUGUUCUUCUGCACACCUUCCCACUUUUCGGAUACCUUUUGGAAGGCCCAACCCCUAAUUAUAUAUUUAUAUAUGGAGUGCUUACCAUUUUUUUGCUUUAUACACGUAUGAAAUCAAAUCCACCUACAGAAAAGAAGCUGGAAGGACAUGACCGGACUUUAGCACAAUGCGGAUGUCCGCAUUAGAGAAAAACUCUAUAUAUAUAUAUAUAUAUAUAUAUAUAUAUCAUUUUAUAUAUACGUCUAGUGCAUAAUCAAGUCAUGACACUGAUAUAUAUAUAUAUAUAUAUAUAUCAUUGUAAAUUAUUAUGUUUUCUACUGAUUGGGAUCCACCUUUGUUGUGAUUUAAAAAUAAAAAAAAAAGACUUUUUCUAUUUAUAUAUUUGAUAUCCUGCAGGUUUUUCUCAAAAGGUCAAAGAAUGCUCAUGAAUAUUGUCUACUGCUAAAGGACAUUAUUUUAGCAUAGGUUGAUGUUAGAGACUUAUUUUUGUUGUUAUCUUCACAAGUGAAUGGAUUCGAGGCUGUAAAAAUGUUUGGGAAUGUUUGACAGAACUCUUAUGUGUUUCUUAUGUACUCUUAAGAGUUCUAUUUUGAAUUGAUUAUGAUGGUGAUUUCAAUGAUUAGUUUUUUUAUAUCUCGUAUAUUUAUUUGAAUUAAAAUGUGUUUCUUUGUUAAACUCAAAUGCCUGGGUUAAUAAUGAAGAAAUGUAUUGUCAAAGUGAAUAUUGGAAUAAUCAAAAAAUUGGAUUAUAUUUAUAAAAAAUUUAAAUUUAAAAAAACCACAUAGACAUGACGUGCAAAAUGCGCUGUUAAUAAAUAUGAAAUUGAAGCUUUUAUGGCACACUUAAGGAGCCGUGUAAUGUACACCAAUUAAGACGUGAACAAUGUGCAGUAAAUAUGUAUCAAAUAAAGCUUUUAUGGCGCGCCAAAAGAGCCGUGUAAUGUAUACCAAUUAAGGCAUGCAAAAUGCGCCGUAAAUAGUUGUCCAAACCUGAUACGAGAACUCAAUCAUGGCGCGCCUUAUUAACGCUUGUGGCAAGCGGAUGCACACAUUAAAAAGAAAAGGCUUUUUACGGCUUGGCCAUUCGUGACACGCAGUGGCACGUUGUGAAUUAUCAUUUACGGCACGCAAUACACACCGUAAAUACCCGAUUUUCUUGUGGUGUGUAGAGAAAGAUGUAACGACCCGGUCCUAAAUAAAUUGGUAAAUAUUAAUUUAUUCAGAGAAUAUACCAUUUUGCCCCUAGAAUAUUUUAUUAGGUUCAAAGUUGACUUUUUGACUGGGAAGAAAUUUGGGGAUUCCAACUGCACCGUUGCAUAGAGCACGGCGAGAUGAGUUCAUAGACACGUAGUGGGCUCAAAUCGGAGUUGUAACGAAGAAGUUACGAGAAAAACAUCACCAGUGACAAAAUCGUAAAUAUUUUGAAAUGAGUUUUUAAUAAAUAAAAAAAAACCUAAAAAAAAAAAACACACACACACACACUCUCUCUCUCUCUCUCUCUCUCUCUCUCUCUCUCUCUCUCUCUCUCUCUCUCUCUCUCUUUCUCCUGCAAGCAGCCCCUCCCCUUCGAAUUUGUUUGCACAACCGAUGGCUCCAAGAGCCACCAUCGGCCACCACUUGGGGCGGCAUGGGUCCCAAAAGGACCAUCAUGAGUUCCUCUUCUAGUCCCACCUGGUCUCCGUCGCCAACCACCAGCACAGUCGCCGGAAUCUGAAAAAAUCGGGCCGAUUUUUUCAAAAUUUCAAACCGCUCGUUCUCUCUGAUUUCUUCACCGAUCCAGUCGAGUAAGGUAUGGAUUUUCGACUAUUUUCCAUGCUCUAGUUGUUGGUUGGGUAGGAUUUCUUUCAUUUUGAGCCUAGGUCAAUUGAUUUUCAGUUUUGGGUUUACGAUUCCGGUCACUUUUUGGGGUAAGCCCAAGAACAAAAGUGACUCCAAAUAUGGUGUUUUACCUAAGGUAGAAGUCUUUAGCUGAAAUUUUGAGAUUUUCCGAUAAGGCAUUAUCUCUUUGGACACCCACUUUCUGCCGGUGCCUGUGGCGGAGCGUGGGCACUGUAGCAGAGGGGCAUUUUGUCUCGAUGUGAUCCCCCCGAUGUCACGAGAGCGUAGGUGUGCUCGGAUUCCAAUUGGGUUCAUUGAUAUUCCUGGUAUAGUAGAUGCUAUCACACAUACAAUCAUACUCAAUUCGAUGGAAUUGUUUGAUCUUAAAGGGGAUCUUCUAUAAUUUCGCGCGUGAGGGGUUAUUUCUUGGUUUCGUAUGGUUGACGUUUAAACCCCGAACGGAUUUCGCCUGUUGUACGUUAUCGGGGUUUGAUAGGUUUGAACUGUUGAAUAGUCUUGAAUUUAAUAUAUGUUAAUCUAGGCAUUUCUAGGAUCGUGUAGGAAUUCACGGAUAAUGAAUCGGAGCCCCGGAUGUUCCGAUUUAAUAACUUAAAGUUCAGGUUUAUAAUAACCAUCCAAUCGUGCGAUCGCGAGCAAUCCAACCGUCUGAUCCGGACCAAACUUGUAGGACGUGUAUCCUAAACCUUGUAGAACCUAUAGGAAUUCUCGGAUAGGAGAACGAAGGUUGUGGGCCCCAUGGGCCUGUUUGACCAAGUUUGGGUAGUUUGACUCUUGGUUGACCGUGAGUCUUCCCAAGAUAGUUUAACCUUUCCAAGAGGAUUAUGAUGACCCUAGUGACAGGUCUUGAGCGUUGUUGAGUUAAGCUGAUUAUGUGGGAUUAGGAUAUUAAUUUAUUAUUUUAAAUUGGGGAAUUAUCGGAUGCUAGAUUGUGGUUGAGGCUUAUACAACUUUAGAACUUAAUAUAUAUUUAUAAAGGUAAAAAGAGUUUAGAAUGUCAGUUUGAAGUACUAUAGCACUACCCUAUGUACCUCCUCGGAUAUUGAUUAAAUUGUAAGUACUAUUAUGUAAUGGUUAGGUUACACAUGGCAUAGGUUCCCAUACAUGGCGUUGGAUGUUCUGGCGUAUGGGGAGAUUUUGUGAUUGUUAGGUCCCACGUGGCAUAGGUUAUCCGGCUCGUGGAUAGACCCCAUACGUGACGUUCGAUGUUCUGGCGUAUGAGGGAGAUUAUGUAAUGGUUAGGUCACACGUGGCGUAGGUUAUCCGGCAUGUUGACAGACCCCAUACAUGGCAUUGGAUGUUCCGGCGUAUUGGGAGAUUUUUUGAUUGUUAGGUCCCACAUGGCGUAGGUUAUCUCGCGUAAGGACAAACCCCAUACGUGGCAUUGGAUGUUCCGGCGUAUGGGGGAGAUUAUGUGAUGGUUAGGUCACACGUAGCUUAGAUUAUCCAGCCUAUUGACAGACCCCAUUCGUGGCGUUGGAUGUUCCAGCGUAUGGGGAGAUUUUGUUAUUAUUAGGUCCCAUAUGGCGUAGGUUAUCCGGUGUGUUGACAGACCCCAUACGUGGCGUUGGAUGUUCCGACGUAUGGGGAGAUUUUGUGAUUACCAGAUAGAUGAACAAAGGUAUUGUAUGAGAUUGGAAUCAGGAUUUAGUGGACAGAACUACGUGUGGCUUGAUCCCUCAGUAAGGGUACGUAGGCAGCCCAGGGUAGUGCCUAGGUGCAGCCGCUGACUAAACAUUAUAAAUGUUGUUUUUAGGUUUGAUUAUAUGGUAUUAUGGGUCGAGGCCCCUAAGACUAUUUUUGGUAAUUCAUAGAUGGUAGUUGUUGCAGGCUAGAAAUUUGUGGGAAGUCAUUUCAUGUUGACUAUAGUGGUACUCAUAAAAUUAUUUGAGUUCCUUAAUUGCAUUGUUAGUAUAUUAAUUGACUUAAGAGUACUGUUAGCUGUUCUGCCUUGAUUUAUUUGAAGGUUGGAGUCCUUGUCUGUAAAUUGUGUGCUAUUACGUUGUGUGUGCUGGCAGUUGGCUUUUUAAAUUGUGUUUUAUUGCAGUUUGAAAAUUUGGGGAAUGUUCAAUUUACAAGGAAGAAUUUGCCGAAUUUUCGGCAGAAAGUCUCGUGCCCUUAUUCCUUUUGGAAAAUGAGGCUUUAGUUUUAGUGAUUGGGUCCGACAUCAGAGUGAUGUCAGAAUUUCCACAGGAUUCGUCUCGAGUUUCGGAAAAUUCGGGGCGGAUCUUGUCAAAAGAGAAGAUGAAGAUAGAAGAACAAUAAAGAAUAGUAGACUUACUUUGAAUAUGUCUGAGCUUUUCCAAAAUUCCUCUUAGCCAUACUUCUUGACAAGCACAAGAAGCUGCUUCAAUGAAUUCAGCUUCGGUGGUGGAUAAAGUCACCACUGGCUGCUUCCUUGAAGACCACGACAUAGUCCCUGAACUCAUUUUAAAAACAUAACCUAAUGUGCUCUCCUAUCCUCUAAAUCCCCAGCAUAGUCGAUGUCUGUGUAGGUUGUUAAGUUCCUCAUCUUCUCCAUUUUUGUAGAACACACCAUAGUAUGUUCUACCUUUCAAAACCUUAAGACUCUUUUAGCCGCCUGCAAGUGAAGCUCAGUAGGAUUUGCCAUGUACCCAUUGAUAAGACUCACUGCAAACAUCACAUCUACCCGAGUAGCCAUUAAGUACAUUAAACUUCCCACAACUUGUUUUGUAAAAGGUGAUGUCAACCCUUCACUCCAUCUUCCUCUUUUGAAAGCUUACAACCAAGAACAAUGGGAUUAUGAAUUGGAUUGCUUCUGUCCCUUUCAAACCUCUUCAAUACCUCCAGUGCAUACUUCUUUUGAUUAAUAAAUAUUCCCUAGCCCUUUGCAUCACCUCAAUACCAAGAAAAAAUCUCAUCAUCCCAAGGUUAGUCAUGUCAAAUAACUCUUAUGUCACUCACUUAGAGUGUCAUGUGUUGAGGCCCAAAAGAGUCCAUGGUUAGGCCCAAAUAAGUUUCCGGCCCAAUAUAAUACUGUUUUAAGAAAAGUCAUAUAUCGGAGUACACGAAGGCUCGUCAGAUGCAAGUCAUAGUCCACAUGCCAUGCUAAAUAAAUAAUUUGCCAUGCCAAGGACUGAGAUAAUAUUACAAAAUACAAGCCCAUGCUAAACUAGGCACCGUGUCCCUCUUCAAAGACGAUAAAAUUAAAGCACGCCAAGCGACAAGCCAUGCCAAGCAAGGAAUUAUUAUUCUGCACCCAAUCACGCCACAAGCUUAAGUGGGCCUCAAGCCACUCAAAUACCCGGGACUUGCUUGAGUGGGUUGUGGUAUGGAUGGUAAUAAAUUGUCAUGAGGCCCAUUGAUGGGCCGAGAAAUGGAAGUCCCAGGUUGCUUAGGAGCCUUGGGACUCAAGUCCAUUUCAUAGGCCCAAACAUGUGGGUGAGCACAAAGAGAAAAAUAGCCCAACCAAAAUAGCCCAUUAACUCAACCAAAAAGCCCAAUGCUUGAUAAGGAUAGCCCACUUACUUGGUAAAUCAACUUGGCCCAUACAAUCACAAUAAAGAGCUGCAAAACCCCAGCACUUGGCUGGAAAAACAAAAGCCACGAAGGGGAAGUCUGAAGGUCCAUUAUACAAAGCUGCUGGGAGGUUCCAGCACAUGGGAAAGGAGCAAGUUUCAAGCAAAAGAUACCCAAGGGACCAAAGGAUAUUGGCACGCAGCCUGCUAGGAGAGGAAUCGCGUUUUGAACCAGUAUGCAUACCCAUUCUCUUUCCCUCAUCAGACCUGGCCAUGGAAGAAGGAAGAAAAGAAAAGAAAGAGAUGGCUGGAAAUAGAGGCAGCUGUGGGAAAAAGCAUUAAGCUCCCAAAAAUCCCCGAUUAUAUGAGAUUGGACAGAGAAGAUUUUGCUAGAAUAAGAUAAGUCAAAGAAGGGGAUGAGAAAGGAAGGAAAAAGUUGGCCAAAUUAGAUAGAAACCAUUAGGGUUUCUUGGAAAAAAAUGGCUUUCAGCGGCUAUAACAGGGGCCUCUUUUACCCAACCAAGGACAACCCACAUUUCAGAGAGCAAGCUUCCUCUCUCACCUGCAACACCCAACAAAUUCGUGCUUUGUUCAUCCUCCUCCCCAUUUUUCCCCUCAUGGUAGACUGCUCUAGCAUUUGACAAAGUCACUGUCAAGCUGCCCGAAAUAAUACUCAAGCCACUCAUUCCUCUCUUUUUCCUUAUUCUCAGCUAAACCUCUCUGCAAACUCUUCAUCUCCUACCUUAAUAACCCUUCCUCUCCCCCCCCCCCCCCCUCCCCCAAGAACACUUAGUUUUCUCUUCAGUGCUAAACUCAUGACAAUUUUGCUCCCAUGCCACAAGCUUCUCAUGCCAAGCUAGAAAAUUUAUCUGUAAGCUGUUGUUAUUUUCAUUGGUGAACGUAACCAAGGUGUUUCCUAAAGCCAUACUAUCCUUUCGAAGCAUACUUGGGGCUUGAUCUCUGAACUCAGGCUGAAGGGGCAAUUUCAUCCAUUUUGCUAUUUACAACAGCCCAGGCCCAUAGUAGCUGCCGGAACGAAAAAGCCCCUACAACAUGAAAUAACUCUUAUGUCACUGUCGGACAAUGACACAAGAGUUGUUUAAUGUCACUCUAAGUGAGUGACAUAAGAGUUAUUUCAUGUCAUUGUCGAACAAUAACUGGACCUGUUUGUCCAAUUUUAGAGACACUGUACCAUUUUGUCUUCAUGCCCUCCUAUUUGUCCUUAUAUGAUAAAGCCCCUUUUAAUAUAGGUGAUCAUCAUUAGCGCCCCUAUGCUCCCACCUUUAAUUUUUUGGUAGAUAUUAAAAUGAAUGCUUAGAUGUUAACACAUUUGAAGUUUUCUAGAAAAGAGAGUAAGCUUUAACUCUCGCUCUCAUCUCUCAUCUCUUCUUAUCUUUCUCUUCCUAUAUUUUCUUCUUAUCUUCUCUGCAUCUCUAGGUUCGAUUAGUGAACCCAUGUUAAUGGUGGUUCGAUGGUUGUGGUUGUGGUGGUUGAUAGAUUCACCGAUCAAAUUCGGAAGCAAGAGUAAGGGCACACUGCCUUAACCAACUGGGUUAACCCAACAAAAUUUUUAACACUAAAACUUAUGCUUAUUGGACGGAACUAAUUUUUAGGGUCACCAUUAUUUAUCAUGGCUACAAUACUACUACAUUUUUAUAUGCCUAAGCCCUAAUGUCGUAUAUCUUCCACACGUAUGCCAUGUGACAACGUGAUGAUUAUUAACAUUGUAGAAGAGAUAAUUACUAAUUAUAAUAUGGUAAUUGAUGGGGAAGUAGGAAUUUAUAAGUUAUAGUACAAAAUGAAGAGGUUUUUUUGUUGGAACUAUGAUACAGAUUUUGUGUUCUUAAGAUGUUGGGGAUUUUGAUUUUAUUAUUAAAUUUGGUAAAAUUUAGUGAAUUGGAUGAACUAUAAGGAAGAUUUUUUGAGAUUUUGCUGUGUAAUUGAUAUUAGGAUUGAAAUUGGAGGAGGAAAGCAUGGAAUUUGACUGGGAAUUCACUGAAUUCGCACCAGGGACCUGUUUGCAAAGUAUUAUGCAGUUUUUGGGGCAGUUUUAUAAUUUCUUGAAGUGUAAGCAUCAAAAGCUUGGGUACAUAUUUCUAAUUUUCAGAAAUGUUGAGACAUUAAGGUAAGUUCGGUAAAGCAAACGUCCUUAAUGGAGUGGAAUAGAGUUAAAGCGGAACAUAUGGAAACGUAGAAAUAAAGAAAUUGUAUAGAAUUUAGUUACUUAUGUACGGGACAAAUGGUAACACUUUUUGUUGUUGUACUAGGGACUCCAAUUAUCGUGAUACUUAUGAUUGAUCGUGGCAUUAGUGAGGUAUAUCUUACACUUGCAUUGAAAUUGAGGUAGGUAAUAUAUUGAAAAGGAUCUUUUAUGUAGUCGAGUCACUCAAAAAAUAAGCUCCUAAUAAUUUAUUCACUCAAAAAAGAUAAUCAAACAUUAUAGAAACUUGGAUGAUACAAUUAUUCUUAAUAAAAUCAAAGUCUCAGUAUAACUAUUAAACUGAGAUCCAUGAAAGAGAAAGUAAAUUUCAAUAUUUAUUUACAAGGAGGCAUAUAAGCAGGUGCUGGGAGCAUGCUGGUUUCAGUGGUGUGUCCAUUUGUCACAAUGAGUACAGUGGCCAUUCCCCAGCUGGCAUGCCUUUCCAAAUGACAGUGCAUAAACCAUACUCCUGAAAAUAAUCAUCAAAUAAUUCAUUUAAAUAGUUAGUUAACCUAGCUCCAUGGUUGCUCUAUCUUAAUUAAUUUGCCUAAUUACAUACAUUGUACACAUGGCAUGUUAGAUGUAUAUUAUUAUUAUUUGUCAGAGUUUGGAAAGGAGAGGAGAGUGGUGUCAUUGAGAUUCGAACCUGACACCACUUAUCUGCAGACAAAUGCUCUUAUCACUGAGCUAUGAACCCAAUCCCAUGACAAGUACAGUAAUUAGGUGGCUAUAGAAGUAGAACUUACCAGGAUUAUCAGCCUUAAAUCUGACGGUUGCCCAUCCAUUCUUUGGUACACCAAUGGUGUUUACUUCAGGUGGAUCAACCAAAUUGUAGGUCUUAGGGGCCUGAUUAGGGUCGAAAUUCCCAGAACCAGUUCCAACCAAAUAAAAGCUGAAACCAUGGAGAUGCAUCGGAUGGUUCUCAGCGGCAAUCAUGUUGGUCCCUUGAUAGAUUAUCUCAACUUCUUCACCAUAUUUAAUCAUUCUCACCUUCGUUCCAAAGUAAGGAUAUAUUGUGUCGUUUCGCACGUGUCCCGUGAAGUUGAAAAUAUAAGGUUUGUGUGGGAAAUUAGCUGAGUAAACUCCAUUAAUUGACCUGUACAUAGGCAAUAAGGUCAUUUAAGUUAGAUAUUUUUUUAAUUAAAAAAAAGUUCUAGUUUUGCAAAAAAAGAACAAGUAAUAAGACGUGGAUUAGAGAAGUAAUAAUACUCUCUUGCAUUUGAGUCCAGAGAGUAUAUUAAUUUAAACUAUUAUUUGUAUUUAUAUUAAGUAAAACGCACGCUUUUGGCUCAGUUACCAUUUUACUCUUCUACGCGACUAUUCAUUUCCUUUCAGUGAAGGAACUAGGAUGUAGAAAUAUGGGAUGGGCUGAGUUGGACUGGGGUGAGGUGUUUAGUUGGGAAACGUUAUAUACAAUAAUUAAUUUGAGCAACUAAUUGAAAUUACGUUACGUACCCGUAAUAGGCUUGCAGUAUAUCAAUCGAUGGAGUCACAAAACUGAUGUUGUUUAAGCUUGCAGCAAGUGCAUUGUUAUCUGGCCCAUCACAAGAAGAAUUGGGACAAAUUCUUUCAUUUAUGGAAACAGAGAUGAAGAGCGUGUGUGUGAUGUGUAACGGGACACUAAUGGGGUAGUCUUUGCUUGCCAAGGCCCUCACUUGCGUAGUGAAGUUUGAGGCAGCCGUUCCGUCGGCGAAAUCAGGAAGAAUCGGAGUGGGAAUGGUUGAGGGGGUCGUGCUGCCGUUGUAUUGAAGAAUGGCAGAGGUGGUGCGGUUGUUGAAUGCAACAUCCCCAUCAACAAAAGCAUGGGAAGCUACGUGAUAGUGGCUGGGAGACUGGUUUGCAACUACCAAAAUGUCCAUGGUUUGGCCUGGAGUUAUCAUGAGGUAGGAGGUGGUUAUAGGUUUUAUGUAUGCACCAUCUUGAGCUACCACUGUGAGGUUGUGGUUGGCAAUGGCGAAGAACAUUUCUUCGUUCAACACCGCGUUGACUAAGCGGAGAAGAUACGUCUUGCCAUAAUCAACAACCCAACGAUAUGUUGUUGCUGCAACAGGAAAUCAAUCAGUUGUUAGCAAAUUAAUGAUGUCAAAGUAUGUUAGUUGUUAGAAAUAAACAGUGUUCAUAGUGAAUCAAAUAUGAAUAAAUCAAACAUUAAAGUAGAGUAAUGUUUGAAUGAAAUAAUAAUGUCUUUUGUAAAAUAAUUGUAGUUGAUAUACCUAAUUCCUAAAUUAUAGUUAAAUAUAAUAUUGCCCUUCAUAACUCAGGGUGACCCACCUUUAUCCUAUAACUGAGAUUUUGAGUCCACCUUUACAACUCACCAUUAUGUCGGUUAAAAGUUGUAUUAAAAAUGUUGACAUGAUUUCUCAUAUUAAAAAAAGUUCACAUGACGUGAGCGCACUCAUGAAAUGUGCAACACAUGAGUGCCAUGUGUAUCAAAAAUAAAAUAAAAUAUUUCAUUUUUAAAAAGUUCAAUUUAAGACCCAGCCCCAGCCCCAGCGACUUCCCUCACCGGUACCCUGCUAUAGCCCCACGUGCCCCCGCCCCCCCUCCAACUGAUAACAUCCCCAAAGCACUAUUAAAAUGAGGGCGGACUUAUUGUCCUAUUUAAUUGGUUUAAUACAUGUCGGUGUUAUAUUUUAAUCUUUUACUAAAUGGAAUUCAAAGGAGGCGGACUUGCUGUCCUACUUAGUUUAAUACACAUAGGUGUUAUAUAUUAAUUUUUAAUAAACGGAAUUCAAAUCUGGAAAAUCUAGCAUCAAGAAAAAAAAAAAAUACCACUAAACAGCUAUUUUCAACUUGCUUACUACUUUUCGCAUACACCACAAGUCAAAAAAGUAUGCCGCUUUGCAUGAUGUUCCAUAAGACACCUAGAAGUUUCUUCUUUUACGCGGGAAUGCCAACCCCACUUAGAAAAACAUUCAAUUGCUUUUCUCAUGUCCACAUAUAAUAACAACAGAUAAUCAAAUGAGAUUAGGUUUGGAUAUUUGAUUAUAAUUACCAUUGGAACACGCAUUAACCAAAUCUCCUGGCUCUCCGUUGAUUGUGAAGGCAUCUGAAACAUUUGGAUCGCCACCCGUUGCGAGGGCAUUUUUAAUAAUUUCAUUCACAUCUCCCUUGUACCAGGAUCCUGACAAUGACAAAUGGAAAAUAAUUAUUGAGAUUCGAUGAUGCAACCGUAGAUGUAACACUUUCUGUUUUCAUGUCUGUGGUUGUGGUAUGGCCAGCAGUCCAAGUAAAUUGUUAAUAACUAAUACAUAUAAAUUUUUAUUAAAAUAAAAGUACCUAGAACCAGUGUUUCUUCUCCAUCUGGUUUUGUAAAAGGAUAAGUGGUGUUGAGCUUUGGUAGAAUAAUGAUGGCACCAUAGACUGUGGCACGUGUCCAAUCACUAUGAGCAUGCCACCAUAAUGUUCCUUCUUCGGUGGAGAAGAUAACUUCAUAAGUGAAGUUUGACCCUGCUUGAAUAGGGCACUGUGUUAUGUUCUCUGGUCCAUCAUACCAUGGAUUUCGUGGUUGCUUCACUCCAUGCCUGAAAAUCUUAAACAAGAUUAAAAAGUUUGUUUAAGAUAGAAAAAGACUAAAGACUUCCCUACCCCACUUCCUUCCUCUGGCCUUUUAUUUUUCCAAUCUUUAUAAAGUUAUUCGCACUUUCACUUUCUCUCUCUAAAAGACAAGGACCAGCUAAUAGUCAUGAUCUCUCUUCCUGUAAGUAAGCUAUUGGAAUUGGCCAGAGAGCCCAUCAUAAGAUGGGGAAGAGAAUAUUCCAUUCAAACACACAACUAACGAUCCAUAAUUUUCCACCAAUAAGCUUAAUUAUCUAUCCAGCCUAUCAAGCAGUUUUGGACUAUUGGUCAAUGCCAAAAAAUAAAAAAUAAAAAAUAAAAUCUAGAGCUAAGCUAAUGGGAUUGGUAGUUUUUACCAAUGAAGGGUGACACCGUAUGAGCCUUGGUUGUGGACAUUCACAAAAGCAGUGUCUCCCUUCCGGACGGUGAUGGUCGGCCCCGGCAAAGUCCCAUUCACAGUUAAGAUGGUCUUUGUUUCGCAAAGCCUUGUAAAAUUCAAUUCUGUCAGCUGCAAAACAAAACAAAGCAACGGAUGAUGAUGAACAUUCGAAGGCUGUAAAAAUGGUGUUAGUGUAAUGCAGGAAGCACUUACAACAAAAUCAUAAUAAUGGGUAUUUCCAUUAGCCUUGCAAAGACCCAAGAACAUAAACCCUACACAGGCUAAGACCCAACUCAUUUUCUUAAACUCCAUUUCCAGGUCUUGAACAGAAAAUAUCUUCGCUUCUCCUAGUGUGUUCUUCAGGUUGCCCUCGAAGUGUUGUGCGGUUUUCGGUCUCAAGUAAAGACCUAUUUAUGGACAGACUUCAUGGCAAGUUGCUUCUAUUAUUAAAAAUAAAAUAAAGUCGGUAAAUAAAUAAUAAAAACACGAGGAAAACGAAAAAUAAAUUUAAGUUUUAGUAUAAAAAAAAAUUCCACUUUUAAAAAAGGCUAAUUUUUUUCAAAAAAAAUAGAAAAACUCCUCAAUUUUCAAAUCCAAAACAUGCAAAUGUAAAUAAUUCUUUAAAAAAUUCAAAAUUAAUAAAAACAUUUUUGUUUACUUUGUCUUAUUUUAAAAAUAUUUCUCUCUCGUUUAGUCUUUUCCAAAAUGUCGCUAGCAUGGAAAAGUUGGUCCAGUGCACAACAGAAAUAAGUUCAGGCACUAGUACCGCCGUGUUUUAGAUAAACAACUUCAUUACUAGACAAAGGACAAAAGCCGUUCAUUCAAGACCGCGACAGGAGAGCGUCGACCUUUGCUUAAGUCUGGUAGUAGUCACAUAUCCUGUCAUCAAAGGGGUUUUUGUCGGUAAGAACUGUUCUAGCCACAGUGAUCUGUGCCUCGAUUACCAGUAAAAAUAAUAAAGUAACGUCAAACUAGACUAACUAGAUUGAUAUUAAAACAACUUCCAGAGGCUUGAUCCAUUUUGUAUUCUACACACAUCAUUGGAGUUUGGAAAAGUUACAGAUUAGGUCAUCUCCUAGUGAGGGUUAAAUCCUUAAAUAUAGUUCAAAAUUUCUAAAAUUAAUCUCCAAAAUUGGGCUCAACGGGUUAAAUACUUGGAUGGGGCCCAACUAAUAUCACCUAGUCGUUAGGUGACAUCAGCUAGUUUAUUUUUUUAAUUCAAAAAAAUGAUUGUUUUUUUAAAUUUCAUUCUUUUUCAUAAUUUCUCACAAUCUCUUUAUAAACUAUCCUUUAUCUUUUUCCAUUUAAAUUAAUUUUUAAGAACAAGAAAAAAUAUAAUCAUAAAUCUAUAGGGCUAAUCACGUAGAUGUCAAAAAUCAUAUCCCAAAGUAUUUUUCUCUUUUAAAAUGUAUUUUAAAUAGAAUAUAAAUAGUAGUUUAAUUAAAUUAACUAAUAAAUUUACAUCAUAUACUAAAAAUUAUUAAAAUAUUAAAUUUAGCCAUUUGCUGUUGAAAACGGUUAAAAUAUAGUCCGAAGUUAAAUAUAGCCCUCUCCACCUAGAAAUGGUCUUAGUGGUCUCAAAUAUUCAUGGUAUUUUGGCGGAAGUUUGAUCUACUUUGUACACUACGCACAUCUUACAAAUUUUCAAAAGAUUACGAACGAAUAGUCAUAGAUUCGAAUAAUGAUUGCACUUUGGCAAUUUGUUUAAGAGGAAAGCUCCUUCUCAAUCCAUGUCAGCACGCAAUCUCACUAUUCCACCCAUCUAAUAUGCUUGUCAGCUAUAUAUUAUUUUGACUUCCAUUUUUCCCAUCUUUAUCUCUCUCUUUCGAUUCUCUCUCUCUCCCCUGCAUUAAAUUUUGGAUUUGAUGGUUGAUUAGCGUUUACGUUUAUUAUUGCGUGUAACAAAAUUCACCAAAAUAUUGCCCAAUGAUAAUAAUCAAAGAUAAAAGACAAUCACGUAAAAUCUUUCUUGAAUAAACUACAAAAAUGUUAUUAUGGUAAAACUGAUGAUACGUGAUUAAAAAAAAAUAAAUUUAGGUUUUAGCUAUAAAAAAACUUUCAACCUCACUCAACACGAAAAACCACUAAAUAUUCAAAUUCUUUGACAAGUCGACUUCUAUAUCUGCUUUGAAAUAUUCCAUGCUUUUAUGUUCUAGCAGCAACCUUUUUUUUCUGUGAAGCUCGAUUUUAUGAGGGAAAUUUUUUUAAAGUUGUCCUAAAACAAAACAAAAGACUCCAAAUUAAACAAAUCAAGCAAACCUCGCAAGUCGAAAAGGCUUCAGAAGAAACAAGUUAGGAAUCCGUUAGUGUCGCAUACUAAUUAAGAACCAUAAUAAAAUGUCUCAGGCUCUUAAUUAAUAUCUAAAAAUCCAAAUUUGAUUUGCUUUCUGUUAGCCGCCUUGACAAAUUUGUCAAGGGCUAGAUAUAAUCACAAGGAAGCGUGUGGACCUCGAGUUUUGACAUUUGCUCCAAAUACAGAUUUUGAUUUGAGAUCUCCCACCACGCACUUCUAGACUGCUUAAUUUUUAUUCGCACGCGUAAUGUCACUCCCUUUGGCUUCUGUGCGGCCAUGGCUUAAUUUAAGGUUUUUUUUGUUUUGGGUUGUGUGAUUUAAGAAACGUACUACGCUAAGUUUUGGUGAUUUGAGUUUUUUUGUUGUUUACGCGAAUUUUGUUCGAUUGAGUCUUCUUUUGAUUUUAGUUUUAUUGAUUUACUUUUACCUAUUGGGUUGUUUUUCCUUUCAAAUUUGUAGUUGUUUUGAAAUUGGUUUGUAUAUGUCUUUAAUGUAUUCCUGAAGUUUUUUUAAUGAAUAUCAUUGUUUAACCAAAAAAAAAAAGGUCAUGUAAAACAAUUGUAUUUUAUCCACAAAAGCUAAUGUUCAUUGGAUGGGUUUGUUUUAAAUUUACAACGUUCUUUUUUAGUCAUCAUUAUUUUUUAGUCAUCAUGUUUUAGUCAUCAUUUUUUACCACGUACUAAAUUAUGUGCUUCGAGCUGCCCAUGUGGUGGCAUCUUUUAUUACUAGAAUAGGAGGGAUCCAUAAUUUGAAUAUGUGGUGGCCUGAGUGGAUUUUUGAUAUUUUAGCCUUUGAUGUUAACGUUGCAAUUCGUCUUUGAAUAAAAUUUUCCAUUCUUUGGCCAAAAAAAAGUAUAUAUAUAUAUUUUAUACAAGCAAUAUAUCAUAUAUGCAAAGGCGGAAACAUAAAUUUUUCAGUGGGUGGUGGCUAGUUAAAAUUUUUAGUUUAAAAUCUAAUGAUUUUUUUCAUUUUAAAAACAAAAAUUCUUACCUUUGAAUUUCUUGGCAUUAACCGAAUAAGCUUCACAAAUACAGAGUGCAAAAUAUAAAUAAUUAAGUUUCAUUUAUAUAUUAGUUGUAAACAUAAUAAUAAUAUAAUUAAGUUAACAUAUUGUUCCAUAUUUGAAAGAGAAUACAAAUAAAAUUAAGAAAAUAAUAUUUCCCUAAUGUGUUGUAGUUGAUGAUGAGCCAUAUAAGCUUUUUUUUUUGUUUUUCCUUUUUUUUUCUUAUUCAAAAACCUUUUGCCAAAGGCAACAUAUAAUUUCACCAAAAAAAAAAAAAAGGCAGAGACAAUUUCACCAAAAAAAAAAGGUAGUAGAUUAAAAAAAGACACCAGACUUUGCCAAAAAAAAAAAAAGGUUGCAUAUUUAAGGUUUUCUUUGUUUUGGGAUGUGUGGUUUAAGAUACAGACUAUGCUAGAUUUUGGUGAUUUGAGCCUUUUAGUUGUUUACGUAAUUUUGUUCAAUUUAGUUUUCCUGUCAUUUAAGUUUUAUAAUUUACGCGGAUUCUGUUUAAUUUAGUUUUGCCUAUUGGGUUGUUUUCCCUUUUGGAUUUACAGUCUUGUUGCAAUUGAUUUGUACAUGUUUAACCCAAAAAAGAAAGGUUGUGUAAAACAAUUGUAUUUUAUCAACAAAAGCUAAUGUUUAUUGGAUGGGUUUAUUUUUACAACGUUCUUUUUUUAUUCAUUACUAUUUCCCACGUCUACAACAAUACUAAAUUAUAUACUUUAUAUAUAUAUUAUUAAUUUCUUUUUAUACAAACAAUAUAUCGUAUAUAGAGUAGGGAAUUCGAACAUAAGACAUCAUGCACAAGAAUAACUAUACUCUUAAUCACUUGAGUCAUAAAUCUCUUUACGGAACAUAUACAUUUUUAUAUGGGUGAUGCUAGGGAGACCAACUUUAGAUACCAACUUGUGUACCAACUCUCUAAUAGAGGUGGAGCCCACCAAUACAAUGGGUCUCGAGGCAUAUCAAGGGCCUCUUACACAAGUUGGUAUCUAAAGUUGGUCUCCCUAGCAUUUUCCUUUUUAUAUACCUCAUGUAUGUCUUCCAUAGUUGUGUUGUGCGAUCAAAGUGAUGAGUAAAAAAGAAAAAUUCCUAAUUAUAAUAUUGUACAUUAUUUUAAAGGAGGAAUCGAACUCCAUUAUUUCAAGAUUAAUCAUACUUCAUCUUUUAUUAAAGUACGCACAGUGAUCAACGUGUGAGAAUUGUAUCUUUUAUUAAAGUUUUUCUUUCUUUAUUUUUAUUUUGGGCACAAUCGGAUAGAUCAUCUCAUCAUUCAUGAUUCUGUCCUGGUGGGUCCCAUGCUUUCAAUAACAAACACAUUUUGUUUGGCGUUUAAAAUUCAAAACAAUCUCUUUCAAGGACCACUCUAAGCUGUAAGUUUACAUAAUAGCUAUAGAUAUAUAGAUGAUGGCCCUCUGCUACUAGCUAGCUAAUUGCCCCUUAAAAGUAUCGACCCACUAAUUGUACGAACAAUUAUCACUAACAAAACUUUAAUGUCUUCUCAAUUUACUGUCGACAAUAUUGUCCCAAAAUGAAAACUUGAAGCUUUAAUUAGUGUUUUAAAAACCUUGGCACAUAGAUUAUCCAAGAUGUUACUACUUUUGAUCUUUGUAAAAGGGGUCACGCUAUAUGUUCCUCCUUGUUUUCUCUAAUGACGAAUAAUAAAAAUUAUCCUUCAUAAGGUUAGGGUUCUUUUAAAAAAAACUUUUUACAAUAUUUACUGGUAAUUAAUUUUAAGUUCCAUAUUUUGCACAUAAAAACGCGUGUCGAGAGUAUUCUCCGCUAAUUGAUUUUUUUUUUUUUGAUUGCUAGUUUUAAUUAUAAUUAUAUACUAGCCUCUCCGCAUGCGCUUCCGCGCAUGCGAGAGGUUUUUUUUAAAAAAAAUUUAAAUUUAUUUUAGAAUUAAAAAAAUAAUGGAUAUUUGUGUUCCAUAAAAAUAGGACCCAUUAUCUGAAUUUUCUUUUAAUUUUAAUUUUUUUAAUACGAAAAAUUGUGAAUUUACCAUAUUAUCCUCAUUUAAUUAAUAAUUUCAAUUCUUAAUGUUUGCAUUAACCAAGGGCAUUUUCUGGUAUUUUGAAUGUUUCACCAUUCUCUGCCUUUUGCUUUAUAUAUAUAGAUAAUGUAAUUUGCAUGCAUGCAGCCACUCUAAACAAAAAUCUUGGAGUUCAAGGGGUUUUAACUUACAAAGUACAUCUAAAGUUGAAAAAAUAAAACAUAAAGAUUUUCAACUAAAGACUUGACAGCUUUUGGUUUUAAUAUAAUAAAUACUAGUUCUUUGGCACACGUUUACGUAUGUGCUAAUUGAAUUUUUUUUUUUAAAAAAAUUAAGAAAAUAUAAUAUGGGCGGUUGUGUUUCAUAAAACUAGGAUCUAUUAUUUAAUUUUUUUUUUAUUUUUAAUUUUUUUUUAAUAUGAAAAAAUGUGAAUUUACCAUAUUAUCCUAAUUUAAUUAAUAAUUUUAAUUCUUAAUGUUUGAAUUAACCAAGAGCAUUUUCUGGUAUUUUGAAUGUUUCACCAUUCUCUGUCUUCUGCUUUAUAUCUAUAUAGAUUCAUUAUCUUCUUAGGGUCUCCCUUUCUUCUGCAAUUUCCCCGUACAAAGCUUGAUCAUGCGAAUUGUGAGGCUAAUUAGGCGGAAUAAAUUUCAAUCGUGAGUUGGUAUCUACUUUUGUCAUGAUCGGUGUAAUUAAUUUGGAUUAAUUUGUUAUGUAGUGAGCGUCUUUAAUUUUCUUGAAACUAAAUAUAUAUAUAUAUAUAUAUUGAGGUAACAUGGUCCUCAUUAUCUUCCGACCAAAAAUAAAAUAAAAUAAACAAAUUUGAUGAUAUUUGUUACACAUUUUAUGUUAAAAAUGAUGGAUAUCAUUUGACCACUCAAUUAAAUUAUUGACAUUUAAAUAUUUUCUUAAAGCACUGCAUUCAUUGAUUUUGUUGAUAUCAAUUAGAUGCUUUAAUGAUUUUUAAUUUGUAUGAUAUUUUGCAAGAAUGAUCUCUAAAUGAAUAUAUGAAAAAUAGAUGGUUUGGACCGUUGAAAAAUAUUUCGUAGGGGGAUCAUAAAAGGUGUGCCUCAAACUCUGUAAGUCCUCAAAGAGGCCUUGAUAUGCCUUUGUCUUGGGAUAGGAUAGCAUCCCCUCCUCCUAAACUUUUUGUUACCAAAAACAUGAUGUUUGUUUAAAUUAAUUGACAAUACUUGACUUUCCUUGCACACCAAUGAUUCCCAUAUUAAUUGUAAUUGAUUUCCCUUUUAUUUCUAAUUACCUACCGUAAAUAGAAUUAGGAGUUAUUACUUGGCCUUCAAAAUUUUAUUGUACUAUAAAUAUGACCUCCAAAAAGGAGAAGAAUACAUAGAAAAUUUCUCACAAAUAAUAUUCUCUCAUAGGUUUUCAUAUUCUAGCAUGGUAUCAUAGCCCAACUCACAAUUGGAAGCCCAAACGCAGUUGGAAAGCCUAAAGAGUAUUUCAAAUCUCCUCGUCACAUACGCGUCAUGCAGAAGCUGAGGGGCAUUUGUGGGAGCAUAUAUUUUGGCGACCAAUGAGCGGGUGACACGUGGAAAAGGGAAAUUCCCUAGGUCAAUCAAUUAUCCUAAUUAAAUUCUAUUUAAUUAGGAAAAUUAUAAUUGAUUUAAGAUGAGAAUAUCUCCCUAAAUCAAGGAAGAGAUUUCCACCGAAUCUCCUUGAUUAAUUCCAAUCUCCUAUUUUUGGGUAAGAAUAAACCUAAUUAAAUAAGGAUUAUUCUUCAAACCCUAGCUGACAAGGAGCACUAUAAAUACAUGGCUACAUCACACAUAUGAGGUAAUUUGAUUUUGACACGAGAAAUCUCUCCCUCUCUCACACAAUUCUCUCUCUCUCUCUCUCUCUCUCUCUCUCUCUCUCUCUCACGGCUCCAGCCACCCAGUUCUCUCACUGAGAGAGAAAAUACUUUAGAUAUUGUCAUAUCUUUUUCAAAGUCCAAUCAAACUAACUUAGGCAUCAGAGGGUCUUUGGCCAACACCCCCUAAGUGUGGUCUAUUUAUGACAAGAAUCGCCUCGAAUUCCUCGAAUUCAUGACGAAGCCUGUGAUUUUUCAACCAAAAUGAGGUCGGCUUGAUAGUUUUUGGUUUUAGUAUAAUAAAUAUUCAAUAUCUUCUUAGGGUCUCCCUUUCUUAUACAAUUUCCACGUACAAAGCUUGAUCAUGCGAAUUGUCAGGCUAAUUAGGCUGAAAAAGCUUUGACAAAUGUCAAUCGAUAUAAUUAAUUUGGAUUAAUUUGUAUAGGUGACAUGCUCCUUAUUAUCUUCUGACCAAAAAUAAAAUAAAAUAAACGAAUUCGGAUGAUAUUUGAGAUUUUUUUCACACAUUUUUUGUAAAAAAAUGAUGCAUAUCAUUUGACCACACAAUUAAAUUAUUGAAAUUUAAGUACUUUCUUGAAGCAUUGUGUUCAUUGAUUUUGUUGAUCUCAAUUAAAUGCCUUCAAUAAUUUUCAAUUUGCAUUAUAUUUUGCAAGGUUGAUCUCUAAAUGAAGAUGUGAAAAAUAAAUAGUUUGAACGGUUGAAAAAUAUUUCAUGGGGAAUCCUAAAUGGUGUCCCUCAAACUCUGUAAGUCUUCAAAGAGGCCUUGGUAUGUUCUGGCUCUGGGAUGGCGUAGCCUUCCCUCCCCCUAAACUUUUUGUUACAUAUAUAGAUUUUUAAAAAUAUCAUCAAUGUAGCUCAAUGAAAUUUUGCAAAAGGAAACAUGAUGUUUGCUUAAAUUAAUUGACAAUACUUAAGGAGGAACUCCUCCUUGUUGGCAUGACUUGUGACUUUCCUUGUACACUAAGAAUUCUCAUAUUAAUUGUAAUUGAUUUCCCUUUUAUUUCUGAUUUCCUAUUGUAAAUAGAAUUAUGAGUUAUUACUUUCCUUGGCCUUCAAGGUUUUAUUGUACUAUAAAAAUGACCUCAUAUAAGGAGAAGAAUACAUAGAAAAUUCCCACAAACAAUAUUCUCUCAUAGGUUUUCAUAUUUUGGCAUGGUAUCGGAGCGACGAUCUUGAGAUUGCUGCUAAACUUUAGCCCACCACACGCCGACGCUGCCAUGGGGGAUCAAGAUCCUAUCAUCCCACAUGGAGGUAGUAUCACCGAUUCCUCUGCCACCUAGACCUAGAAACUAGAAGAAUUGAAGACCCACAUGACCCAAUUUUUGAAGAUCCAGAAUCAAACCCCGACAAAGAACCUUGAAGAAUUGACGACCUAGAUGACCUAGUUUUUGAAAAUACAGAACCAAGCCGCCUUAACCCCAAUCUCUACCUCAAUAUUAGAAGAAUUGAUGUCAAGAAUGACCCAGUUACUAAAAAAUACCUCGACCCAGACCUAGACCCAGAGUCCGACUCAUAUUCAUACCCAUAUAGAGACUAAGACUCAUAUCCUGACUCAGAUUCAGACCUAUAUACUAACCAAGACUCAGAUCCCAACCCCGACCCUGAAUCAAACUCACACCCAGAUCCUUACCCAGAUACCGACUCAAACUAUACCAUAUGAAUUUUUCGCUGCACAUAUUAUGACUUCCCGAACAAAGCUCCAAAUAAAUGGAAUAAAUUGCACAUACUGUGGCUAUCCAAGACAUACUCUUGAGAUUUGUUUCAAAUUGAAUGGCUACCCUGAUUGAUGGGAUGAAAUCAAAGAUCGAAGAUGACGUGAAGAUGCAAGGAGUGGUUUUGGUUAUGUAUUCCAUACUUCGAAUACGAGUGAUUCCAUAUGAUAGAUCAUUGACUCUGGGACAAUCAAUCAUAUGACGUUUGAUCCUGAUGAUUUUUUGAGUACUACCUAACCUAGACGAACUAGUAUUGUUAAUGACAAUGGAGUUACUUAUCUUGUGACAGGGGCUGGCACUGUUGCUUCUCAUCCUCUCUGUCCUUGCCGAAUACUUGUUCCAUCUCUAUCCAAUAAUUGAUGCCAGUUGGUCAGGUUACUGAACAAGAGAAUUGUUGUACACUCAUCUAUCCGAUUUUUUGUUUGCUUCAAGAUAUUAACACUAAGGAGAUUAUUGGUCGUGGUACAAAAAGUGGGGGCCUAUAUUAUGUAGAUGACUUCAGCACAAGCAUGGCUAAUAGUGUGAUGUAUUCCUCUGAUAGUAAACAAAGGAAAAUUUGGUUGUGGCACCGUCGUUUGGGAAAUUCAUCCUUUAGUUAUAUGAAGCAUAUGCUACAAGAUUUAUUUUUAGAUUUCAAAGACUCCCAUUUCAAAUGUGACACUUGUAUUUUGACCAAGAGUCACCAUAUGCCUUAUUCGUUGAGUACGAGCAAGUGUACUACUCCGUUUACAUUAAUUCACUCGUAUGUCUAGGGACCUUCCCCUAUUACUGCUCUUUUUGGCGUUUGAUAGUUUGUCACACUCGUCGAUGAUUGUACACGGAUGACAUGACUUUAUUUGUUGAAGAAUAAAAACCAAAUGUUUUCACAGUUUCAGCUCUUCCACAAACAUAUGAAAAAUCAUUUCAAUGCUCAAAUACAGAUUAUUCGCUCCGACAAUGGUGGUGAAUUUGUUAAUCAUGACUUUCAAACUUGCUUCCAACAUCAUGAAAUUAUCCAUGAGACGACUUUUCCUCAAACACCUGAGCACUUCUGAUUGGUGCUGAUGUUCCUCACCAUCACUGGGAUGAUGCUAUAGUCACUGCAGUUUACCUAAUCAACCACAUGCCUUCUAGUGUCUUAAACUUUAAAACUCCCUUACAAGUGCUUGCACAACACGGGCCUCUGCCCUCUAUUUUGGUGCUCACACUCUGAAUCUUUGGAUGUGUAGCCUUCGUUCAUCUCCAGAAAAAUUAGCGCAUCAAACUUGAUCCACGUGCUCUUCGUUGUGUUUUGUGGGAUAUGUCACUCAUCAGAGAGACUAUCGAUGUUAUCAUCCUAUUACCCGGCGUAUCUAUGUCAUUUGGAUGUGGUUUUUUUGAAAUCUGAGAUGUUCUUCCAUGACUCGACAUCCAAUUCUAUGCUUCAGGGGGGGAUAUAGAGUAAAGAGCAUAAUUGGAACAACCUGGAAGACAGAGGAAUUCAUUUCUGCCCAGAAACGAUCAAUUGUCCCGACCCUAACGAUAGAUCGCUUCGAAGUUUGAAGCACGAUGCUCCUCUCGACCAAGAAACGAUCGAUUGCUUCUGAGUCCUAAAGACAAUAUUCCUCUCAUCCAGAAAAUGAUUGAUUGUGCAGACCAUGACGAUCUAUCGCUUUCCACUAGUGAAGAUAUUUCAUAUUUGGGUCCCGCUCCUAAAGACGAUCCAGAAACACCAGCUGAAGACCUCUUCAUCUCAUCCAACACUCCAUACUGACCAAGUUCCUGGGAAUAUCCCUGAGGUAAAUGCUCCUACUACACCUGCAAAUUUGGUUAACAAUUAUAUUGGAUAUAAAUUACCUUUCAGGCAAAAUUGUGGAAAACCACCAAAUCAGUAUUCCCCAGAGAUUGGCCAAACAUCGAAGUAUCUGGUUGCCAAUCAUGUAUCCACUCAAAGACUACUUGAACCACUCAAGGCUUUUGUGCAUCAGUUGUCUACUAUCCAUAUCCCAACCAAGAUAACUGAGACCUUAAAAGACCGUAAGUGGGUUCAAGCUGUAUAGGAAGAGAUCAAGGCCCUCGAAAAGAAUCAGACUUGGACGCUGGAACCUUUACCAUAGGGGAAUAAGACUGUUGGUUGUAGAUGGGUGUUCAUUAUAAAACACAAUGCUUAUGGAUCUAUCGAACGAUACAAGGAAAAGCUUGUGGCAAAGGGGUACACACAAACCUAUAGUAUAGACUAUGAAGAGACCUUUGCUCCAAUAGCAAAUUUAAACACCAUUAGAGUCUUACUGUCUCUUGCAGCUAAUUUGGAUUUACUACACUUGUUUGAUGUAAAAAUUACUUUCCUGCAUGGAGAACUCACAGAGGAGGUAUACAUGGACAUUCCACCUAGAUAUGCCACUUCUACUUAGACUGGAACAAUAUGCAAAACUGAGAAAGGCGCUGUAUGGAUUGGAAUAGUAGCCUCAUGCAUGGUUUGGACGGUUCACCAAGGCAGUAAAGAACAAUGGUUUCAGGCAAAGUAACUUAGAUCAUACUAUGUUCUUGAAACAUUAUAAAGGGAAGGUAACAACUUUAAUAAUCUAUGUUGGCGAUAUGUUUAUUACUGGGAAUGAUGAACAUGAAAUAUCUCAGCUGCAAGGCUAUUUGGCUACUGAAUUUGAGAUGAUGAAUCUAGGUAGACUCAAGUAUUUCUUGGGGAUUGAGGUGGCUUGAUCAAAGCAAGGGAUAUUUCUCUCUCAAAAGGAAUAUGUGCUAGAUUGCAAACCUGUAGACACUCCUAUUAUUCAGAAUCAUCAUCUUGGAGAAUACCCAAAUCAAGUUCCAACGAACGAAGAAAGAUACCAGCAAUUAGUGGAAAGAUUGAUCUAUUUGUCACAUACUUGGCCAAACAUCGCUUAUGCGUUGAGUGUAGUUAGUCAAUUAAUGCACUCUCCAAGUGAAGACCACAUGAAUGCAGUUCUUCAAAUACAUAUGCAGAUUGGGCAAGUAGGUGUAACAGAUAUAAGAUCUACAUCUGGUUACUUCACAUUCGCGGGAGGUAAUUUGGUGACAUGGAGGAGCAAGAAACAGAAGGUAAUAGCUCUAUCUAAUGCAGAAGCCAAGUUUAGAGGUAUGACUAAAGGAAUUUGUGAGCUUCUUUGGUUAAGGAAGUUGCUUACUGAACUUUCGUCCAAAAGAAAAAAUGUUGCUUACUAAACUUGGGUAUGAACCUACAUCGAUAAUGAAUCUCUUUUGUGACAACAAGGCUGCAAAAACUAUUGCACAUAAUCCGAUUCAACAUGAUCGCACCAAACAUGUUAAAGUGGAUUGACACUUCAUCAAGCAAAAGCUUGAGGCUAAAUUGAUUCAGUUCCCUUUCGUGAAGUCUGAGGAUCAAUUAGCAGAUAUUUUGACAAAGGCAAUUUCCGAUAAAGCAUUCCACACAUCACUGGACAAGUUUGGCAUUGGCGACAUCUAUGCACCAACUUGAGGGGGAGUGUUGGCGUGACUUAUGAUUUUCCUUGCACACCACAGAUUCCCAUAUUAACUGUAAUUGAUUUCCUUUUUAUUUUUGCUUUCCUACUGUAAAUAGUAUUAUAAGUUAUAACUUUCCUUGGCCUUCAAGGUUUUAUUGUACUAUAAUUAUAUGACCUCCUACAAGGAGAAAAAUACACAGAAAAUUCCCACAAAUAAUAUUCUCUCGUAGGUUUUCAUAUUUUAGUACUCCUUACCUUCUAUUGUGACUCAACCGCAAAGUGACAUGUGUCCUCUCUUUUUUAAUGGUCAAAACAACUUCUUUUUUUCACUUUUACUCAACCAAAAUUUUUACCAAAAUAGAAAAGAAAAAAAAAGUACCAUUGUUUUUAUUUUCUCACUUGGUAACAUGAUGAUGUGUUGAAAAAGCCUCCAUGAAGAAACUAUGUCUACAAAUGUUGUCAAUGGAAACUUUGGUUGUAGAGGGAUUAUUAAAGUUAGAGUUGGAAAGGGCCACAAAUACUUAAAAUUUUGAUUGAAGAAGGAAAAUUAUUAUUUUAAAAAUGGUUGAGAAAAAUCAAAGUGAAAAAAAAAAGGGGAAAUUUUAUUUUUUUCUGUUUGGGUAAAAAACUAGGGGUUCAAUAAAGUGAAAAAGAAGUUGUUUUGACAUUAAAAAAGAGAGGACACAUGUCACUUUAUGGUUGAGCCACAAUAGAAGGUAAGAAGCGAAGUAUUGUCCCUAAAUUAAUUAGUUGCCAUAGAAAAUUGAUUUUUAUUUAUUUUAAACAAACAACAUUAACUAGUUGGUCUAUCAUUCUUUCUCAUGUUCUUUUCUUGUUAUUUUAAUCUUGUUUGUUCAAUUUCUUUUUUUAAAUACAAAUAAUUUUUUUUCUUACAUGUUUUUGGUUAUUCAUAAACAAAUAUGAUCAAAACUAAUAUAUUUUGUUUUGCCAAAAGUGGAAGAUUUUAUUCAUAUACGACAAGUAACGUUUGCAUCAAUAGUUUCAUCAAGUAAGGUUAUUAGUUUAAUCUCCUUUAAGAAGUGAAGAGGAUUGAAUUUGAAAACUCUUCUAAUAUUGGGUUGGUAGUUUGUCUCUACAUAAAGAGAUUUGAGGAGCCGUACACAUAGAGGUGUCAAACGGACUGUGCUAGGCCGGCCCAUCUUAUUUAAACUCGUGCUUUUAAUGUUUUCGUGUCGGGCCGGACCGGCCCAUUUAAUUUAUCGGGCCGUGUCAUGCCGGCCCAUUUAGUAAAAUCAUUGAUCCCGGUCCGGCCCAAAGUCCAUGUCCAUAUUGAAACGAGCCGGGCUGGGCUCGUGCUCGUGCCAUACUCGAGCCCAAGAACCAAUCUAUUUAAUUUGAAUUUUUUUCACUUGAUUUUUUUUUCCACUAGAUAAUUCAAAUUAUAAACAUUAAAAAUAUAAUUAGAGGCAAUAAAUGAUGAACUAUUUGAAAACAUUAAUCAAUCAAACAUCCGAACAAUAUGAAAUGGCGGAGGGAAAAAAGUGUCCAACUCCACAAAGUCCACUUCAACUUUUCAUCUUUAAACAACUUAUUAUUUUAUAUGUGAAAAAAUGUCUUGCUUUGAUUAGAAGAGAAGCGUAUAUGUCAUAUGUACUGAUUAGAUGUCAAGUCCAAUGUUGUUUAAUUAAUUAAGGACCCAAGUAAUUUCCCUAAAAUGAAAGACAUCAAAUAUAUAUUUAUGAUUAAAAAAAAACAUAGAAACAAUGACAUUAGAUGUCAAAUUAUUGCAUUUUGACUUUUGAGAAAGAAAAAAAUGUUAAGUGGGGCAUGCUUGGGCUCGUGCUUGGGCCAAGCCCGGCCCAUAUCGGGCCAUGGGCCGGCCCGGUCCAUUGGACCUCAUUUUUUGAUCCCGACCCGGCCCAAGUUUUCAUGCCGUGCCGAGCACACCCCAUUAAUAUUCGUGCUCAUGCCGUGCCAUGCCUUAUUUAAAUGGGCUGGGCUCGGGCCGUGCUGGGCCAGCCUGUCCCGUUUGACACCUCUACGUACACAUGUUAAAACUAGAAAAAGAAAAAGUAGAAAGACAUCAAAUAAUCCAACUAGAAACCUAGAAUUAGUGUCAAUUCAUAUAUUUGGGUGCUCAAUGGAAAGAAAAAAAAGGAAGAAGAAAAAUAAACGUGGAAAAUAUUGGGUGAUGAAUAGAAGUAUAAUACCCACUUUGUUUGAAGUUGUCUUGAUGAUGAGAAUCUGAAAAUUUAGGUAAGGUGGAAGUUGAAGAAAAAUAAACAUGGAAAAUAUUGGGUGAUGAAUAGAAGUACCCACCUUAUUUGAAAGUUGUCUUGAGGAUGAGAAUCUGAAAAUUUAGGUAAGGUGGAAGUUGAAGAAAAAUAAAUAGGGAAAAUAUUGGGUGAUGAAUAGAAGUAUAAUACCACCUUGUUUGAAGUUGUCUUGAGGAUGAGAAUCUGAAAAUUUAGGUAAGGUAGAAGUUUUGCCUUCCUCGUGUAAACAAAGUUAUGAGAAAUAGAUACGUUCUGGGAAAUAGAAGCCGGGAGGUUUUAAGAAAUAUGAAUUUAAAAAAAAGAAUAUCAACAGUUGUUGGAUGAACUUAUAAUUAUAAAUUAUUAGUAAGGACAAAUUAGUCAUAAAAAAGGUGCAUUUAAUGCUAGUCUUACUUUCCCAGGGAAAAUAAAACCCAAGGAUGAAUGAGGGUUUCACUUUCCCAUGUGCUAGGCAAUGAUUUCCUAUACUUAGACUUACCAAACAUGUAAAAACAAUUGAUUUUCCAUUUCCAAGCUUCUUUUCCAAUGAAUCAAACGGGGCCUAAGGGGAAUGCUAACAAGCUUUUCUCCAAUUUUUUAAUAAGAAGAUCAUUCAAUUCAAUGUGUUGUCAAAUAUUCCAGCAGACCAUGUGCUUUUCAUGGAAUUAGAGAGAUGCUUUAGUAAUUAGAUAGGUUUUUUUUAAUACAGGCAAUAAUGACUAGACCCGGUGGCAUUGGAUAGAGUUUUAAUUUUACUUUGAAAGAUGAGACAUGGUUGGUCGGUCAUGCCCAUUCUGAUGAAAUUAUCUAUUUAAAAAGAUUACCGAUAUUAAACUUCACAAAUAGUUUAGAGAUCAAUCUCUAGCUUCCACAAACAGAUUAAACACAUUUUUCCAUGGCAUUGAUCCUUCCUAGCAUUCCAAGCCUUACCACCUUUAGCAGCCUCCAAGUCAAGUUGGCUGCAAGCCAAGUGAAAGGUGAUGAGCAUGUUCCAGCUGACACACCUGGGCACCAACUUACCACCCACAUCAGAUCCAUCAUCAACAAACGAGACGAACAUGAACCGUUUUACGUUCUAGAUUGGGGGUUCUUGUCAGCCUCAUGGAAAAAUGGAGCCAUUGCCUUCCCAAUGUUCAGCUCUUCUUUGCUGUCAAGUGUAACCAUGAGCCUGCAUUCAUUGCUGCAUUGGCAACACUUGGUGCAAGCUUUGAUUGUGCCAGCAAGGCCGAGAUUGAGGCCGUCUUUGCUCAUGGUGUAAGCCCCACGAGAAUUGUUUAUGCCAAUCCAUGCAAGGGUGAGUACCAUUUAAGGUACGCAGCUGGAGUCGGGGUCGAUCUUGCGACCUUCGACUCCAUGGACGAAGUUGAUAAGAUCAAAAGGUGCCACCCCAAAUGUUCCUUGUUGCUUCGGAUUGCUGUACCAAAUGACAAGAGCUCGUGGCGUUCAUUCGGGACCAAAUUUGGUGCGUUGCCUGAAGAGGUCGCAUCACUCCUCAGACACGCACACAAACUAGGGUUAAGAGUGGUGGGAAUUUCAUUCCAUAUGGGAUCGAAAGCGUCUGAAUCUCAAGUGUACUGUAGAGCAAUAGCUGCAGCUAGAGCUGCAUUUGAUGUGGCUGAUGAGCUCAAAAUGCCCAAAAUGCAUGUGCUUGAUAUUGGUGGUGGGUUCAAAGCAAAUCAACUGUUUGAUGAAAUAGCCAAGACCAUAAAUGUUGCCAUCAAACACUACUUUUCUGAUCAUCAGUCAGAUUCUGAUCUGAAGGUGAUGGCUGAGCCAGGAAGGUUCUUUGCUGAAACUGCAUUCACAAUGGUUGCAAAUGUGAUGGGGAAGAGAGUGAGGGGAGAGAAAAGAGAGUAUUGGAUUAGUGAUGGAAUUUAUGGGUCAUUUAAUCUUCCAGCAUACGACAAAUCCUCUAUGCAAAUCUCACCGCUCCAAAUUCUAAGUCCUCACCAAAAUCAAGGGACAUAUUCAUCAACAGGUUUUGGGCCGACUUGUGAUUCAUUGGACACAGUUGUUGCUGACUGCAAACUGCCUGAAUUAAAGCUGAAUGAUUAUCUUGUGUUCCACAAUAUGGGCGCCUACACAACUUCUGCUGGAACCAACUUCAACGGCUUCUGCAUUUCUGCUAUUCCCACGUACCUGGCAUUUACAAGUGCUAAUGGUUAAACUAAAUUUUGUUGGGAUUGGUAUGGCUGAUGCUAUUUUCCUGUAAUUUCUUCUUUUAUUCUCUAUUAAAAGAGAAAAAACUGUUAGAAGUGAGGAGUGGAAAAUAAGUUUUUUGGACUAGUUUCAAAAACAAAAAUUAAAGUAUUGUGUGAUCUCUCUCAUUUUUUUACUUUAAAUCUUGUUUGGCCGUUUCGUGUGAUCGAAAAAUUAUUAUAAUAUGGGUAGAUGAUAUGGUUCAUAUUUCUUACUUUUAGUAUAAAUAAAUAUUUACUUAUAUUAUAAUAUGUGGAUAACUUAUAUUACGUGUCUGUAUUCUAGUACUAUCCUAUACACGUAGGGCUCGUUUGGUACGUCAUAUUGUAUUGACUAAUUUCUAUAAGAUAGUAUUAAUCUGUUUCAGAAAGUACUGACUGUUUAUCCAUUAUAUUAUAAGACGUUUUAGUAUUGUUCCAAAUAAAUAAUCUAACUAAGUUAUACUGUGUUUGGUGUUUCGUCAUACUAUUUUUUUUUAAUUCUUUGAUAAUUUGACAGUUGCAGGGAUGAUGAAUUGAUAAUGUAACCAAUAAAAGACGACAAGAGAAUAUCCAGCUAACAGACUACAACUCAACAAAAUGGGCAAUCAAGAGCACAUGUUUAACAAAAAAGAACUUGUGACCAAGAAAUCAGUAACACCAAGGGCAUCUGAGGGCAAGAAAACUCGUUCUAGGUACUACAAAUUUCAAGUUUCCAAUCUCACAAUGGAACUUCAAAGAGUAUUGUGCUUUAUAAGAGAUAUAGGUGCAACAAAUUGUACAUGUUUGGUAUGCCUCACUGGACUGGAUUGGGUUAAAUAGCACUAGAAACCCUUGUUUGGUAAGAGACAGGACUAACUUAAAUGAGACUGUAUAGUCCAAUAGUGAAAAAAAACGCGUCACUCGCUCGUCUAAUACAGUGAGCCUGAAAAGUGGUUCUCUAAAUAGCACCCUCAUUAAAUAGAACACGUGAGUCCGACGCUUCUCCUUAAAAAAUAUCAUAAUUUUAUUUGUUUUCUUUUAAUUAUUGUUUAAGAUCUUUGAAUGAGUUUUUUUUUUUUUUUUUUUUUGCAGCAGUUAUUUAUUUUAGAUAAAAAUCCUUAACUAAAUUUAAAUAUUAAAAUAAUUAUUUUGAUAUUGCAUUUGGAAAAUCAAACUAUACAAAUGUUUGAUAUUUUUUUUGAUAUUGAAACAAGCUUAAUAAUUCAUGAUGUGAUGAUUUCUUUAUCGCAAUCAAUUUUUACCUUGUCCAAUUAUAUUUUUCAAUUUGAAGUCAAAAGCCAAAUAUAUAAAAAUUAGACAUAAAUAUAUAAUUUAAUUAUUUUUUUACUUGGUCCCUUAAAAACCUAGAAUUAUAUUGAGUAAGCUUAGCUCCUUUAACAAUGUUUCCACCAACUAAGAUUAAUCUUGAGAAGCCAAAAAAUAAAUAUCAUAAUUUUAUUCUUCAUUAAAAAAAAAAAAGAAUUUUAUUUGUUUUCUUUUUAUUAUUGUUUUAAAUCUUUUUUGUUGUUGUUUUUGUUGCCAUAUAUUGUUAUAAAUCUUUGAAUUGGGUUUCUUUUUAGCAUUUAUUUAGCUUUUAGGUCAAAAACCCUAAUUAAAUUUAAAUAUUAUAAGAAUUAUUUUUUAGUCCGACACAGCACCAAACAUAGGUCUUCACUAUUUUUACAAUCCAGCUUCUUACUUCGGCACAGCACCAAACGUAGGUUAGUACUUAAUCCAGCUUAGGCCAAUCCGAGCUAAUCCGAGACAGUCCAAGGAUUUAGUUCAAUCUAUGAUAGUCCGCCGUGCCAAACGACCCCGUAGAGAGAUGUGCAACAGUUUGCAUUAUAUUUCUAACACUUGAAAGAAAAAAGACAAUUAAAAAAAAAGAAACACGGAAAAACAAGAAUCAAUAACACGUACAAAUUAAUAAUUCCCAUUCAAAUGGAUAUCAGCAGAGAAGUUGUUUGCAACUAAUCCCAGUUUCCAUGCUUCGUAAAUUAAACAUUUGAUUUUAAAAAAAAUGUCAAAAAGGAAAAACUGAUGACUUAAUUUCUACAAAAAUUUAAUAAAAUAGGAAGUAUAUAAAGAAAGAAAAGAUGAAGACAUAAGAAGAGAGAAGAAGCAUAUUAUUGGAGAAGUAUGAGAGAGAGAGAGAGAGAUAUAUAUAUAUAUAUAUAUAUAUGAACAGUGACGGACCCAGUAUCCGAACGUCGUAGGGUCAUAGUGUAAAUGUUCCAAAGAAAAUUUAAGAAUGGGUUAUUUUUCUUAUCUAUUUUUUCUCUUCCAAAUUUCAUUCAUUUCUUGGACAAAUAUACUGUGAAUGAUUUCGAUUUUUCAUUUUUUUAUGUAUGUUUUUGAGUAAUUUCAAUUCGUAAAAUUUCAAGCCAAAAUUUUAUUGUUUAGACUUUUUUGAAUAUUGGUUUUAGCACUGUUAGAAAAACAAGCCAAAAUUUUAUUGGGUCAGAUAUUUUGCCUGCACAUCUGGUUCCAAUCUGUUGGUUACUGCAUUUUGUUCUAAUUACAAUGAAGAAAAACAAGUUUUUUUUUUUUAUUUGUUUGUGAGGAGAAAUUCUUAAGUGUUAAAUAGUGGUGAUAAAACCAUGUUGUGGUCAUCCUUAGAUAAAAUUACAAGUAAAGCUCAGCAUUCAUGGAUUCUAAUUUCUAAGCCAGUCAUUGGAAUUUGGGAGGAAGAAAUAAUAAUAAAUGGAACAAAGUUGACUGACUGAUUCCAACAACAAAACAAGUUAAAAAGAUUCAAAAGAAAACGCACCAAGUAGGGGUCGAACCUACGACUCUCUGCUUAGGAAACAGACGUGGGAAAAUGGAGGGAUAUGGAAGGGUAUUUUAUUUAAAAAAUUUUCCUAGGGCAAAACGACGUCGUUUUACCUAGGGUGUUUUAAAAAAAACAGAAGCUUGUUGCGCUGCUUCUUCUUCCUCAUUUGCACAGCUUCCUCCCUCUUCCUCUCAGGCAAAAUAUCAAGCACUUGGAAGGCAGUUCAAAGGGUCACACAGCCAGCUCAAGUGGACUUCCAAACCUAUUUCCAUGGCUUCCAUGGGGUCAUUUGACCCCAGUGACCCCACUGUGGGUUCGUCCAUAACUAGGAGAAGAGUGAAGAGAACAACCACUGGAUAAGAUAGUGGAGAAGAACCUUAGGUAGAAGAAGAUAAAAAUAGCAUCUCUGAUUUUUCACGUAGAACGUGCGUUCUUUUUCUCUAGCCUUAUAAUUAAGCAUAUAUUAUCUAAACUGAGGUGUGUGAGUUGUAUUCUUUAGUCAAGUAAGGAGAGUAUUAAAAGCCCAACCUAUUUAAAAUAGUCAGGUAAUUAUACAACUUGACACUAAAUAACUAACAUGGACUAUUUACUCUUAUCGAAAGUCUAAUACAGUAAACCCACUUAAUUUGCUGCACUGCUCUAAUUUACUUGUUAUUGUGCUAGUACCUUGACAUUCACUAUUUUAUUUUAAAUCUUUAUUCGUAGUAGUUCCUUAAUUGUGUGAUCGACAAUUUGUAUAUAACCUUUUAUACAGUACAAAAUAUUACUUCAAAUCGUGCUCUACGUACUUUAAUUCGUAAUAGAUCGCAUUCAAGUUGGACAGCAAAAUUGGUGGACUCAAAUGCCCGAGCCCACGUGCCCACAAAGAGAGCGACCAACAAGGCUUGCCCAAAAUCAAAUGCAUCAAUCCCUGUCAGCUAGGGGUGGGCAUACAAACCGUUGAACUGGAAAAUCGAACCAAGUCGAAUCGAAAAAAAUUGAAAAAAUUGAGUUGACCAAAAAAGGUCAAACUCGAACCAAAACCGAAUCGAACUAAUUUGGAUUGGUUUUUUUUUUUUUUUUUUUUUUUUUUUUGAGGACCUUUUCUAUUGAAAGGGGCGAUAACAUAUUAAACUCACACACACAACACGGAUGCUAAGACUCGAACCCAGAACCUUGCCUGAGGGAGUAAAUUCUUCAAAUCACUAUACUAAUGGGUCCUUUGCAAUUCUAAUUUUAACUUUAUAAGAAUCAAUCCAAACCAAAUUGGAAUGGUUAUUUAAAUUAAUCAAUUAAUUAUAUUUUUAGCCCACUUUUCUCCACCUUUAGCCCAAUGUUCUCUCAAUAAAGCCCAACUUUAUAUUAAAAAAUCCUAAAGCCUAACAAUACUAUGCAUAUAGCCUAGACCCAAUUAAUAACCCUACUUUCUAACUCUUAAUAACUCAUUUUCUUUACUCAAACUCCCAUCUUUCCUUCAUCUCUCUUUUUUUUUUUUUUUUUUUUCUUUUUUCUUCUUCUUCUUUUCUCUCUUCUCUGUGCCGACACACUCUCUCUCUCUCUCUCCUCAAUUUUUUUUUCUAUCCCUCUCUUCUUCUUCCUUUUCUCUCCUCCUCUUUCUUCUUCUUCUUCCUCUUUCUGGUUCCCAUUUUCUCUCUCUUUUUGUAUUUUGUUUUAGUUUUAUUGUUUUCUGCUUCUCUCUUCCCUCUUUUCCCUUUCUCUCUUCCUCUUUCUUCUUGCUCUUUCUGGUUCGGAUUUUUUUUCUCUCUUUCUCUAUUUUUUUAAUGCUUCUCUCUUCCCUCUUGCUAUGGAACUUUCUUCAUAUGCUGGUUAUGAGGAUCCAAGGACUAUCAAGCAUCAGAGUCUAAUGCAAGACUAUGAAAAGCUGCACGAUGAAAAGAGAAGAUAUAACCAGUUUGCUGGUCUUUUGUUAUAAAUCAAAUAAAACAAUUUCCAAUUCUUUUCUUUCCUCUUUGUGGGAUUUUAGUCCAUCAAUUCUUUUGUACAUAUUUCUGUAUAAUAUGUGAGAGAUGUAAUUUUGGGGGGUUUACUUAGGGAAGCCAAUACAGAGUGAUGUGUAAAACUUUUCAUGAUAUGCUGAAAUUUUUUUGUAGGUCUCUUUAGAUACAUUGUUUAUUUGGAUUUUGUUUAUGUGGCUGCUGAGAGAUCAGAGAAUAAAAAGGAUAAAUCAAAUAUUUUGAAAGAAAAAAACUCAGUUGGGCUUGUUAGCCGAUUCAAAUCGGGAAAAUCAAAACCUAACCAGAUAUGAAUCGAUCUGGGUUGGUUCGGUUGAGUAAUUAACUUUUCAUUAGAAUCGGAUAAAAUCUGUCCGAAUGAAUAGUACUGUUCUGGAUAUGAAUUUGACUGAGAAUCAGGCCGAACAAUACCGUGCCCAGCACUAUUGCCACCUACCUUAGACCAACUCUCUCCAACCCGAGGUCUAAAACCCAAAUAGAUUUAGCAAGGAGACUAUAAUGAAGAGUAAAAAUAAGGGAUUAUAAUGAGGGCUUCCUUAAUAGUUGUUCGAUUUAUUAGACUAAACCGCCUCAUUGUUGUAACAUCAACAUAGCCCCUCAUUAUAGAAGCUAGAUGUAGUGUUAGUUUUGUUGCCCUCUUGAGUUUGGUGUUUUGGGUGUCUAAUGAAGUUGUUCUUUGAUUAAAAAAGAAUAAUACAACGUCUCAAAUUGAAAUCCAACGAUCAAAAUAACAAAAUAAAAUAUCUUACCCCAAAUUCUAUAAAUACGCAUCUAUUUAUAAAAUAAUUAACCAAAAAUCCAUUUCUUUCUCAUAUCUUUUUUACAUAAGCGAUAUUUAGGGGAUAACAUUUUUUCGCAUGGGUUUGUGUGGCUUGCCCCUAAUGCUAUUUUAAUCACGUACCCAUAUCCUCCCUUGUUUAGAGCAUAUAUGUGUGCAUGUUGUUUUAGUAGAUCCAAUUUCUUUGGAAUCAUAGUUUUUCAUUAAGAUUUAUACUCUUAACAUUAUAGUUUUGUAGGUAUUAAUUUGGCUAACUAAUUCUUAUUUUAUAUGAAUGAAAAUAGAAUUGAUUUAUACUAGAUUCAUAACACACUUCUUUUUGGUUCAAAAAGCUUUUUUUUAUUGAUACUUUUGUAAUAGGGCACAUCGGGAAAUCGAUCCCCAACGAAGGUGAGAAUAAGGAAUUCCUGAUUUGAAUAAUAUGCGGACAGAGCCGAGGAUGAAGGAAAAGCUAACCCAACCCCAAUUCACCACAUUACGUGUGAGAACCUUUUUUUUUAAUAAAAAAAACCACUAUAUAUUUUAUUAUUUUAAAGAAAUAUUCAUAUUACAUAUUAAUUAUUUAUUAUGAAGACCUAAAUGUUAUAAAAUAUUAAGCCUAGUAUGAGAUUAUUCUUUUAGGUGAAAGAUGACAUCAUUCUUGUUUUCCACGUGUAGAGACUUGCAAUUGGUUUUAAUCAAAUCAUCAUUGCCAUGUCACCUUGCACGUGAUAUCAUUGGUCAAAGGGGAUGAGUCACAUUAUUCCCUUACUUUUCUGUCUUAUUUUUUGGUGGUUUAAAAUAUUAUAUAUAUAUAUAUAUAAAUAUUAGGCUUUUUUUAAUCACAAAACGUCCCUGACGUUUGAAAAAUUAUCAGAUUGCAUCCUUAAAGUUUUUUUGUAUCACUCAUGGUCCUUAACGUUAAUAUAGGUGCUCUUAAAUAGUCCAACUGUCAAAAAAACUGUUAAAUUCAGGGAUAUAAUCAUCAAAUCAAUCUAAAAUUAUAAUAUAUACAUAUAUAUUAUGUCUAGAAACUUGUAACCAUAACCCGGAUCGGAGAAAUACAAAAAAUCAGGAAAUUUGGAACAUCCGUCGCAAUUGGCCAGAGCCUAAGGAAGUCUGAAGUUGAUCUGGAAAUUUGAUUUUUAGUGACGAAAAAUAUGAAGAACACAGUCGCAGAAAAUGUUUAGCCACAAAAAAUCUGAUGAACAUCCGUCGCUAAAAACUUUUGGUGACGAAAAAUCUUCAAAUUUUUGGGCAAAACAGCAGUUGGGUUUUUUGGGUUUUAGGUCCUUUUUUGAGCUUCAAAUCGUCCUAAAAUAUAAUGUAGGCCAACUGAGACCCCUAAACCUGGUCCAAAUUCAUUCUAGAUAUGUCAAUGAAACAGAGAGUGAGAAUUUAUUUACGUUGGAUGACUGCCAAAACCUUUGAAAGUAAUAAUAUGUUGCACUUUGAAGUAUGAAAUUUUGCCACUACAGAAUGAUAUGAUGCUAUUUUUAUUUUUCUAGUAUGAUAUUUUAUUUGGUAGUCAUGUUUUGCUUUUGAUUUGAUAUAUGUUUUCUUUUUAUAUACAUCUUAGGCAUCCAUUGAUGCGAUCAAAGAGGCUAAUGGUCUUACAGGGGAUACAAUCUAUGCUGGCAAGAAGCUUAUCAUUCCAUGAAUAUGUUCCAUCUGUGUUGUUUUCGCAUAACUCAUUUUAAGAAAUUUUAGAGAAGCAAUGCAGUUUCUCUUGCAAUCUCGAGUCUCUUCACUUAAAAGCAAAGAGCACGCAUGGCCUUGUAGUUUCGACAUUUCUUGUUUUGAUUAUUGGUUUGGCUGUACUGGAGUUGUAAGUAGUUUUCAGAACGACAUAUUGUGUUGGAUAUCUAAAUAUAAUUGAUUUGGCGAUUAUAUCCCUGGAUUUAACAUUUUUUUGACAGAGGGACUAUUUAAAAGCACCCAUAUUAAAGUUAGGGACCAUGAGUGAUACAAAAAAAUUUUAAGGAUGCAAUCUGAUAGUUUUGCAAACGUUAGGGAUUUUUUGUGAUAAAAAGCCUAAGUAUUAUUUGGUUGCAUCCGUAGCCUCUCCUAUAAGUAUCAUCCUUUCUUACUCCAAUCAUUCAUUUCAACUCUUUAGAAUAGAUUUCUAACAUAAAGUAGUGUUUAAGAGAGAGAGAGAGAGAGAGAGAGAGAGAGAGAGAGAGAGAGAGAGAGAGAGAGAAGGAAGAAAAAGAAACGAGAUGAAGUGUCUUUGUCUUGCAAUAUUUCAACUUAUCAUGGUGAGUGGGUUAUGUAAUGUGUUCUAAAAGUUCUUAUUUUAUGAUAAAUGUGAAAAUAAAGGAUUUAUUUUAUUACAAAUCUCGCUCUACUUUCAAGUCAAGCAUGUCUAAUUUGUGCAAUAUUCACACAAUAUAUAUUAUUUGGAGUUUUUGUGAAGUACGUACUAUUCAUGGAACAUGAAAACUUCAAUGAUGGGGUAUCCGAAGGAUAAAUGUAUUAGACAGAGACAUAGGGUAGUGAGGCCGAUAGGGGUCACGUGAUGGAUACAAUUUGUGAAGGAUAACCAAGAUAUGAAGUGAUGAUGUGAUAUAAUUUGGAUUGUGUAUAUUUUUAUUAUAAUUUCUAGAGUGUGUAAAAUGACAUUGCUUGACUGGCAUAUUACAUAAUCUACUCACUGAGCGGUGGUUUUCUCAUCCCUCACCUAUUUUAUUUUUCAGAUCAAUUAGUGGGCAAGACAAAGAUGAAAUCAGAGAAGUUGGAUUAGUUUAUAGUGAUAAAGUUAUAUUUAUAUCUUGUACACUUGUAAGAUUAUUAUUAUCUUUUAUAUAACGGAAAUGUAUUUUAACCAAAUUUUCAGUCUUUUUAUUUUAUUUCAUUCAGUUCACGCACCGUGAUUCUGGAAUAUUCUUUAUUUCCGGAUCAAGACGUGACAUUACUAUCUCUAUUAAUAUUGAGAGAGGGAGGAUUUUGAACACAUAUGGAUAAUUGCUCUAAACCACUUAAGCCACAAGCUCCUUCCUGUAUUCAUUCACGAGUUUCAACUUCAUAUUUUGUUGUACUCAUUUUUAUGCAAUAAAUUAUUAUUAUUUUUAAAUGAUAAUUUUUAAGUUAAAUUAUGGGCCAAAUAAUUUCAAUUUAUAGAUUUUAAUGUUUACAUAUAAAAUUGAUGCAAGAAAUUGUGUUCAUUAUAAAUUUCCUAAGAAGUAUACUUUUUUAAUUUUUUUUAUUUUAUUUUAUUUUAUUUUUUCAGAAAGAGAUAUCAUUCAUAAACCAAAAUAGGUAUACAUAGAUAAGCACAAAUGCAAUGGCCUCGUUAAAACCUUCAUAGGAAAACCACAAGGGACAAACCCCAGCAUAAGAAAGAGUACCACACAUGCCAUUGACUAACAAAAGAGUCCAAUUCAAGGCCACUUUGAACCUUUACAAAGAACCAGAAUGGGAAAAACUACUUGAAACCGACACAGUAGGCCCCAUAAUAGAGUACAUCAAUGCAUCCCAACUGUCAAAAGAAGCCUUCUAUGAUAACUCAUAGUCCUUUGUACAUCCUAAGAGUUGUAUAGCAUACCAAGGGUCAGAGACACAACAAAACACAUCAAGAAAGUGUAGGAAACCUUUAGAAAAUCAUGAGUUUCAUUUGAACAUCAACAUAGAUAAAUAAAAUCACGGCAACGAAAGCUUAAGCAUGCAUCUAUGAGUUCAAAAACAAAAACUUUUCCCAUAAAUCUUUUAAGCCAAGUGAUAGUUGUAUUUUUUAUUAUAGAACAUACUUCUAAGAAAAUUGGAAGGAAGAGUUACCCUUGGUGCGUGCUUUUAAUCCUAUGAUCGAAUUCCACCAGAGUUGUUAAAGCUUAAAUGGCUCCUUCAAAAUCUCCACCUUGUUGUUCAAGCUUGAAUGACUCCUUCAAAAAACUCCAACUUGAGAGGUUCUCCAAAAGUCACCAAAGUAGGUAACCUCUAAAUUUCUUCCCAAUUAGAGCUUGAGAAGAAGAUGAUGAGCUUAGUGAGAGGAUGAUGCUAGUAAUCCUUCACAAGGUAGUAUGAAAUAUUUUGAGAGAGUUUUUGGAAGACUAAAGCUUUUUUUCUCUCUCUUGUUUUUCACUAAUGACCCUUUAGGGUUCAAAAAAACGAUUGUCAUCUUUUACUUGAGUCAACAAGUUGACUCUAGCAACCAAAGGCCAUACGAAUGCCCAUCCCUUGGAAUUGGGCCUCUUAGGCUCAAUUUCAUUUAAGUUUUCAUACAACCCAAUCUCCAUGUCCAAUAGGAUAAAGCCUAAUGGGCCUAGAGUUCAACAUUCCCAUUAAUUUUGCCUUAACCAAUUAACUACGCUUAAUUGAUCUCCUCAAUUCAUCAUCUCCAUAACGGUUUCUCAAAACCCAAGUUUAAUGGUGUGCUAUCCAUUAGGUUUUAAUUAGUAAGGUCGUGGGUAAUUUGAACUCUUCGUAAUUGAUUGUGAAUUAAAACUCCUUUUUAAUUCUUCCUAUUAGUUAGGAUCAUAAGUCCUUUGGGAUUCCACCAUCCAUGAGUGACACCUAGCAGUAUGUCAUGGAUAUCCAACCUAAGUAGAAUAAGCAGAGAACCUAUUCAGUUGGAAUUACAAUGCAAUACGGGCCUUUCCUAUUACAAUACUCUUAAUCUCAUUACUAGGGCAUGGUGCAUAUCAAACCCUUAAUGAGAUUGUCACGUCUUAUAUGAUUUGUAUAAGUAUGACUAGAACAUCUUUCUAGGUCAUAUCGAAUACUCUGAUAAGAGAUUUGCUUAAUCAUAUCUUCCGAGUAUUCUCCCUCUUUUAUUGAAGGAUAGAGAUUCCAUGUUGUACACUCACAUGUCUCUAUGAGUCAAUCGAGAACCCCAACAAUGCUUGUAUCACAUCCAUGAUUACGACAUGUCUUUAUAGCAUCAUCUAAGAUCCACAACCUUCCCAUAAGACAACCAUGGUGCCUCAGGUCUAAGGACUAAUUUGCAUUAUUGCAACUUGGAGUUUCUUGUUUGACAUAUAAGUAAAAUUUCCAUGCAAGAAGCUCUCGUUUGAUCGCGUUCAGUGAACUCAUUCUCUAUUGAGCACCCACACACUUGUCUUAGUGUCGCCACACAAAUGACUUGAGACCAGUCAUCCUCCCAAUCGAGAAGACAUAGCAUGUACCGGUCUUUUCGGAUUGUCAGUACCCAUUUGACAAUCCUAUGAGGAUAAUAGAGGAAAAGUCUCCUAAAUCAAACUUCCUUAGAUUACUUUCUCUCUAUCUCACACCCUUGGACUUUUCGUUUAAGCAUGUGUAACUAUUAAUGAGACAUUUACUAAUAACCAAUAAACUUGGCCUUUAAGAGAAUUAAACAUAAGUCUAAUACAUGAAAUAUCCUUAAAGAUUACAACAUAUGAUUGGCUUUUAGAGCAUAUUUCCAACAGAAAGAACACAAAGACGACAUCAAAGAAGAACCCCAUAAGAGCACACCAACUCAUCCCAGAAUCUAAUAAAGAAAACUUCCUAUGGCCAACGAUAGUUCUUCGGACGUCGCAUAGGUGAGAUAAUUUGCAAAGAGUCAAACAAUCAAAGGAAAAAAAGAGAGGCUAUGAACAAACUAGGAAAAUGAAUGAAGAAACCCUCAAGGAGCACACCACCGCAUCCCAAAGUUUUCAAAGGAAAACUCCUAUAAAAGUACCAUAAUCCUUUGGGCAACGCAAGAAUUGAGAAGUAUGUAGAGAGGCAGACGAAAAAGGGAGACACCACACUAAAACAAAAACCUAGCCUCGUCCACUUAACCUGAAAAAGCUAGACUUUAGGUAACAAAGAAGUCGUCGAAUGCCAAGCUUACGAAUGCUCCAACUGUGCACUAAGUGUGGACCUUAGGAGAUCCUACAAGACUAGUCUCCUUAGCCUUUCAGAACGGGUACAACUAAAAAAUAUGUUAUUACCAGUUGAGUCCACAACACGAACGAUUACAUCACUGUCAGUAGACAUAUCCCCUGUAAUCUUACGCUUCACACUGAUAUUUACAGACGCACUUUGUGAACCCUCUUCCUCGCUUUUGGAUUUGCCACGACCCUUCUUCUAAAGACCCUCAGAAUGCUGGAUAAUAGGCAUUAGGAUCAGAUAGGGACGGACCCACAAUAUCUCGAAAAUUAGCCAAGACUGUAUGGGCACCCAUAGAUGUUGGGUUCUUGCAAAUAUACCUCUUUUAAGGGAAUAUCCAUGAGGAUAACCCCCAACUCCGAUGCGGACGAGACCAGUGGAGGUGGUACCAGGGAGUGAACAUCGUCAUCAGAUAGCCCAGUCUAUCGGUAUAGAGACUCUACAGCCUCCAACACUUGGUGACGGCAUGGCAAGGUUAGAGGUAAACAUAAUCUUCAAGCUCAUUCCUAUCUGAGCAACAAGAUCAUCAAUCUUAAUCCUCAAGCUCAUUCCUAUCUGAGCAACUAGAUCACCAAGAUUGAUCAUUAGAACGGCCCCGAUCACCUGACCCAUAUAUGUUCUAGAAACCUUCAUGGCGUAGAGAAUUACCAAUAAACCUAUAAGGAAGGGAAAUUGCCGAGGAGCGAUAUGCCAGUGUGCCAAUUGUUUUACCUCAUAAUUUUGUAUCACAUUCCAAAAUUGAGUAAGUAAACUCGGAGUGAGAGUCCCAUAGGUGGUUUAAUAUUUUUGAAUACGCACCUGAGUAGGAUGGCCAAUUCUCUCACAGGAAAAGCAAUAUUCAGAAAGGUACUCAUAUUUGAACUCCACCAAUUUCUCCCCAACCUCCGAAAAAUUAAUCGGUGUCUGAUGAAUGAGGGGCAGGGUGACAAAAAACCCCACACGGAUACAAAUAAAGCCACCUACAUAAUCAGUGCAUAAUUACAUAUCAUUUUGCACCCUUCUAGCUUAUGAUUUGGUUAUGUUUUUUAGUUUAACUUGUGCUUUUAACCCUCUUUUAUCUUUGUUUCAAUGUAUUGAGCUUUGGGACUCAUUUGAUGCAUUUUGGAAUCAAGUUAGCUCAAAUUUGUGUUUACAGAUCAAUCAACUUCACGGACUGGACAAUACGUGCUCAGUAAGAACCAAAUAAUGAGCCAUAUAUCAUUGGAAAUAUGUGGACGUCUAGUUUUUGGAUCAUUCUACGGUCCAUGAUUCUGAGUCUUCUAGAGGAAGGUAUGCAAGUUUUGGCAACCGAAGGUGAAAUUCUGCAGGAUCUGCGUUACUGUGCCAAAAAUGACAUUUGAAGGUCUUUCCGAUUUUUACUUGAGCUUAGCUACAUAUGGUUGGAAAGAUCAGAUAAAGAGCUUCAAGACCUAUAUUUUUUCAUAAUUGUAUCAAUGAAGUAACAAGCCCAAAACCAGCCUACAAUCAAACUAAAAUGCAUUGUCAUGCAUGACAUGUGCAUGAGAUAAUUGUUUUUGGUGGGGAAGUUAGGUAAAGUUGGUGAAGUGGGUGUUGUAGGUAGAAGCAAAACUCAAUUCAGAUUUUUACUUCCCUUAGGCCUAUAAAUAGUGAGGUUCCCUAAGAUAAACUCAAAACCCUUUUGCUAAAUUUUCCUUUAUGUUAUUCUGAGUUGUACUUUAUUUUUCAUUGUAAUGUAAUUUCUUAUUUUCAGUUUUCAAGUUUGAUUAAUUUCCAAGUUUCAAUUACGAUUCUUGUUCUUAUUCAUUAUGCUUAUAAGUUAAUAUGCUUGUUUGAAUGAUUGAUCACCAUUGAAACUAGUAUGUUAGCUAUCUUGGUAUGAAUUAAGAGUAGACCCCAUAUGCUUUAAUUUGAAUUGAACUAUGAAUAGGAAAAAUAUGUAUGGACAUUCGACAAUAGGGAUUAGAUACAUACUUGGUUGUUUAAAACAUUCUUCUAUGCUUAAUGGAUUUCUAAUGCUUAAUUUAGGUUCGACAACAGAGGAUCAAAUUAGGGAAUUAGGAAUACAAGGUUAGGACCAGACACAAUGGCUUAUUCAGACUUUAGCUAGAAUCAAUCCAUGAAUCUGAAUUGAACUUGUUAACUAAUUUGCUUGAGUUAAUUAUUUUUAUCUUUUAUUUACGUGUUUACUUUCGUCGUUUAAGUUUAGUUUCUGUUUUCCUUACCUAAUCAAAACACCUAAUUUAUAUUUUGUACAGGGAAUCGAAUUGAAUCAAUCUAUCAUCAAUCCUCAUGGGAUCGACCUCGCACUUACACAUGCUAUACUACCCAAAGGCUCAUGCACUUUACGAGUAUCACAAGUUGAGGAUGCAGCUGAAUCAAUUUUGGUGCAACUGAACCCAUAACAAUAGUGCCAUCUCUGUUAUCCACCCACAAAACAUCCCCCAGUGCGACACCAAUGGCCUGGGCAAUGACUACCGUCAUAAGAAAGCCAGGUACACCAUGUAAUUUUACCCAGAAAGUUCCAUGCAUCAAUGGCAUAGAGUGCAUACUACCAUCAUCCGGGAUCUCCGCUAGCAAAAUCAAGGAACGACGAUAUGCCUAAGGUUUAGUGUCAAGAACACUUCUCUGAUCUCGAGCAUCGACAAAGCUCAUCUAGAACCUGUUAGAAUCUAUUUCCUUGAUUCAUACAUCCUCAAUACCAUUCUAUAGUUGCGAAUAAGUUUUGAUAAAGCCAUCAUGAUUGACGGGACUUUAGCCACGAGGCUAUAGGUAAAACCAAGAAAACUAUCAGAGACUGUCGAAGAACCAAUAACCACGCCAAUCUGUUCCCUUGGCAUAAGAAUAAAGUAACUCCCAAAGGAGGGCUCAAUGUCGUCGAUGAACACAUCCCGAUCACAAGGAGGAGAACGGCGCGCAAACGCCACUGAUGGAAGUCUUAGCCACACGACCCUAAUCGCACUAGAAUCCAAACGAGACAGACCCUAGUUGCACACAGGAAAGGGAGGAGCGAUUGGUGCAACCAAGACAUAGGCGGUGACACUAGGACGGAGAACGUCGGAACCCUAGCCAUCACACCCCAAGUCUUUGAGUGAACCAAAGCUACGUUGAACCAAACUUGAACUGCACGAGACACGGAGGGCCAAAGCAGAGGGAGUCCCGACCCAAUUUUAAUUAUCCAUUUAAAUUAUUUAAUUUAAUUAGUUGUGAAAUUUUAAUUUUUGCCCUCGGGGGUUGGGUUAUUUUGGUCACUUUUAAUUCGGUAGGAUUUUGAGAAAAAAUGGUACCAUUGCGUAGAGCGUGUCGAUACGAGUUCGUAGACAUAUAGUGGGCUCAAAUCGGAGUUAUAACGAAGAAGUUACGAUCAACGAAAGUACAGUGGCACAACCAUUAAUAUUUAGAAGUUGGAUUUUAAAAACACCAUAUUUUUCUUCUCUCUCUCUCUCUCUCUCCCCGACCUCACCACUCUCUCCUCGCGAAUAAUGAACGGCCGGCCAUUGUUUGGCCGGCAACCGUGCUCCACCGUCCACCUUCGGCCACAAGGCCGGUACCAAAAAGACCACCUCAACUUCCUCUCUCCGUCCCACUCAAUCCCUACUAUAGCCGCGGUUGAUAUCCCCAGGAAAUUGCAAAAAACCUUCUAGAAUUGCUUCGAAUUUUUCGUCGUCAUUUUCGAAGAUUUCGGCCAUCAUUUUUGUCGAUCUAGUUGAUGAUUAGGUUGAUUAGGAACGAUUUUUGAGUUUUGAAACUUGAUUUACACUCCAAAGUUUUAGCCGGUUUUUGGGUCGAGUUUCUGGCAAGUUCUGGCCACUUUUUGGAUAUGGCCCAAGAACAAAUGUUGCUCCACUAGUUGUCCUGGUCACGUAGGUAUAGGUAUUGAUUGGUGGUUUUAGAAUUUUUCGUUCGCCGAAAUUUUCUCAAGCCACCCAUGCGUAGGCCAUGUUUGGGUGGCCCAUUUGGUCCUAAAAUGUUUUCCAUGUCUUCCUAAGCACGAUGGUAUACUCGAGUUUGAAUUUGGUUAUCGUUUGACUGUCAAUCGGAUUUAAGCAUAUUAGACGUUAUCCGGGUUCGAUAUGUUCAAAUUGUUGGAUCAACUCCAUUUCCAAAUAUGUUGAUUUAGGUACCUCUAGGAUCGUGUAGGAAUUCAAGAAUCGAUCAUAGGAGUCUCGGAUGCUCUGAUUCAAUGAUUCAAAGAUUGCAUAAAACGGUGACCAUCUGAUCGUACAAUCGAGAACGAUCCGACCGCUUGAUCUGGACUAAACUUGUAGGACAUGUUUAGUAAACUUUGUUGAACCCGUAGGAACUUUCGGAUUGGAAAUCAGAGGUCGUGGGCCCAAGUGCUCGGUUGACCAAAUUUGAGAAGUUUGACCUCUCGGUUGACCGAGCAUCUUCCGAGGUUAUUUCACCUUUCGAAACGCGUAGUUGGACCUUAGGAACUCCUCGUUCAUCAUACACACACACACUUUGAAUCUACAAAAGAAAAUUAGGAGUUUGUUUUUAAUGUUCUAGUUCGAAGUAUUGUAAUUAAUAUGGUCCUCUUAUUCUUCAAUAGGAACUCCGGCUCCUCGUACAGAACAGGCAGGAUUCUCUGAAGGUCAAGCAGCUUUGAAUUAUCUGUGAGUGGACUUUGUUUUGAAAUAGCAUUUCAACGAUUAAAUUUCUAUUCAAAAUGGAUUAUUCUGACUAUGAAGUUAUUAUAUAUAUAUUAAUUAUGGAAUUUCGGCUAUUUUGAUAUUUGAGUUUUAUAGUUAUUUUGAAUAUGGAUUAUGCGUGUUGAACAAUUGUUAUUCACUCUGUGAUUAAAUAAUUGGGCAAAUGAUUAAUAUGUGUUGGGGUACUUUGUUGAUUGUUGUAUGAAUAUGUGAUUGCACCAUGCUAAGUACCUUCCCCUGGUUACUAUACCCGCACGUGGUGUUUGAUUAUUCAACUCGAUUUCCGAUCCGAAAGUUUGUACGGGUUCAACAAGGUUUAAUAUACAUGUCCUGCAAGUUUGGUCUGAAUUGAACGGUCGGAUCACUGACGAUCGCAUGAUCGGACGGUUAUCGUUUAAAGCAAACUUUAAGUCAUUGAAUUGGAGCAUCCAGGACUCCGAUUUACAAUCCACGAGUUCUUACACGAUCCUAGAGAUGACUAGAUCAACAUAUGUAAAAAUGGAGUCAAUCCAACGGUCCGAACAUAUCGAACCCGGAUAACGCCUAAUAUGUGAUAUCCAAUCGAAAGUUAAAUGAAAACCAAAUUCAUAUCCGAGCAUACUAUCGUGCUCAGGAUGACACGGAAAUCAUACCAUCCACAAAGUGGCCCACACACCGCCACACACCCCUGCAAUGCGUGAGUGCACAGAAUAAAUUUCGGUGAUCGGAAAAUCUCCAGACUGCCGGUCAAGACUUGUACUUACAUGAUCAGGACAAUGAGUGGAGCAGCUUUUGUUCUUGAACCAAGGCUAAAAAGUGACCAGAAAUUGUCAGAAUCAUGAGCCGAAAUCGGCCAAAAUUUUAAGCUAGAACACAUUGAGAGGAUGAAAAAACAUACCUAGAUUGAAGAAAUUGGGAGCCGGAAUUGCCCGAACGAACUCCAGGAAGUUAUGGGUAAAACUGGCCGAAUUUUGUGAUAAUCCGGAGAAACGCAGCAGCAGUGGCGGCUGGGAAGGGUCGGGAUGGACCGAGGGGAGUGGCUCGGUUAGUUUGGUUCCGAUCUCGUGGCGGCGGCAACCACAAAACCAGCCGGCUGUUUUCGAAGAGGGGGUCUGCUGCUCCAACCAGAGAGAGAGAGAGAGAGAGAGGGAUUUCAUAUUUUUAAAACCCAAUUUUGAAAUAUUUAUGGUUUUGCCAUUAUACUUCUUUUGAUCGUAACUUCUUCGUUACAACUCCGAUUUGAGCCCACUACAUGUCUACGAACUCAUCUCGGCACGAUUUAUAUCAUAGAACCAUUCAUUUCCCCAAAAUCCUUCUAGAUUAAAAAGUGACCAAAAUACCCCUAGUCUCGGGGCAAAAUUGUAAUUUCAAAAUUUAUUAAAUUAAUUCAAUUGACGAAUAAUUUAAAUUUGGGUCAGGAUGUUACAUUUUCAAGUUGCUUGAUUUCUUGAAAAGAUAUAUAUUAUAUUUAUGUUUCUAGAAUAAGUUAUCAAUCAGGAUAUUAUUUUCCUGAUAUAAUUUUAAUUAGGAUUUUUAUUAUUUUCUUAUUAGUCAAGUUUCAGGAAUAUUCUGGAACCUAGGAUUUCUUUGUUUUCUAUUUAAGUUGUAUUAAUCAGUUUUAUCAUGUUAUUGAUCAAAUUUAGAUAUUUUCUUUAUUUUCUUGUGGAUUCCAGUUGCUGAUGAAUUUCAAUUUAUCUUUUUGGGUUUAGACGUUUGUCGAUCUGUAAACUCGUGCUUCCGCGCUGCAUUAUAUAUAUAUAUAUAUAUAUGAGUAAAUUACCAUACACCCCAACCCUCGAAUUAGGACCCAAUCGAACUUAAACCCCCUAACUAAAAAGUCACCCAAUUGAACACCCGAUUAAUUAAAAUGGCCAAUUUAGCCAUUGCCAAUAUGUUUUGUGAAUUUUAUUCAAUUUUUCGUUAACUAUAAAAGGAAAGUUGCAAUUUCCAGUAAAAUAAAUAAUAAAAAAGAAAAAUAAUAAAAAAGAAAAACAUUUAUAAAAAUUAAAAAAUCAGCCUCAUCCAUCACUACUCUCUCUCUCUCUCUCUCUCUCUCUCUCUCUCUCUCUCUAAAUUGAUGAGUCGAUGUUUAGUUGAAGAAGCCCAAACAAUCAGCGGCAAUGGAGAUGUGUCUCUGAGAGGGAGCUAGAUUGAAGCUUUGUCUGUAAAUUUGGAAAUUUUGGAGGAGGAGAGAGAGUUGUCGGAAAAUAUGUGCGUCACUUGAAAUUCUGAGUUUUAGAGGGCUGGGUAAUCUGGGUUUGGAGGGGCUGGGUUUUGGAGGGAGGAGGCUGGGGGUGGGGCUGGGUAAUGAGAGAUGGUGGUGGUUAUGGUGGUAUAGUUGUAGAUCUGAGAUACUGCUGUUAUUGGUUAAUUAUGUUGCGGAUAAUUCUCUUGGGAAGAAUUGAAUGCGCCCAUAAGCAUUUACUUCUUGAUCUUUCAGCUAGGUAGCUCUAGCAAGCUACUUUGUUCAAGAAUUUUGGCUGAGUGUUAGAGUUGAGAGGGGAAGAGACGGGGAGAGAGAAAGCCACCUUUUUUUCCUUUCAUUUUCUAUUUUCUAACUAUUUUAUUUUAUAAUAAUAAUGAUAAUAAUAAUAAUAAUAGUAAUAAUAAUCAAAUAUUAAGUGACGUGGAUGACAUGUAAUUUUUUAGACGGAAAAAUGGACGAAAUUCAAAAAACUUAACAGCAAUGGCUAAAUUAGCGAUUUUAAUUCAUUCGAGAGCUAAAUUAGCUGAUUUUUUUUUUAAUUUCAGGGAUUUAAUUUAUACAAAGGUCAUAUUUCACAAGGUAAAACGGCUGAAAAUCUUAUAUAUAUAUACAGUCCCGAUCUCUUGGACCACAGGAGUCCAAAAGAUUUGUGGUCACUCACCGUUGGAUGUAAAUUCAACGGUUCACUCAAUCUUGAACUCCUUUUAAGAAACUUUUUUGAACCAUUAGAUUAAUAUCCAACGGUGAAUGACCAUAAUCUCUUGGACUCCUGUGGUCCAAGAGAUCAGGAUAUAUGACAGAAAUCCGUACUACAACUUAUCUACAAAAUCACUACGCUUGGCAUUGAACUUGCAGAAUUAUUCGACCAAAACAAAUUUGAAGAAUUUGUUGACUUGGCUUGAUCACAUGAAUGGUUGCCCAAUCCAUUGAUCUUUUUUAAUAAAAAAAGAAAAAGAAAAAAAUUAUUAAAUUUUUUAUAAAAAGAGAAAGAAAUUUAAUUAAGUUGGUACAAUCUGGGGCAUCAAAGAUGGAAAGACAUUGGGUUCAAAAGCUACCAACUUAAUUUGAAUUGUGCAAACUAGAAGUAUAUGAUAGAGAGAGCACACACAGAACUUACACACUAUAAUAAUAUGUUUGAUUGCAUAAACGACCAUCUUAACCAAUUAAUAUUCGAUCAUAAUAAUUUUUAGGUAGUGAAAAACAUAAUGCCAACUUAAUACUUCCAAUAAGGCAUAGCAAUCGUUCCUUCCUUGGCCUUUUCUGCUUUUCACAUAUGAGUUUUUUUUCUUCUCUUAACUGUUGUUGUACCAGAACUGUUUCUGAAGAUAAUCAACAACCUUGUUGUCCACUUGGAAGGCCUUGGCUAGAACAUCAGGAUUGAUGGGAGGCUUGGAGCCAAAAACUGCAUUUGCAAUGGUGAUAACGCCUGGGUUCUGGCUGCUAAGAGCGGCAAGGGCUACAGCGUUGACGUGUCCCACAUUGAGUUGGAAGUGAAUUAGACCAAUUGGGAACACAAACACAUCUCCCUUGUUCAAUACUUUAGUGAAUAGGCGAUUGCCAUCACCGUUGGAUGUAACGAAACCAACAUAGAGUGUACCUUCCACGACUACAAGGAUUUCAGUGCCACGAGGGUGAGUAUGAGGAGGGUUUAGGCCAUUUGGUCCAAAGUCUAUGCGAGCCAGGGAUAUGCCGAGAGUGUUCAAUCCGGCUAUUUGGUCCACGCUCGCAGGUGUCACCGUCGAACCAACCGGAUUUUGUGUGCUUCUUGGAAUUUGAAAUCCGGAGAGGAAGAAAUCAUUCGCAUUGGCAAGCUUAGGAUCCUUGCAGAAUUUCCCAUUCACAAACACCGCUAUCCCAUUUAGAAUCACUGAUCAUACAAAAAAAAAAAAAAAAGUAAUUAAACUUUAGUAUUAGAGCUAUUUGGAUCACAUAUACUUUCUCCUUUGUAACAUAAGUUAAAUCCACAUAAGUGGAACCUAUUUGAUCUGUUAAGAGGUGCUCAUCACGUUGGUCAGUAAAUGUGGUACAGAUAACAUGAUCCAAAUAUCUAUAAAGAUAAGUAAAUAAAUAGAUUAUUGUUCAUGCAUGAUAAGCCAUGCGAAAGCAUAUAGUUAACAGCAAAACAAUCUUCAUAAUAUUCUUAAAGCCUUACCAAAAUAAUUAAUGAGGAAAUAAUAGUAGGGUAAAAUAUAACAUAUAUAGUGCAUAUUAAUGUAUAUACCAGGAGAUUUGGUGUCAUUGAUUGCUACACAGAAGUCCUGAAGAGGACUGGGAUCAGAGGCUGAGGCAAGGAAGGUUGCAAAUGCCAAUAUGGCAAGAGUGCUUAUGAGAAAAAGAACAACUUUCAUCGUAGUUGGCUUAGAGAGUUGGUUUCAGGGUGGGAUGAAAAUCCUUCAUGGGAUAUAAGUCUAUUUAUAGAUUGGAGAGAAUGAACUAGGCUUGUCCUCGUACAGAUAUAAUUCUUCUUGUGGAAGCAGGUAAUUAAAGACUUGAAUAUAAUAUUUAGAAGCAGGUCAAGACUUGGAACUGGAUAAAAGCUUUUUUGUAUUUUUUAUGUCAAAGAAAAAACCAUGUACGAGGUCAGGUGAGGAAGAACAGAAUAUAUAUAAUCAUGAUGACAAAGACCAGGUACUAGGAGUUGUACCAAAAAGAAAGAGUUGUUAAGGGAGAUAAUUAUUUUAAAAUUUUUAGGUGGUAUUUAACCAAUGGAGAUGUUCGUUGUGCUAUAUCUAAGAACCCCUAAAUAAAACCAAAUGGAAUUGUUCAAUGUUUUGUGCUAUAUGGAUUCCUUCUACCAAAGAGAGAGAAAUUCAUGUUUCUCAUGAACAUUGAUGGUGACAAUUUGUCUCCAUAUAAAGUAUAACAGUGCCCCAAAUUGCUCCUGUCAUUUCCACCUGCACCGUAGAAACUUGAGUCCAUGUCUUUUUCUUCUUUUCCAUUUUCCACCUUCUAGCUAGUUUGAAGCUGGUCUUGCUCUCUCUUCACUAUUCUGCGAUUUGGAGUUAAUUUGAUGGCUAAAAUUCUCGCUUGCAUAACAGAUAUGGGCUUAGCCAAAUUGGUUAGAGUGAAUUUACUCCUCAUUCUGCACUCGAGUUCAAAUCUUCAUCUCUAUAGUUUAGAUUAAAUUAAAGUAAAAUAUUAUAUGAAUAAAUUUAAAACAAUUCCGCUUGUAGACUUAAAAUGCCAGUUAGCACUCCCCAACCCCAACCCCAACCCUAAUUUCCCUCUACCUGAACAAUACUAUAUAACCCUAGCUUGAGGGGUGAGGAGGUCACUGUUUCUCCUCCCCACUCCUCUCUUUCUCCCUCACUCUCCUCUCCCCUCUCCUUUCUUCCCCUAAUAGUGAGUAGAAGAUCAUUCUCUUGGGUCCGAUUUUCAGGGCCCUUCCCUCUUCCUUCCGACAUUUCCCUGUUCUUUGUCUUUAAGGGUUUUUUUUUUUUUUUUUUUUGGGUCAAAAAUAUUUCCUAAGUUUGUGUUGUGUUUUGUGGGCUUGUUGCCUUCGUGUGAGUUUUAUAACUCUACUGGGCUCUAUGCCCUUUGUGUUGUAUUUGGUUGAGCUCAUAUUAUGGGCUCACUUUAGUGUAACUAGAUUUGACCUUGUAUUUAAUGAAACGUGAUUUCAACCCAAAAAAAAACAAAUAAAGCUUAAAAUGCAUCCUUCGGGCUAAGAUCCAAAAUGCAGGCCCAUAAAGUGUAACAAAGAUAGAUGGCUGAGAAUAAAAAGGAAGCGAAGUUAUAACCGGGUUGGAAUAGUGUCCCAGUGGGUAGGAAAUGAGGCACAUGGCCCCUUAAAUUUUUAUUUUUAUUUUUAAGCUUCAAAUUUGAGGAAAAAAAAUAGGGCCUAAAAUAUACACUAAAACUCUAUAAAAACAACUAACAUUCCAAUGGGUCUACAGUAACAGAAAAAACCAUUGAAUAUCUUACAUUUUACAACACUAACAUCGCAAUGUUAUAAACACAUAUCAAAUUUCUCACAACAAAACAUAGCCCAAAACAAGCCCAAUUUACUUUUUACUAAAAUCAAAAUGAGGCAAAGAUCGGCUUAAUCAAGUUGGCUGGUGCACUUGAGUUUGAAUCCUCCUUUUCGUAAUUUAGAUUAAUUUAAAGUAGAUUAUCAUUUGUAUAAAAAAUGGCAAAAAGUCAUUUUUGAUCUUUGUAGUUUGUCACUUUUAUCAUUUUGGUCCCCGUUAUUUCAAUUUUGUCAAUUUUGUUUAUGUGAUUUCAAUUUGAAGCAAUUCAAGGACAAUUCUCAAUUUAUAUCAAAUUUUUUUAACUUCUCUUAGUUGUAGAGGAGCAAUUCGGUCAACAAAUAAUUAAAAAAUUAAGACAUUAACAAAAAAAUUCUUAAAAUUGAAAAAAAAAAAAAAAAUUUCCCACCGCACAUACACAUUCCCCACCCCUCCUCUCUACAAAGACACACCAAACCCUCCUACUCCUCCCUACCGCCUUGUCCAUCAAAUCCAGAGCGUUGUCACCAGCUAAAAUAUCGUCAUGGUCCAGCUGCUUAAACAAUGACAAAUUGAGAUUUUAGGGUUUUGGUUGGUGAAUGAUUUAAGUUUUGUGAGAUUGAUGAAAUGAGAAAUUGGGAAAGACCCCAAACACAUUUCAAAGGCUUUUGCUUGCUUAAACAGUUUUCGGGAUUUUCGCAAUGGCCGCCGAACAGGUUUCGGGGACAGCUGGCAUCAAGAGAAUGAGGUUCGAGACUCAGUUGGACUUCCUUUAUAGCACGGCUUUGGGUCAUGGGCAUGAAGCUUCCAUGUCCCUUAGUCCGUUGGGGAUAAGAAGGGCAAGCUUGAGGGAGGAGAUUGAUACUUCCACGCCUUUCGAGUCGAUUGAAGAGGCUGUGACCCAUUUUGGUGGUUGCGCAUCUUGAAGCCACAUGGACCUAGUAAAGUUUAUUUUGUGGUGUUAUUCUGUAGGCUUUCAAAUUAGAUUUGCCGAACUUUUUGAAUAGAGAAGACUUUGUAAAGUGAGACUUUGGUAUGUAGGAGAUAGUGGAAUUACCCAUUGGAGCAAAACCUUACCAGAUUUGGCGAAGUUAAUCUCAACAGACUGCACGGCGCGCUACCAUGGAUCGGAUAAGAGGGCGGCGGAGGGUGUGGGAGUGAAGGAGGAGGUGCGCUACCAUGGAUCGGAUAAGAGGGCGGCGGAGGGUGUGGGAGUGAAGGAGGAGGUAGGGACGGAUCCAUGAUUUUUUAAAUGAAUUGGACUGGAUUUACCUUAUAAAGAAAAAUGAUAACAACGGACUGCACGAUGAAUUUAAUUGAUAACAAAAAAAUGAUACACCUAAUUAAUGAGGACAUAAUGAGCCAUAUACCCUUUAAAAUGCAUCUAAUACAUAAGAUAGAAAGAUAGUAAUAAAUAAAUAAACAUGCAAUGCAAAUACAAAAUAAAAUUAUUUAAGUUGCAUUCUUCGAAUCUUUAAAGAAUUAAAAUUAUUCAAGUUGCAUUCUUCGAAUCUUUAAAGAAUUAAAAUUAUUCAUUAUUCAUUCAUUAUUGGUAUUAUCAGUUUUUUAUUUAUUUUUUAUUUUUUUAUUGGUUAUGUGUUAAUACUACAUCACAUUUAUAAAAAACUUGUCUUUGAAAAAAAAAAAACUUGAAAAAAAUCCAUACGAGCUAUAACCCAUUGUAGAGGCUUUUGCGUUCUAGCAGCUGCAAAUGAGCCUGGGCUGCUGUAAAGAGCAAAUGGAUGAAGUUGUCCUUGUGCAUGAGUUCAAGAAUCAAGCUCCAAGAGUGCUUCAAAAAGUUCGUACAGCCUUAGGAAGCACUUUGGUUCCAUUCAUCAACAAGAUAGACAACUGUUAUAGAUCAAUAUUAUGGCUUGGCUUGAGGAGCUUGUGGCAUGGGAGCUAAGCCUCCAUGAGUUUAGCAAUAGAGAGAGAAAUCUUGGAUUUCUUAUGGGAAACAGAGAUUCAGAGAAAAGAGGGAGGGAAAUUUGGGAAGAUUUGAUGAAGGAAAAGAGGGUGAGAUAGGGAUAAAAGAAUGAGUGGCUUGAAUAGAUUUUCCAUCAGAUUGACGAUUGCUUGGUCGUGCUCUAGAUGGUUGUUUUGUUGGGUAGGAGGUGCCUCCUUUUAUAGGCACUGAAAGCCUCUUUUGGCCCAGGAACCCUAGCUAGCUUUCCCCAAAUUUUUCCAAGUCUUCUCCUCCAUUUCUCUUUACUUCCUUCGAUUCAACCCUCUUUGGUGAAAAUUCCUUAAUCCAACCACACUGGGGUAGAGCUUUUUAGGGGUUUUCCUGCAGCUGACUCCUUCCAUCCUAGGUGAGGGACCUCUUGCUUUUCCUCCUUAUUUUCCUACCACAGCUUACAGAGGAAAGAAUGGGUAAGGGUGCUAGUCUAAAAGGUGUCUUACUUCCAGCAGCCCAUGCACAUGGGUUUCGCUUGGUUUUAAUGAUAGCUUGGUUUUGAUUUGGUUUUAAUAGGGUGUUGGGGGUAUUUUGGAAGGUGUUGGAUAUUUUUAUAAGAUGUUGGGCUAUCUCCCUAAGGUGUUAGACUACUUCUCUAAGGUCAUGCGUCAUUUCUCUAAGGAGUUGGACAUUUUCUCUCUCAUGCAUGCCUAUGUGAUUGGGCUUAAGAAAUGGGCCUGAGUUUUGGUGCUCCCAAGCAGCUCAAAUCUUCCACUCCUUGGGCCUCAUGAACACUCAUAACCAUCCAUACCAUAACCCGCUCAGCAAGCUCUAGGCAUUCGCGCGGUUUGGGCCCACUUAAGCACAUAGCGUGGCUUGGUGCCAAAAUAAAGGUUUUUUUCGCUCAACGUAUCAUGUUAUUUGGCAUGUUUGUGCUCAAGCUUUUUUUGUAUUGUAAUGGGCUAUGGCUGGGCUAAACGGUGCUUGACGGGACAAUAAGCGCGGGUUCAUGAAACUAGUACAUUUUACAGGCUUGUUACGACUUCCCUGCAUGGCGGGUUGUGUAUUUGCUUGGCGCGGCACAUGGAUCAUGACUUUUGCAAGUGCAUACGACAAAUUCUUGCGUACUCCAGUUGGGCUCCUUUCUCAGUUAAUUGUUGUACUGGACUAGAAAUAUAUUUUGGCCCAGCCUUAGAUUUUUUAGGCAUCGACAUUAGCCCCUUGAUUAUUGGGGCCAUGAAUGGGUAUUGAAAUGGUCUGAAUAAUCAAACCCAACUAAAAAUCGAAUUCAUGGUGGUGACGUGACCUUUCCCCUCCUUUUUUUUUCCUUUUUUUUUUCUCCUUAUGCGUGAAAAGGGUAAGUCCCUCUCUACAUCCUUUUUUUUUUUUUUUGCUUUCUUCAGUAAACCUAGAGCGAGAGAGAACGACAAUAAAGAAAUAACAGGAGCACCCGUUUGAGGCCAUUGGAAGCCCACACUAAUCUCACACCCCGUCGCUCAUUGUGUGAAGAACUUGCUCACAGCCACUGGAAGGAAUCCCAAAUUUCUAUCCCCUUUUGGUCCGAUUGAAGUUGUCUCGGGGGAGCUCUUUUCUGUUUUCCUUUCUUUUGAAUACUAGCUCCUCCGGUCUUUUUGUCAUCGUUGUAUGCGUCGAUGCCGUGGUUGCACGUAGAACUGGCAAUAUUGUACACAACCCGUUAACAUGACACGAAUUCGUACGAAAAAUUUAGUAUUUGUGUCUAAGUUAUUGUGCCAUGUUGAGAUCUUGUUGACCCGUUACUCAUUCGUGAACACACGAACCAAACCGUUAAGUGAAGGUAAUUUUGUAAUUUUCAAUUCUAAAAAAUCCCUCCUAACCCUAGCAUCUCUUCAUUCCGCAUCGUCUCUACGUCUCCUCUUUGCAGCUUUCUCUCCCUCAAGUCUUCAUCUUCUCCUUCUUCUUGGAAUCUCUCUCUCGAUUUCUCUCUUUCAAAAACCUCUGUCAACAACCUCAUCUUCUUCUUCGUCCUCUUGUCAUGGAUUACCCAUUUUAGACUUUUCAGUUUCUUAACAGUAGGCUUCCUUCCAGGCCUUAGAGGAGUUAAACUAUUCAACAAUAGGCUCCCUAGUUCAAUCCAUCUUUCAUUGGGUUUUUUUCUUCAGGCCGUGGGGAAAAAUAACAUAAUGGAUGGGGGGAGCGAAUGGGUCUCUCUAUGUUUGUGGGUUUUUUUUUUGUACUAUUGCCAAAUCAUUCUCAGAGAAUGAAGAAAAAAAAUAAAGAAAGAGGGGAGAGAGAGAGAGAGAGAGAGAGAGAGAGACAGACAGACAGACAGACAGAGAGAGAAAGAAAGAAUGGGGAAAGCUACGAACAGUGCGGAGAGAGAAAGCUCCAAUCCAUUCACCCCACCAUCCAGCUUUCAAUCUCAACGAUCACCUAUAAUCUCCCCUUCCUUCCUUUCAUAACUCUCUUUUUCUUUUUCCUCCUUAAUUUCUUCUCUCUUGUUAGUGGCUGUUUAAUGGAAUGUAUUUGGCUCAAAAAAGAAAUACCAGCUUCAAAGCAUGAUGGUUUUUUAUUUUUAUUUUUAUUUUUUUUACUUUUCAUUUUUUAAAAUUUAAAAUUUUUAUUUUUUAUUAUUCUUAACGGAUGAAACGAGUCGUGUCGUGUGAUUCGCGAAUUGUAACCGGUCGUGUUCAUGUUUGAUACUUUUCACCCGUUUUCUUAACAGGUCGUGUCUUGUCAUCCGUUAAGAAAAGCGGGUUGACACGAACAUUGCAAACAUGACACGAAUGCCAGGUCUAGCCGCUAGAAGGGGAGGUCACACGAGUGUCUCCUGGUUAUCCCCUUUUGACUGGAAGAGAACCGUGAGGGAGAGCUGCGGUAAGCAUCGCCCCCUCUUCGUUCCUUUUUUUUUUUUUUUUUGCUUGUAAGGAAUUAUAUGAAGAAGAAGAUUGAAGUUUCAUGGUUCUUCUUCCUUGUUCCCUGCUGUUGUGCACUGUUUUGCUAUUGUAUGUGCGUGUGUUUUUUUUUUUCUUGAAAUGUAAGAUCCCACAUCAACCAACAGAGAGGGGGUGAUGUGCCUUAUAUGUGCACACCCGCAUCCAUCUAGCACAAGGCCUUUUGGGAGCUCACUGGCUUCGGAGUCGUAGAAACUCCGAAGUUAAGCGAGUUGGGGGCCAGAGCAAUCCCAGAAUGGGUGACCCACUGGGAAGUUGGUCGUGAGCUCCCAAAAAUAAAACCGUGAGGGUCAGAGAGGGGGGCCCAAAGCGGACAAUAUCGUGCUACGGCUGAGUUGAUCCCGGGAUGUGACAUGAAAUAAGAUAAUAUCCACCAAUUUGGGAACAUUAGACACUCACUGAGUAAUAGCUUGUCUUGAUUGAGUGAAAAACCUGUAGAAGAUGCUUAGGUAAGGUUAGAAGAGGACAAAAGUAUGGCAUCAUCUCUGUCAUAUGCUUGAUUUUUUUGAACCCAUGUCUGUAGGGUGAAUGACUUUGCUUUUUCAUCUAAAACAAUAGCCAAUUUGUGGUCUCGUGACAUUAAGGAAAUUAGCUUUGCUGUGUGGAUUUCCAUGAUGCUGACGAAAUUGUUUUACAGGCUUGUCCUUUUCUCUUUGCUAGGUUGAUUGUCUUGCGAUUUGUGUUGGCUUCAAGUCCAACUUAGAAAUCUAGCACCAUCCUAUUCUAACAUUUAUCCUUAUUUCGCCUUGCAGGUCGCAUUUCUUUGGUGUGGGGGACUAGCUUUCGAAACCGCAGGGUGUAUAGUUCUUUAGGACAGUUGACCACAUUUGGGCUUGAGUUGUACCCUUUUUUUUUUUUUUUUGUUUGGAGAGCCUAAAGCUCAUGUUGUUGGAACCUUGAAACAUAGCAUUGUUACAUACUUUUUGCCAAAAUUUUGAUUUAGAAUACUUGAGAUAUUAAGUCUCGGCUUGUUUUAUACGCUUUGUUUGAUUGGAAAUGAUGGAAUGCAUUGAGAUAAUGUGCUCGAGCUUGUUUUGUACACUUCGCUUGGUUGGAAAUGAUGAAACGCAUGAAUUGCUUGAGAUUUUAAUAGGUUGGAUUGUGGUAAGUGCAAGGUACAUGCUGUCGAAAUUUUGGCAGAAUCCUUAAACAAAGCCUCGAUGCACUGUUUUAAUGCUUUUUGAAAGACCUCCUUAGAUAUUUAAUCAUGCAUACCCCUCUUAUCAUUCUUUAGAGAAGCCAAGUCGACACAUGUUUUUGAAGAGAUUCUCGUGAAAUCCGAGACUUUAGUUGCCGUAAAGCUUUGAGCAUGCACCCAAUUAUUUUCUUGUUCUAGCACCCCAAAGCGUACACAUUUUGUUGUACAUUUCUUCCUAAUAGCUUGGUCUUGCUCACCCCAUGUAAUUUUUUUUUGGCACGGUGCUUGUUAUCAGUUUGGGAUCCCAUUUGAGUGACUUCGCUUGUAUACUUACUACUGAAUGACGUUUUUCUUCUUCUUCUCUUUUUUUUUUUUUUUUUGGGAAAUUUGCUUACGGUUUUUUCUUAUACAUAUACACACAUAUACUUUUUCUUUUUUCAACGAAAAGGAACUUCGAAAUAAAGAAAGGGAAAAGCUUUAGGGACUGAUUUUUUCAAAGUACACCUUCAUUUGCAUUGCAAAGUCCAUUUAACACCUUGGCAUGAUGGUGCUUUUUACAAAAGUUUUUCCAAAAGCAUAAGGUAAGAAUAUAGAAGGAGCUCAUAUCUAAAACGGAAAGAAAAGCAAUAACAAAAGGAUAGAAUGCAAGGUUAAUUUAGCAGUAGUAAGGCUUGAGUCACUUCCUGUUGAUGGGAUCCAUUAGCAUGCCUUCCUUGAUAGAGACCAAACGGUAGUAGCCACUGUUGUAAGCUUCUUAGACUGCGAACGGGCCUUUCAUGUCUUCGUCAGUGGAGGCAACAACAUUUUCAUUUUCCAAAAACAACCUUUGUAGUUGGGCAGUAAAGCAAUGAGGGCCAUACUAUACAGAGAUGUUCUUAAGGGCUACGACAGCUGUUUACCUUGCUUGUGGUCCAAAGCCAAGUUGGUCGAAGAGUGACUUGAACUUUGGAUUCCUUGAAAAACCUGUGAAGUGGUAGGCCCCUGCUUCAUACCUAGGUAACGCUCCAUCACACUCGUUUCAGCUUCUGUGAGAUUAUGGAACAUUACUCCGGCUGUUUCUUGAUAAUCUUACUGGCCAAAUGGAGCCCCCAAGUGGCGUUCUUCCGACAUGUCCAAUGUGAAUACUUCGUUGUUGGAACCAUCCUUUCAUCCAUCAAUAAGUGGCCAUGAGGUGUUAUAGCUCGAGGGUUUUGAAUAUUUAUGCCAGUAGGGUUUCUCCAUGUUUCCGCAAGGCUCCUAAAUAGCCUCCGGUGGCUUUAGGUCAUUCUUCCAUGGGUGGCACAACUCAUCAUCAUCAAGCAAGUCAUCAAAGCAUGUAAUGACGGCGGCUAUCUCCUUUCCUCUACACUUCGAUAAGCGAUCUUCGUCAAUAGCCUGCUUCUUGGAGAAUUGCUUAAGAGUUUCAUUAUGUAUCUUGGCGUGCAAGAUUUUCCUCAAAGUUUGGCAGGCAGUGGUUGGAUGUCCCACAAACUAGUGGUAAUGGCAGUACCUCGAAUCACCCUUUUCUUCUAUGGGUAAAAGUAACUUUAUUUGCUACGUCCGGUCUCAUAAUUGGGGGCAGCUCGAGUUCUAGUUCUUUACAAGACAAAUGGGAACUGUAGCUAAUAAGUGUGCCCUAAGUGUAAUCCUACUUAAGUGGAAUCCUACUUAUACUAUUUCUACUAUAUUAGCAUGUUAGUUUCCAAGUUAUUAAUAGCUAGGUAGCUAAGCCAAUAGUAGUUUAGUUCUAGUCGGGACAUGACGCUACAUGGGAGGUUUGAUUACACCAUCAACAAACAUUGUAUCAAGAAUGACGUGGAACUCUUCAUCUUUGCACGGUAGUGGCGGGGUACGUCUCCUUGUCUUUUCUUUUGUGUGAAUUGUAGUCACUAGAUGAUUUGUCAUCCAUAGCUAACAUCUAUUGUGCUUCAUUCUUUUCACUCCUCCAAACAUUCUGUCCAGUUGGUUUGACUGACAUGCUUGUUUUCCUCACUGUUUCCAACAGUCGAGAAAAUUGACUAAUGCUAAUAUUCUGCAGAUAAACUCUGUACUCUGCCACAAUGUUACUUAUGUAGAUCUCUACAAGUGCUUCCUCAUCUUUCUCAUCACAACAAUCCAAAGCCAAGUCUCGGAAUUAGCCCACGAACUCCACAUGGUCCUCCAAAUGCCUUUGGCAAGUGUUGUUGAGUUGAGUCGUAGCGACCGUUUCUUCAUGCUGAAAGUACUUCUUAUAGAACCUUCCUGCCAAGUCCUCCCAAGAGCGGACAGAGUCUAGUGCCAGUGUUGUGUACCACGUAUAUGCACGGUCAGUAAGGCUUUUUGAAAAUUUUCGGAGACGGAGGUUAUGAUCACCGACGUGUGGUCCCAAAGCGUCAAUGAAACAGCUGACAUGCUCCUUUGGGCUUCAUUUCCUUCGGUCAAAAAGGAUAAAUCUUGGUGUCACAUAGCCUUCAGAGUAUGACUACUAGAGUAGAUUUGAUGGAUAUGGUGGUUGAGGGACAUAUUUCCAAUCUUCCUGGCUUCGGUUUAGUUCCUUUUCCAGUAUAGCAAUGACAUAUUCCUAGGUGACAAAAGACGGCCUCUUUUGCUCAGAACUUUUUUCGGCAGUAGCGUUCUCUCGUGUUCUUUGCUUAGCUUGGAGACUGAACUUUUUAGUUCCUUGAUUGUGUCCACAAUCUCCUUCUGGGUUUGCCCCAUAGCAUAAUUGGCUGCAAUGAGAUCUGUGAGGCUAUAAGCUUCCUCGCUUGCAGGCCCCUCUUCUCUACCGUAGGCUUUUUGCUUUAACUCUGAGUCACCGUGGUCCGACUCGUCUUGGGAAGCCAUGGUAUUGCUUCUGGUCUUCUUCUUUAGAGGCAUUGGUGAAGAUAGUGGUCUGAUCCCCAGUAAAGCCACCAAUUUAUGUAGGAUUUUUCAUUCCAACAGCUGCAAAUGGGCCUAGGGUGCUGUAAAGAGCAAAUGGAUGAAGUUGAUCCUGUUCCUGAGUUCAAGAAUCAGACCCCAAGAGUGCUUCAAAAAGUUCAUGGAGCCUUAGGAAGCACUUUGAUUCCUUUCAUUAACAAGACAGACAAUUGUUACAGAUCAAUAUUAUGGCUUGGCUUGAGGAGCUUGUGGCAUAAGAGCUAAGCCUUUAUGAGUUUAGCAAUAGAGAGAGAAAGCUUAGAUUUCUUAUGGGAGACAGAGGUUCAAAACAAGGGGAGAGGGAAAUUUGGGAAGAUUUGAUGAGGGAAGAAAGGAAGAUAUGGGGAUAAAAGAAUGGGUGGCUUGAGUAGAUUUUCCAGCAGCCAGACGAUUGCUUGGUCGUGCUCUGGAUGGUUGUUUUGCUGGGUAGGAGUUGCCUCUUUUUAUAGGCGUUGGAAGCCUCUCCUAGCCCAGGAACGUUAGUUGGGUUUCCCCAAAUUUUGCCCAGUCUUUUCCUCCAUUUCUCUUCACUUCCUUCGAUUCAAUCCUCUUUGGUGAAAAUUCCUUAAUCCAAGCACAUUGAAGCAAAGCUUUUUGGGUCUCCAAGGUUUUCUUGCAGCUGACUUCUUCCAUCCUGGGUGAGGCGCCUCUUGCUUUUUCUCCUUAUUUUCCUACCAAAUCUUGCAGAGGAAAGAAUGGGUAAGGGUGCUAGUCUAAAAGGUGCCUUACAUCCAGCAGCCCGUGCACAUGGGUUUCACUUGGUUUUAAUAGGGUGCUGGGGUAUUUUCCAAAGUGAUGGAUAUUUUUCUAAGGUGCUGGGCUAUUUCUCUAAGGUGUUGGACUACUUCUUUAAGGUCAUGGCCCAUUUCUCUAAGGUGUUGGACAGUUUCUCUCUCAUGCUUGCCUAUGCGAUUGGCCUCAAGAAAUGGGCUUGAGUUUUGGUGCUCCCAAGCAUCCCAAAACUUCCACUCCUUUGACUAUCAAUGGGUCUCAUGAACAUUCGUAACCAUCCAUACCACAACCCACUCAGCAAGCCCCAAGCAUUCGCUUGGCUUGAGCCCACUUAAAGCUUGUAGCGUGGCUUGGUGCCAGAAUAAAGAUUUUUUUCUCUCGGCGUUGCGUGUUAUUUGGCGUGUUUGUGCUCAAGCUUUUCCCGUAUUGUAAUGGGCUGCGGCCGGGCUAAACGGUGCUUGACGGGACAAUAAGCGCUGGUUCAUGGAACCAGUACAUUUUACAGGCUUGUUACGACCUCCCUGUGUGGCUGGCUGCGUAUUUGCUUGGCGCGGCACGUGGACCAUGACUUGUGCGAGUACAUACGACAAAUUCUUGCCUACUCUAGUCGGGCUCCUUUCUCGGUUAAGUGUUGUACUGGACUAGAAAUAUAUUUGGGUCCAGCCUUAUAUAUUUUGGGCCUCAACACCCUAUAACCCCCAACAUAUAUUCAUCCUUGUUUAAGAGUGAAAUUUACUAUUCAAUGAACUAUGAUAUGAUGACUUAACGAGUGUGGUAUUUCUAUAUUUCGUACUAAGUAUGAGAACAUACCAUUAAAAAAUCGGACACCAAUAUUAAAGAUUUUAGUGAAAAAUUAGUAAAAUAAUACCGUGUCAUUUUGUAGUAAUGUAGUGAAAAAUACUACUAAACUAUAAUCUAAUAUAAUUGGUAAAAAAAUUAGUAAUGUUGUAGGAACUGAAAUCAUUUCCAAAACUUUGGAUCAUAUUAUUCCACUUUCAUGUCAUUUCGUAACCAAUUUUGUGUUGAUAUCUCUGGUAUUAUUGUUGAAAGUUUGUAGGGCUACUUCUUUAGUGGCAACCCAUCUCCGUAAUUUGGUCUGCCAUUCCUUAGGGCAGACAAGUCUUUCUCAUAUCCCAAAAAAUUAAAAGAACAACUUGAAUUGAUUGAUUUCGUAAUAGGUUAGCAAAAAAUAUAUAUUUGGUUUUGGUGAAACUUAAGAAUUUUAUUUUAUUCUUAUUAAAAAAAUAAAAAAAAAUAAAAAACAAGAAAACAAGAAGAAAAAGUAAGGGACUUGUAGCAAUCAAGUGGAUAACAACAUUUACCAUCAUAACCGAGAUCCUCAGUUCGAUUCUCUCAUCUCUCAAUAUCCUUUGUAAAAACAGAAAAAGCAUAAGAUUCUCAAUUAAUUAACCUCAAAUUCUUUUGGUCGAUCUUCAACAUGCAUGUAUUUUUUCUGGUUGUGGUCCACUAUUAUUUAUGAUAAUACUUGUAAGAUUCUCAAUUCACCUUCUCGAAUUCUUUCCAAGGUUAAAUUUGACAUAUAACUUGAUACUUCUUGAUAUGGUCUAAUUUGCCCCUUCUAUUUCUUUUAUUCUCGUUGUCUGCCUUGAUUUGAUCUGAUAUGUGUGAUUUACUUUCCCUUUUCCUCUGCCCUAUGUCAGAUUUAUCUAGGUUAUAAGCUUUAGUUAAUUUAAUGUUGUGACUUUCUACUUUUAAGUUGAAUUUUUUAAAUCAUGUUCCAAUUUCAAUCCCCGUCUCUAACGGUUUCCUAGACCGAAUAAGCUUUUCUGUACACUAUAUAAGGACAUGGAUAUUUACCUUAUGAAUCACACAAAUCAAACCUAGCUAGUUUUUCUUUUUCUUGGGUUGGUGCAUGCACUUUCAGGGUUCGUAAAGCCAAGGUGACGAUCAAUCCAAAAGAACAAAAAACGUGAUGGCCAAGACAAUCAACAGAGAAGAGCUGGGCAAGGUUGAGAUUAUAUUAGACCAAGAAUUAGAGAAAGCAAAAGGUGAGAUCGGUGUUGGGGACGCUAUAUACUUGGAGAAGCUAUUAUCCGAAAUCAGGGAUAAGUGUGACCAGGGAUUGCAGAACCUCAAAGCCAAACAGAGCGAGUACAAGUUAUGGGCGGACAUGUUGGAGCAGGAGUUUCAGCUGAAGUUGAAAAAGAAGAAGGAAAAGUUUGAGGAGAGGAUGAAGAGAGAGAAGGAGAAGCACAGAGAAGAGAAGGAAAAGUGGGAGGAAGAGAGAAGUUUAUUGAACGCAAAGUAUGAGGCGAUGCGGUGGACUUAAGCUGGGUUUAUUGUGGGUUAUAUAUUUUGAUUAUUUUGAUUAUGUAUUACUCUUUUUCCUUAUUGUUAAUCAGAAGAGUUAUCAAUUAAGUUUUGGCCCUGUUGUUCUUGUUCUUCUGAAAAUUAGCACCAUCAACAUUUGUUUUUGCUAUAGGAACAGGAUGCUCUACUUGUGUUUUGAUGCUUGUAUAAUGCUUAUGUCCAAAACAAUGUUCUUUUUGUGAGUUCAAUGGUGUUCUGAAUUUUUUUUUCCCGUUUUACAAGCGAUAUUUUAAAGCGAAGAAGAUUCGAACUUGGAUUCAACUAUAUCACGGACGGACCUAGAAUUUUAAAAUUGGGCUCUACAUACACAUUUGCAACUAAAGCAAUUAUUAAUCAACAACCCACAAAAUAUAAUAAAUCACCAAGAUGUUUACGCGAAAAAAAAAAAAUCACUGUUAAGGUUGAAGAUUUACUUGGUUAAAUGACACAGAAAUGGGCUUGAAAUAGAAUAGGUUUUAAUUGGUGUUGCAAAGUGGCUGCUUUUUAGGUUUUUGUUAGUUCAAGUGAUUCGGCCAGGAUUAGUAUAUAUGUUAUGUCUUAUGUAGAUGAGAUGAUGGUUCCUAUACAAGACUAUUCUGGAAUAGUCAAAGAGAAUUCAAAUUCUAUUCUUAUUCUUUCCUGAUUGAUUGUUUUGGCUUAUCUUUUUUCUGAGUAAGGAGUAUUGAAGAUUCUAUUAGCAAAAUAAAAACCCACCUGGACUAUAUAGUCCAGGUAAGUCCCUUCAUAGGUCCUUCUCUGGGUGGAGGAUGAAGUCAUCCUGGGGCUGAGCGUUGGGUUGGAGUUGUGAGGAGAAUGGGAGAGAGGUUUUAUUUUUAUUUUAAAAUUAUUAUUUUUUAAUUUAUAUUUCGAUUACUUUUUUUUAGAAGGAAUGCAUUUUUUUAGUAAUUUGUGGAUUAAAUUGCCCCUCCACAACUAACAGAAGUAAAAAAAAAUUUGACAGAAAUUGAGAAUUGUACUUGAAUUGCUUCAAAUUGAAACCACAAAGGUAAAAUUGACUAAAUUGAAAUAACAUGGACUAAAGUGAUAAAAAUAAUAAAUUACAAGAACCAAAAAUAAAUUUUUGCCUAAAAAAUUUCCCAAAAUUAUAUCAUUCCACUUUUUACGAAAAAAACGCUGCAAAAACAAAAAAAUUAAACACCCACACCCAAGGCAUCGUCCAUGAUGCAUUGCCUUCCCAUAUCGAGCUCUGAGAAAUCAAAUGGCCAAAACAAACCACCAUAACCGCUGCAAACCUCCACAAACUUCCACUAACCACUAUUCAUUCGAAUCUGCAUCAACAACAUAAAAUCACCACGAAGCAACAACACUAAAUCACGAAGCAAAAGCAUUUCAAGAAACCUACCUAGCUUUGACAACAAAGGUAUAAUCUGAAAACCAUAUACUAUUUUUUUUUUCUUUGAAAUAUGUCUUAGAUUCAAGUUACUAACAUGCAAUAACAGUUAAGCAUACUAAAGAAACCGAUGAAUAUGCAAAGAAAAUCAUCAUUUAGGCAUUUGGUAUCCUAUUUAAAUAGGGAACUCAAAAACCUUGAUUUUUCAUAAAAACAAGUCGUUCUUAAAUCUAUUUUUAUGAUUCAAAAACUUGUUUGGUAUGCAACUUGAAAACUAUUUUCAAAUCUUAAAAAUUUGAGAACUUGUGGGUUGUUAGAACAAAACUGAAAAAACAUAUAUUUUUUGUUCUUAAUAAUUGGGGUGUUUUUUUAGUUGUUCUUGAGUUUGAGUUUUUAAAAAUAGAGCACCAAACAGGUUUUCUUUGUUUUGGACUCAAAUUCUGUUUUUGAGUUUAAAAAGUUGGAUUCAAGUUAAAGACUCGACCACUUUUAAGAUAAACCCACUUUUUACAAUUUUAAAAUUGUCUCCAAGUAAAAACGAAAUCGUCAAGAGAUAGUUGAUCCGGGGGGGUUUGCCUCUAUAUCUUGUUGGAUCUUUGGGGUUAUUCGACUUUUGGUGGAUGUAUGUCGAUCUACUUUUCUUUUGCAGAUAUAUUGCCUCAAAUCUGGGUAGCUUUGGUUGUUCCUCAUCUUACGAGGGUGCUCUUUGAGGUAUUGUAGCUUGGUCAUGGUAGAUCCACUACUCAUUAAUGCAUUGAGAUCUUGGAGUAAUUAGGUGGCGCUCUCUAUGUCAUGUCCCAAAGGAAGAUUAGCAGUCAUUGGUUUUCCUUUUGUUGGCAUUGUUUUAGCUUUUUUGUAUUGGUUUAGUUUGUUAAAUAAAGUCAGGAAACUUUAUCAGUUUUUGUGUUUUUUCUCUCUUGAUUUCAAAAACUUGGUUGAGUUUGUUGUGUGUUCUUAGUCUCUUUAGGAGAGUUAUGCCAGUUAGCUGCUAGUUUUUGUCAUUGAUGUCAUUGGACUGUAUUCGAAAAAAUUAUGGCAAUUGAAAAGGGUUAUAGGAAAGUGAUUUUCGAGUGAGAUUCUCUCCAGAUCAUUUCAAAUUUUCGGCUAACUCAGGAUCUUUAACUCAGUUCCACUAGGGAAGUUUUAGUUCACACUCAACCUUCUGGGGAAAAUAAUGAAAAAGAAAAGAUUUUAUAAUGGAUUGGAGAGUUCAGAUGAUGCUUACAUAGUUUCAAGAUCUUUGACUCAGUUCCACUAUUUGGUGUUUCAGUAAUCUACCCUUUGUAAGGGGCUAUUAGGGUUGUUUAAUACGAUUGAAGUCAAGUGAGGAAGAAAAUAUAUGUAUAAUAAUGAUGACAAAGAACAGGUAUUAAACCAAGAAGAGUUAGUUGAGUUGGUAAGGGUUAUGUAUUGUGUCUAUUAGUGUUUGAGUCUCGUUACCAACCAUCCUCGUUGGUGUGCGAUCUAUAAUUUCCUACAUAAAUCCAUAUUGAUAGCAGCUGGCAGUUAGGUGUCACGCGUAAGACCUUCCAGCUUGAAGUUGUAGAUUUGAUGAGAGUAGCCAAUUUCCCCCUAAACUUUAUUUCAAAAAAGAAAAAAAGAAAAAGAAAAAAAGAACAAGUAUUAAGAGUUGUUCCAAAAACCAGGGUUGGUUUAAACCAUUAUGAGUAGUUUGUUUUGUUUGGGGUUUUAUCCCCUCAUUUCAACACCAACAACAACAACAACAAAGCAGGGUCGGUCUAAAUUACAUAUUUCUAUCACCUAAGAAUUGGUGUUUUGUUAUUAUUUAUAAUCAACUAAUCAUUAGAAUUUUUUGAGAAAAUAUUUAUCCAAGGAUAGACUUUGACUAAUACCUUCUUCCUUUUCUUUCUUUUUUUUGUUGUCUUUUUAGAUUUUCAGAGAGUUGUUUUUUUAUAAUAAAUACAAGCAACAACAAUAAAAAUCAACUAAAAAUAUGGUCAAUCAGCACGCAACGCAAGUAUGAAAGAUUGGAAAACCUACCCGUUCUCUUGUUGUGCUCGCUUGGCAAUACCCGAAUGAAGUGAUUAAAAUCGAUAUCGACGAGUGCAGAAAAGAUGAGGAUGGAUGCAUUGCUGGUGGUGGUGUACUAAGAGAUAGUUCUGGAUAGUGGAUUAGAGGCUUUGCUGUUAAUCUUGGUGUAGGAUAAGUCUUGGAAGCUGAGUUAUGGGGCAUCUAUCUUGGACUGAAAAUUGCCUGGGAUAUGGGUUGCAGUGCAGUUGUGCUUGAGUUUGACUCAGCAAUUGCGGUACACCUGCUUAAUAAAGAUGUGGAAGACUUUCAUCCUCUUGUUACUAUGUUGUGGGGAUGCCAAGACUAUAUAGACAAAAACUGAGUAUGUUCCAUUCAUCAUGUAUAUCGUGAGUGCAAUAUGGUGGCAAAUAGAUUAGCUAAAUUAGGUUCAUGUCUUGAGUUGGGUCUGUCAUCAUGUCUUGAGUUAGAUCCUCCUUAUAUUAUUAGGUCUUUUCUUAAUGAAGAUUUACUUGGAGUAUGUAGGCCUCGAGCCAUUGUUUAAUUUCUCUGUUGGGUGUUAGCCCCGUUUCUUCACCGAAAAAAAGAAAGAUUGGAACUUUAACAAUAAUUUAACUAAUGAACAAAGACCAAUAAAACCUAGGUUGUGAACUUUUUGUUCAAAUAAUUAAAACUUAAAACUUCGAUUUUCCAAUUGCAAGUAACAAGAAUUCCUGCCAAGUGAAAAUUAACUUGAGUCAAUUAAUUCUUUAAAGUCGUCAACGGAGAGUUGACCAAGGUAACCUCAAUUCCAACCCUCUAAACAUCCAAAGCCACAUAAAUAUUAAAUAAUAAACAAAACUAACAAAGUAAAUCGACAAAACUAAACUAAGCAUACAUUGUGACGUCCCUAAAAACUUGUUAAAGAUUGGCUCACCAUUGAUGUGGGGAAGUAAACAAGUAGAAGAAAACAACAAAAGGAGGUUGCUAGAUCAUCAUGAUGCAAUUGCAGGGAGACCGGUCCGCAAUUGCCAACUAACCGGUUGGUAUUCUCGAGAGAGCGCCAUUGCCAGGCUACUGGUCAGCAAUUGCUCGCCAACCGAUCGGUUUUCGCAGAUUUUGCUGACCUGUUGCGUUUUAAGCCUAUUUUGAUAGGGUUUUAGUUGUUUUUUUGUUUCCUAAUUAAAGUACACUUGUAACCCAAGUCCUACAGGAUAUAAAUAGGACUUUGGGGCAAGGUUAAUUCUAACAGCGAGAGGGAAUUACCAAAAGGUGAGAGUUUACGAAGGCAUCAAAAGGUUUGAGGAAGGGUGUAUGUUUCAUGUUUAUAAAUGUUAUUGUUCAAGGACUCAAAAUAAAAGAAAAUAUUGCCUUUCAUGCUUAUAUCCAAACGAUUUUAGUCCUUCAGUUUCGAGGGCCCCCAAACUCCAUGAAAACCCAAUUUUUUCUUAUGUAUCAACUACAAUAUUAGUUAUAGUAUAGCUCUAUAUAAUCUUGCAUUUAUGGUACUGGCCCUCCCCACAUAUUAGCUUCUAGCUCCGCCACUGCCUCUCUCUCUCUCUUGACUGGAAAAUAGGACAGCCACAUUCCCAAUUUCACAGCGAUGUUCCGUCACCAUAACGACCUUAAGCGAUAUUGGGAAAGGGUUUGAGAAAUGAUGAGAGAGAGAUUAAGGCCUAGGGUUUAGAAAUGGGCAAAGGGGGUUCUUCUUGUAACCAAAGUUGUUCUUUUUGACCAGUGAGAUUUCUUAAGGUGAUCACCAAAGACGUCAAUAUAAAUUGUCAAACCUCGUUAAAUUGUUUUGUUCUCGUGGUUUGCUUUAUUUUGCGUGUUGUGUUGGUUUAUCAAUUUUUGCUAGUUUAGGUGUGUGUGCUUAUCACAGUCCAUUGCUAACAAGAUCUCGGCGUGUUUUUACACUAGUCGAAAGCUCCUAUGGUUGAAUAGAGUUUUUAUAUGCUUUCAGAUAUUUAGAUUUUAUUUUCAUUUGCUCAAGUUAUUUACCUACCAAUAUUAACAUUUGUCAUUAAAUUUUGAUUCAGACUAGAUUUAUGCUCUAUAACCAGUUCAUCGUACUUCAUUGUUUUCAUUCUUUAAUAUAGUUUAGUUCAUGUUUUUAUAUUGCACUAGAUAUAAAUUGUGAAUCCAUUUCGCCAUUGAAGGCGUAGAAAAAGAUCGAAAAUGAACAAAUUCAUUUCUCAAAGCACAGUGGCUUGGUUUGAAGUCAGGUUCCUGAAAUCG